CCCAAAGCAGCCCGCCCGUAGCGACGGUUUCCCGAAGAAACCUAAGUACUACCUUGCCGCCGCCGAUCUUCCCCGUGCUCUCGAACGCUGCCGCCGGCUGCUGGACAAGCUGCUGCAACAUGAGGACGGGUGGGUGUUCGCCAAGCCGGUGGAUACACACAGCCUCGAACUCCGCGACUACCUCUCUGUCAUCGCCGAACCCAUGGAUCUUGGCACUGUCAGCCGCCGCCUUGAAUUGCGUCGCUACCCGAACCUGCUCUGCUUUGCCAAGGAUGUCCGGCGUACCUUUAGCAACGCCAUGACCUACAACAACAAGGGAGACGAUGUGUACGAGAGUGCUGCUAAGCUCUCUUGUAUCUUCGAGUCAGGGUGGGCCUCCAUUUUGGCGGCGCUCCCGUCGCCGCCGCCGGUCGCCAUGCGCAGGGCAAGGCUCAAGGAUGAGCUGCCGCGGCUGCCGGUGGACUUGCAGGGGAAAGCGGUCGUCAUUAUGAAGGACAUCGGCGGGUGGAUCCAGGAGGUGGAUGGGAGGGUUGAGGUGGAUUUUGACAAGGCCGACGAGGCGACUCUUGACAAGCUCGAGAGGCUGCUCGCUCUCGCCACCAUGAGGAAGGUAAUUAUUUUCUCCAUUUGGAGUCCUUAUGGUUCUGAUUUGGGCAGCAUAAUUUUGCAAUGCUUGGUAGCAAUCUUGUCCAAAGCGACCAUAUUUAUUGCAAUGCUGUUUAGCGAUCUUGUCCAAACAUGCUCGUGUAGGCUGUGUUAAAGAUGGAAACCUAUUUUUGAUGAUAUAAUAAGAAGUCCAGGGUGUCAGUUUACCAACGUGAAGAAAACCCCAUUUUUGGGACUGAAAGGUGCAUAUUUUCGUCAUUUUGGAAUUGGUAGUGAUAUUGUCACAAUGCCUUUCUGGGAGGGUGAAUUGCAUUGUUGAUACAAGAAGUUGUCCAAGAAGCUCAGUGUCAUACAUCAAGUACUAUCAAAUUUUACACUUGGGUACAUGAUGCUGCAUAAAUGGUACAAAACAGCCCGACCCACUCACGCGACGCCGAUGCCACUUUGAUCGGGAGUGUUUGGGCUGUAUUUUUCGUGCGUGAGCGACACGUGAGGGGGAGAGGAAGGGAUGUGUGCAGCCGUGAUUAGUUGUGGUUGUGGCCUGUAGUUUUUUGUGCUCUUUGCAGCUUGUUCUGUCGAUUUCAAUUAGGGUUUUCAUGCUCUUGAUUAAUCUCUGUAAUUGGUAGUUUUUUGUGCUCUUUGUAGUAAGAUUUGCGAAUGUUGUACGGUAUUAAGUGGUAAAUGUAUCAGUAGUUUACUGUUUUGAUAGAUUGCUCUGUUAGAAUUACAAUGCCCUUUUUACAUAUAUGUUCAUGCAAAUACUUAGAAAGUUGUCAUCUUUCAAUCGAAUCUUGCAAUGUAAGCAAUGAUGUUCAUCAGUGCACUUUGGAAAUACAUCACCAUGUUUUUUUUCUGGCAAGACGUGCACUUCACCAAUGCCAUGUUUUGCGACGUCCUGUGGCUUCGCCCUCCGCCUCGCUGUUCGGCCAUGGCGUCGUCCCUGGGUUGAGUAAGUGGGACAGGGGACAUGUGAGAGAGGGGUGGCAUGAGUGCCGCCGCUGGAUUUGGGGAUGAGAGGGACGGCGAUUGAGCUAGGGAUUUGACACUCAAUUUGAGAAUUUAGGGCCAGUGGCUGUUCUGAAGAUUAAAUGAUCAAGGAGGACCAAAUUAAUAAGUUGCAACUGCAAGUUUCCAAAAAACUACAUGGCGUGCCACGUUGGCCUCGCGGGGUUGGGCCGAGCUGUUUUGUGCAACCUCUUCAUUAAUAUAAGGUGUUUUUUUGACUUAUGGUAAGUCUAAAAAUGUCUUAUAUUAAUGAACAGAGGGAGUACCAUUUAUGCAACAUCAUGUACCGAAGUGUAAAAUUUGAUACUUGAUGUCUGGAACCGAACUUUCUGGACAACUUUCUUGUAUUAAUAGUGCAAUUCACUCUUUUUGGUAUUUCACCUAUUUGAUUUCGUGGGGACGAACCGGAUUGGCUGCAGUUCAUCCUGCCCAUAGCCCUUGGAUCAGAAAUUGAACAUUCUAAUCAAGGAGUUGUUUGUUUUGAUUGUUGGAGUUCGUGCUUUGUGAUUCUUCCCUCAUGUAGCUAAUUAGACGGUGCACACCCCCUACAGUCCCACUGCUGCUGUUGAGGUUUACAACAUAGGAAUAUUGUCCACUGUAUAAUAAAUGUAACAUACGGCACACCACCCUUUUUUCUGAUCAAAGCUGUGAGAUGGAGGUUUUCGUUGUUUUCUGUGGCAUGGAUUAGUGAUAAUGUUAAGAUUGGCGUGGAGAAGUUACUCCAAAGAAUUUAUGAGCUAUCUAGAGAGACACAGUAAAAUAUGUUAUUCCAGGCUUUAGAAUGCCAUGUAAUACUUUGUUUUUUCCAGACCAUGCUACGUUAUGCUCUGAGGGAACAUACACAGGAUGAUUGUUCGAGAUCCUCCUAAAGCUGUGAGAAAUUAAAAAGUAGGCAUAUUGUUUUUGGCUUAUUAACCGUGUACCGUGAGAUGUGAAAUACCUGAAUGUUUUGGAUCUUGUUAACAUAAUCCUUGUGUCCUGUGCUGUAGCAUAGUAGUAUAGGUCUGGUCAGGUAGUUUUCCUUAGCUAUUAAGAUAAUCUUGCUGCCUGACAACUAGUAGCAGCAGCCAACUUUGUUUUGUCUGGAGAGGGAAUUGAAUGCUGAGAAAUGGUAAGACUUCCAUUUUCAUUGGAGUAUGAUGAUUUCAAGUUUUCAACCAUAGCCACCGGGACCUGAAGCCACUACCUCUGGUACUCAUCAGAGAGCUCUCAAAUAUACUUUGAUUAGAAUGAAUGUUUUAUCUAACUUAAGAAUAAAGAGCUUUAUUGCUGGGUCCCUGACCUGGAUUAGCCGGCUUUGCAACUACAUCCCGAAGAACACCAAGUCUCUAACCAUCUCAUCGACCCACAAUUUUUCUUUUUGAGGAAUUGGCAGCUUGUACUGCCUAUAUAUUAAGAAGGAGAAAAAGUAAUACAAAAGUUGUGUUACAUAGCUGGUUUUUUAGGCGUCUCACACCAGAAAAAAGAUUGAAAAAUACAUCAAUCAGGUUCAGGUUCCGGGCUGUUCUCGGCGUCUGAGAGCCAAUGAAUGGAUAGUCUGCUGGUUGAAGAAUGUCCUGCUUGAUGAUGUUAUGACUGGCCUAUAGUAUAGCCGGAGGAGGCCCCAUGGCGCAGGCAGUUAUGGGCCUGGCCCAAGUGAUCUCAUCGUUUUAGGGGCUUAGCCCAAUUAUCGUAUUACGAGGAUUAUAUAAACUCAUGUAAAGACUCGUUUUGAAGUUAAGCAGAAGUAAUCAUAUUUGCUUGGCUUCCUUAAGGAGUCAGGAGACCUAACCCUAGCCACACCCCGCGCCCUCUCUCUCUCCCGCGAUCACGACGCCUCAGUGCCGUCGGCCGCGCCUCCCGCCGCACCAACCCUCCUUCCACCCCUAUAAUCUGAGAACUCGUCCUGGUAGGGACCCGGUUCCUAUCAAUCUGGUAUCAAGUGACUCAGGCUCGAUCAUGUCUGCGCCGCCGCCCACUGUCACACCCUAGCUAGUCAUGCAUUAGAGUGUGUGCAUCAUGUUUAAAAUUUCCAUUUAAAUUGAAAUGGGGAUUUGUGAAACCCUCAGAAUCAUUUUUGAAAAUGAUCCAAAUAAAAAUUUCUCCAAAAAGGUCCAAGAAAAUGCUCAUGUUCCUCUCUGAAAAUAUUGGACAGAGAUAAAAAUCAAACCAAUAUUUUUAAGAGCUCAUAGGUAUUUAUUUUGGGCAUUUGGAAUUAAUGCAUAAAUAUUUGCAUUGGAAAUAUAUUAGUUAUAUAUAUUAAUAUAUGUCCAAAUAUUAUGCCAAUUAUAAAGGAGCUCUGGAAUAAUAUAUAUAGCUCCUGCAAAAAUUGGCAUAAGUUAAAUAAAUGAUUUAAUAUAUUAUUUAAAUCAAAACAAAUGUCAGAAAUUAGAAAACAGAAAAUAAUUAACAGGAGGAGCUUACCUGGGCUCCUCCACUGUGCGGCCCAGCCAGCUGGCUGGCCCAGCCAGCAGCCGGCCCAGCCCAUCUCCCUCCUCUGUCGUCUUCGUCCCGACAGAGGGAGGGGAGUGUGGCCGGCGUGCGCGCGCGCCACCGCGCCACGCCACCUCUCUCCCUGCCUGCCUGCCCUUCCCUCCUCGCCUCGAUGCCCCGGGCGACGCCACGCCUCUCCCCCUGCUCUCUCUCACUCUCCCUCAGUUCCUCCCUCCUCCCCUCGCUCUCUCCCUCACACGGCCGAACACCCCCGUCGCCGCCGUUCGCCAUAGCAGCCGUCUCCGGCCACCCCUCGCUUCCCCGACUAGCUCAGGAGCUCCGCCACGACCCCCUCUUCCCUCUCCACCGACCCACAGCUCCCCGGAAGCCCUGCAUCGCCGCCACGUCGCCGUUCCCCUCUUCGGGCUCCGACCACCGUCGACGUCGAUUCGCCGUCUCCAGCGCGUCCCCGAGCCCGCUUCGACGCCCACUGCAACCGCGGUGAGCUACGCCACCGUUUCCCCCUCUCCUCCCCCUCGUUCCCCCNNNNNNNNNNNNNNNNNNNNNNNNNNNNNNNNNNNNNNNNNNNNNNNNNNNNNNNNNNNNNNNNNNNNNNNNNNNNNNNNNNNNNNNNNNNNNNNNNNNNNNNNNNNNNNNNNNNNNNNNNNNNNNNNNNNNNNNNNNNNNNNNNNNNNNNNNNNNNNNNNNNNNNNNNNNNNNNNNNNNNNNNNNNNNNNNNNNNNNNNNNNNNNNNNNNNNNNNNNNNNNNNNNNNNNNNNNNNNNNNNNNNNNNNNNNNNNNNNNNNNNNNNNNNNNNNNNNNNNNNNNNNNNNNNNNNNNNNNNNNNNNNNNNNNNNNNNNNNNNNNNNNNNNNNNNNNNNNNNNNNNNNNNNNNNNNNNNNNNNNNNNNNNNNNNNNNNNNNNNNNNNNNNNNNNNNNNNNNNNNNNNNNNNNNNNNNNNNNNNNNNNNNNNNNNNNNNNNNNNNNNNNNNNNNNNNNNNNNNNNNNNNNNNNNNNNNNNNNNNNNNNNNNNNNNNNNNNNNNNNNNNNNNNNNNNNNNNNNNNNNNNNNNNNNNNNNNNNNNNNNNNNNNNNNNNNNNNNNNNNNNNNNNNNNNNNNNNNNNNNNNNNNNNNNNNNNNNNNNNNNNNNNNNNNNNNNNNNNNNNNNNNNNNNNNNNNNNNNNNNNNNNNNNNNNNNNNNNNNNNNNNNNNNNNNNNNNNNNNNNNNNNNNNNNNNNNNNNNNNNNNNNNNNNNNNNNNNNNNNNNNNNNNNNNNNNNNNNNNNNNNNNNNNNNNNNNNNNNNNNNNNNNNNNNNNNNNNNNNNNNNNNNNNNNNNNNNNNNNNNNNNNNNNNNNNNNNNNNNNNNNNNNNNNNNNNNNNNNNNNNNNNNNNNNNNNNNNNNNNNNNNNNNNNNNNNNNNNNNNNNNNNNNNNNNNNNNNNNNNNNNNNNNNNNNNNNNNNNNNNNNNNNNNNNNNNNNNNNNNNNNNNNNNNNNNNNNNNNNNNNNNNNNNNNNNNNNNNNNNNNNNNNNNNNNNNNNNNNNNNNNNNNNNNNNNNNNNNNNNNNNNNNNNNNNNNNNNNNNNNNNNNNNNNNNNNNNNNNNNNNNNNNNNNNNNNNNNNNNNNNNNNNNNNNNNNNNNNNNNNNNNNNNNNNNNNNNNNNNNNNNNNNNNNNNNNNNNNNNNNNNNNNNNNNNNNNNNNNNNNNNNNNNNNNNNNNNNNNNNNNNNNNNNNNNNNNNNNNNNNNNNNNNNNNNNNNNNNNNNNNNNNNNNNNNNNNNNNNNNNNNNNNNNNNNNNNNNNNNNNNNNNNNNNNNNNNNNNNNNNNNNNNNNNNNNNNNNNNNNNNNNNNNNNNNNNNNNNNNNNNNNNNNNNNNNNNNNNNNNNNNNNNNNNNNNNNNNNNNNNNNNNNNNNNNNNNNNNNNNNNNNNNNNNNNNNNNNNNNNNNNNNNNNNNNNNNNNNNNNNNNNNNNNNNNNNNNNNNNNNNNNNNNNNNNNNNNNNNNNNNNNNNNNNNNNNNNNNNNNNNNNNNNNNNNNNNNNNNNNNNNNNNNNNNNNNNNNNNNNNNNNNNNNNNNNNNNNNNNNNNNNNNNNNNNNNNNNNNNNNNNNNNNNNNNNNNNNNNNNNNNNNNNNNNNNNNNNNNNNNNNNNNNNNNNNNNNNNNNNNNNNNNNNNNNNNNNNNNNNNNNNNNNNNNNNNNNNNNNNNNNNNNNNNNNNNNNNNNNNNNNNNNNNNNNNNNNNNNNNNNNNNNNNNNNNNNNNNNNNNNNNNNNNNNNNNNNNNNNNNNNNNNNNNNNNNNNNNNNNNNNNNNNNNNNNNNNNNNNNNNNNNNNNNNNNNNNNNNNNNNNNNNNNNNNNNNNNNNNNNNNNNNNNNNNNNNNNNNNNNNNNNNNNNNNNNNNNNNNNNNNNNNNNNNNNNNNNNNNNNNNNNNNNNNNNNNNNNNNNNNNNNNNNNNNNNNNNNNNNNNNNNNNNNNNNNNNNNNNNNNNNNNNNNNNNNNNNNNNNNNNNNNNNNNNNNNNNNNNNNNNNNNNNNNNNNNNNNNNNNNNNNNNNNNNNNNNNNNNNNNNNNNNNNNNNNNNNNNNNNNNNNNNNNNNNNNNNNNNNNNNNNNNNNNNNNNNNNNNNNNNNNNNNNNNNNNNNNNNNNNNNNNNNNNNNNNNNNNNNNNNNNNNNNNNNNNNNNNNNNNNNNNNNNNNNNNNNNNNNNNNNNNNNNNNNNNNNNNNNNNNNNNNNNNNNNNNNNNNNNNNNNNNNNNNNNNNNNNNNNNNNNNNNNNNNNNNNNNNNNNNNNNNNNNNNNNNNNNNNNNNNNNNNNNNNNNNNNNNNNNNNNNNNNNNNNNNNNNNNNNNNNNNNNNNNNNNNNNNNNNNNNNNNNNNNNNNNNNNNNNNNNNNNNNNNNNNNNNNNNNNNNNNNNNNNNNNNNNNNNNNNNNNNNNNNNNNNNNNNNNNNNNNNNNNNNNNNNNNNNNNNNNNNNNNNNNNNNNNNNNNNNNNNNNNNNNNNNNNNNNNNNNNNNNNNNNNNNNNNNNNNNNNNNNNNNNNNNNNNNNNNNNNNNNNNNNNNNNNNNNNNNNNNNNNNNNNNNNNNNNNNNNNNNNNNNNNNNNNNNNNNNNNNNNNNNNNNNNNNNNNNNNNNNNNNNNNNNNNNNNNNNNNNNNNNNNNNNNNNNNNNNNNNNNNNNNNNNNNNNNNNNNNNNNNNNNNNNNNNNNNNNNNNNNNNNNNNNNNNNNNNNNNNNNNNNNNNNNNNNNNNNNNNNNNNNNNNNNNNNNNNNNNNNNNNNNNNNNNNNNNNNNNNNNNNNNNNNNNNNNNNNNNNNNNNNNNNNNNNNNNNNNNNNNNNNNNNNNNNNNNNNNNNNNNNNNNNNNNNNNNNNNNNNNNNNNNNNNNNNNNNNNNNNNNNNNNNNNNNNNNNNNNNNNNNNNNNNNNNNNNNNNNNNNNNNNNNNNNNNNNNNNNNNNNNNNNNNNNNNNNNNNNNNNNNNNNNNNNNNNNNNNNNNNNNNNNNNNNNNNNNNNNNNNNNNNNNNNNNNNNNNNNNNNNNNNNNNNNNNNNNNNNNNNNNNNNNNNNNNNNNNNNNNNNNNNNNNNNNNNNNNNNNNNNNNNNNNNNNNNNNNNNNNNNNNNNNNNNNNNNNNNNNNNNNNNNNNNNNNNNNNNNNNNNNNNNNNNNNNNNNNNNNNNNNNNNNNNNNNNNNNNNNNNNNNNNNNNNNNNNNNNNNNNNNNNNNNNNNNNNNNNNNNNNNNNNNNNNNNNNNNNNNNNNNNNNNNNNNNNNNNNNNNNNNNNNNNNNNNNNNNNNNNNNNNNNNNNNNNNNNNNNNNNNNNNNNNNNNNNNNNNNNNNNNNNNNNNNNNNNNNNNNNNNNNNNNNNNNNNNNNNNNNNNNNNNNNNNNNNNNNNNNNNNNNNNNNNNNNNNNNNNNNNNNNNNNNNNNNNNNNNNNNNNCUUAUGACUUUCUGAUCUGAGUCAGUCCAUUCUUCCACCGGGGGUUAAGGAAUUAGGAUCUAUUCUCUCUAUCAGGAUCACGAGUUACUAAUCAGUAGUACCUUAUAAGUUUGAUGGUUACAAGCCUAGUUCAGUUCUACUACCACCUUAUGUUGUUAGAAUGGUUUCAGAACUUUGAUAUGAUGAUGUUGAGUAUGUACGAAAUCCUUUGUCAAAUGUCUCAAAAUCCUUUUUGAGCAUUUACAGCUGUUAUGCUGCCGAAAUUUUGCUAGAAAUUCUAAUGCCUUUGCAUUAUGAUUGUGCUUUCAGAUGGCCACUCGCGACCUCAAUCAAGUGGUUCGCCUGACUCGAUGCCUAGAUGUACCCGGCCAUACUGCUAAGUUGGUCAGGGUAAUGACUGAGGCUGGAUACCGCUGGUAUCCCGAGUACACAGUCGAAGAGCAAUUCCGAGAUUUUAAUCAAAGCCAGUAUCUCUGCACUGUCAGGAUAUUUCCAUCUUAUCCUGGAUCCACCGAGCCUCUUCACUGCUCCUAUGGACUCGGGGUUACUAUUGAGAUGGCUGUGCAGGACGCCGCCUACUCUAUGAUGACCAUUAUGCGAGUCAGAUCUGGUUUAUUUCGGGACUCUGAUUUCCGGUAUAUGCCAGGAUCACUUCCGGGAGCACAAGGGUAUCUCCAGGCUAUCUAUGCUGACCCCACUCAGGAGGAUUCACGGACUCGCACCACUGCUGAGAUGCUCAAGGAUAAGGACCGUGAAAAUCGGGCCUUAAGGUUAGAGCUCUUCAAUACCCGUGCUGACCACUGGGCCACAUUGACUCGGUUCGCACCGGCGGUGCAAGAUGGAUAUUCGGAUAUGCGCGAUCUCUAUCCUGUGAGAUCUGCUCUGCCGGACGUGAUGGUUUGGCGUGAUGUAGGAGGCAUCACCCCACCUCGCGGUCCCCGCAGGCCACCGUCUGUUGGUCCGAGGCCUCAUCCUAGCCCCUAUGGUCCACAAGCUCCGCAAGACCGUCUGUUUCCGGAUGAUCAUGUUGAACUUCCAGGCUAUGGAGGCGACUUCUACGAGGACUACUACGGAUCGGUCUGAGUUAGUGGUAGUAUCACUAGUUCGCACUAGCUGUGUCGUCUAUCGUCCCGCGUGAUUCGUGGGAUAUGACCUAGUUUGUACUCUUUCCGGAGGUGUAGAAAAAUAAUGUAUAGGAGCUUGGGAUGCCUCUGAUAAGAUGUAAUCCUUUUUCACCGUAAUAGUACUUUGUUUGGUCUUGUACUAAACCCUGUAUGGUGUGUAUGACGAUGGAAUAAAGAAGCAGUUUCUGUAUUUACCAUGUCAUACGGAUGAUCAUCUUGCAUUUCGAGUUAUACCUUACAUUUUAUAUCCUAUGUCGGAAUCUUAUCAUCCUGACUAAAUCAUUGUCUUGUUUACCUAGGAUGGUCAACACGCGCGCUAACCCUGCUUCUCAAGAGCAGGCCGAAGGCAGUGAAGUCAGGGAUGCAAAUCUGCCUCAUCCUCCUUCACUAGCCGAGGUUAUGAUGGAAGCUGAGAGAAACAAGCGGGAGACCAACCGUUUGUUGGAGCGUAUCGAACAGAACACAGCACACCAUCAGAGGACUAACGUGGUGUCACUCAGUGAUUUUAUCAAAUUGCAUCCACCCACGUUCCACCACUCCGUCGAGCCUCUCGACGCUGAUGACUGGCUUCGCAGUAUCUCUCACAAACUGCGUUCCGCGCUGGUAGCGGAGGCUGACAAGGUCACCUUUGCUGCAUAUCAUCUUGAAGGCCCCGCCAGUCUAUGGUGGGAGAAUUAUGGAGCUAUGCGCCCAGCGGGCCAUGUCACUACUUGGGCUGAGUUCAGCGAGGCUUUCCGUGAACAUCACAUUCCGGAGGGUCUCAUGGACCGUAAACGUGAAGAAUUUUGCAAUUUCACCCAAGGACGACUCUCUGUGGAUGUUUACAGCAGGGAGUUUGGUAAUCUCGCCCGAUAUGCAACUGAGGAAGUGUCUACUGAUGCCAAGAAGCAAGCAAGGUUCCGUAAGGGCCUUAGUCCUGAGCUUCGCCGCGACCUCCGUCUGCAUGAGUGCACAUCUUUUCAGAAACUUGUCAACAAAGCCAUCAGUGCUGAAACUGGUCAGACUGACUAUGACGCAACACGCAAGCAUGGCCGUGAUAUGGGUUCCUCAUCCGGUGCUGGUCCUCAGAAGCGCCGCGUGUGGGUGCCCAACACCGCCCUGCCACCCAGGUUCACACCGAGGCCAUCUUUUCAGGCGCCUCGCCCCGUUCAACAGUCUGCUCCAGCCAAGCCCUAUGGGGGUCCAAUCAAUAAUGCUCCUCCACGUACCAGUUCCGUGACUUGUUUCAAGUGUGGGGAAUCUGGUCACUAUAUGCGUGAGUGUCCCCAGACCAACCCCAACCAGUCUGCUAAAGCUGUUGGCCGUGGCAAGCCGACAGGAAAAAUAUUCCACGCCAAGCCGGUCACCGCUUCACGUGGCCAUGUUAACUGUAUCUCUGCCGAAGAAGCUCAAGAGGAUCCCAACGUUGUUCUCGGUACGCUUCUUGUUAAUUGCCACCCGGCAUCUGUUCUUUUCGAUACCGGAGCCUCUCAUUCUUUUAUAUCUGAAAACUAUGCUCGCUUGCAUAACGUCGCAUUCGGUGAUAUGCCAACCUCUAUGGUAAUUCAAACUCCGGGAUCCAAAUGGCAAACUUCUAGAGUAAGCCAUGGAAAUGAAAUCCAAGUCAACAGACUUGUUUUUCUCGCAUCUUUGAUAGCCCUUAAAUCUUCAGAUAUUAAUAUCAUUUUGGGUAUGGACUGGAUGUCAACUCAUCAAGCCAAAAUUGAUUGCUUCUCUAGGACUGUUCAACUCACCCAUCCUUCGGGGAAGAUAGUCAAUGUCUUGACCCGAAUAGCCAAGCGACAAUUAUAUUCUCUUAACGCCAGCCCUUUGCCAGACCUUGAGGACGUGCCGGUAGUCUGUGACUUCCCGGAUGUCUUCCCAGAGGAAUUGCCAGGUGUUCCACCUGACAGGGAUGUUGAGUUCGUAAUAGAUCUCAUUCCAGGAACCGUUCCGAUUGCUAGAAGACCUUAUAAGAUGGCACCCCUAGAACUAGCCGAGCUUAAGAAACAACUCGAUGAGUCCUUGAAAAAGGGUUUCAUCCGCCCUAGUUCAUCUCCGUGGGCUUGCCCCGUCCUAUUCGUCAAGAAGAAGGAUGGUACGGACCGGAUGGUUGUAGAUUACCGACCUGUCAAUUUGGUCACAAUCAAGAACAAAUAUCCGCUUCCCAGGAUCAACGACCUGUACGAUCAGCUCGCUGGAUCCUCAGUCUUCUCCAAGAUGGAUUUGAGGUUGUGCUACCAUCAAAUCAAAAUCAGAAACGGGGACAUUCCUAAAACGGCCUUUGUUACUCGUUAUGGCCAAUACGAGUACACCGUCAUGUCCUUCGGUUUAACCAACGCUCCAGCCACCUUUUCUCGGUUAAUGAACUCAAUCUUCAUGGAGUAUUUGGAUAAAUUCGUCGUAGUUUACCUCGAUGAUAUACUCAUCUAUUCCAAGAACGAGGAAGAACAUGCCGAACAUUUAAGGCUAGUGUUGAAGAAACUUCGAGAGCAUCGCCUUUAUGCCAAAUUUUCUAAAUGUGAAUUCUGGUUGUCAGAAGUGACCUAUCUGGGUCAUGUAAUAUCUGGUAAAGGUAUUUCUGUUAACCCUGAGCGAGUUCAAGCCGUCCUUAAUUGGACUCCACCUGAAUCGGUCAAGCAAGUUCGGAGUUUUCUGGGCUUAGCGAGCUAUUGCCGUCGCUUUGUCGAAAACUUCUCCAAAGUUGCUAAACCUCUAACCGAACUCCUCAAGAAAGAUAAGAAGUUCGAAUGGACUCCACAAUGUGAGCACAGCUUUCAGGAACUGAAAAGACGCCUGACCUCUGCUCCCGUACUGGUACCGCCAGACUUUUCCAAGGACUUUGUUAUCUACUGCGACGCCUUGCGACAAGGACUAGGUUGCAUUCUUAUGCAAGAUCGACACGUAAUUGCUUACGCUUCACGGCAAUUGCACCCACAUGAGGAGAAUUAUCCUACUCAUGAUCUAGAGCUUGCAGCCGUAGUCUAUGCACUUAAGACCUGGCGACAUUACCUCCUCGGUAAUCGUUGCGAAAUAUUCACUGAUCACCAAAGUCUGAAGUACAUUUUCACCCAACCGGAUUUGAAUCUCAGGCAGAGACGUUGGGUUGAAUUGAUCACAGACUUCGACUUAGGAAUAACCUACACCCCAGGGAAAGCCAACGUCAUGGCUGAUGCGCUAAGUCAUAAAUCUUAUUGUAACAACCUGAUGUUACAACAAAGUCAACCGCUUCUCCAUGAGGACUUUCGGAAGCUUAACCUUCACAUUGUACCUCAAGGUUUUCUUUCCACCUUGGUGGCAAAACCUACUCUUACGGAUCAAAUCAUCGCUGCCCAAAGGCGAGAUAAGGGAAUAUCUAAAAUCAAAGAGAACAUUGCUAGCGGAGGUGCUAGUUGUUUCUCCACAAAUGAUCAUGGUGUUGUGUACUUUGAGAACCGUCUAGUGGUUCCCAAGAACCAGCAUCUACGGCAGUUGAUCCUUAAGGAGGCUCAUGAAUCUCCUCUCACCAUUCAUCCCGGUAGUACUAAGAUGUAUCAGGACCUACGCCAGAGGUUCUGGUGGACUAGGAUGAAGAGAGAAAUUGCUCAGUUUAUUGCUAAUUGCGACGUCUGUCGUCGUGUAAAAGCAGAGCACCAACGGCCUGCGGGCACCCUUCAACCCUUAGCUAUUCCUGAAUGGAAAUGGGAUAAAAUUGGUAUGGAUUUCAUUACCGGUUUUCCCAGGACCAAGAGAGGGAAUAAUGCUAUUCUCGUCGUGGUCGAUCGUCUUUCCAAAGUAGCCCAUUUCUUACCUGUUCGUGAGAGUAUAACCGCUAGUCAGCUGGCAGAUUUGUACAUCUCCCGAAUAGUGUCUCUCCAUGGUGUUCCUUUGGAAAUUAACUCGGAUCGAGGAAGUCUUUUCACCUCUCGAUUUUGGGAAAGUUUCCAAAAUGCUAUGGGAACCCGUCUCUCUUUUAGCACCGCUUUCCACCCUCAGUCAAGUGGUCAAGUGGAACGCGUCAAUCAGAUUCUAGAAGACAUGCUUCGAGCCUCUGUUAUCUCAUUCGGAAUGGACUGGGAGAAGUGCCUUCCAUUUGCCGAAUUCGCUUACAACAACAGCUAUCAAUCUAGCUUGGGUAAAGCCCCUUUUGAAGUUCUCUAUGGACAACGAUGUCGAACACCCCUUAACUGGUCAGAGACCGGGGAAAGACAAUUCUUUGGCCCGGAUAUGAUUCAGGAAGCAGAAGAACAAGUUCGUAUCGUUCGUGAAAAGUUGAAAACAGCCCAAUCUCGUCAAAAGAGUCAAUAUGACCGAAAACAUAAGGCUAUGACUUUCGAGGUUGACGAGAAGGCUUAUCUUCGGGUCACCCCUCUGAAGGGAACCCAUCGUUUCGGUAUCAAAGGCAAAUUGGCUCCUCGUUACAUUGGACCUUUUCACAUUCUUGCCAAACGAGGAGAAGUUGCCUACCAGUUGGAACUACCUCCGCACCUCUCCAGAGUUCAUGAUGUCUUCCACGUUUCUCAACUCAGGCGUUGCUUCUCGGACCCUAUCCGUGAAGUGGACCACGAAACGCUUGAUCUCCAAGAUAAUCUUACAUAUCGAGAGUACCCCAUUCGUAUCCUCGAUCAGGCCGAACGUACCACGCGACGUCAUAAUAUCAAGUUUCUCAAGGUUCAAUGGUCGCACCAUUCUGAGGAUGAAGCAACUUGGGAAAGGGAGGAUCGUCUUCGACUCGAGUAUCCCGCCUUCUUCCCGGAGGAACCCAAAUCUCGGGACGAGAUUCUUUUGAGUGGGGGUGAGUUGUCACAUCCUAGUUAGCCAUGCAUUAGAGUGUUGCAUCAUGUUUACUCUUUCAUCAGAAACUUGAAAUGGGGAUCUGUGAAACCCUCAGAAUCAUUUUGAAAAUGACCCAAAUAAAAAUUUCUCCAAAAGGAUCCAAGAAAAUGCUCAUGUUGCUCUCUGAAAAUAUUGGACAGAGAUAAAAAUCAAACCAAUAUUUUUAGUGGCUCAUGGACAUUUAUUUUGGGCAUUUGGAAUUAAUGCAUAAAUAUUUGCAUUGGAAAUAUAUUAAUUAUAUAUAUAUUAAUAUAUGCCCAAAUAUUAUGCCAUUUAUAAAAGAGCUCUGGAAUAAUAUAUAUAGCUCCUGCAAAAAUUGGCAUAAGUUAAAUAAAUGAUUUAAUAUAUUUUUUAAAUCAAAACAAAUGUCAGAAAUUAGAAAACAGAAAAAUAUAUAACAGGAGGAGCUUACCUGGGCUCCUCCACUGUGCGGCCCAGCCAGCUGGCCGGCCCAGCCAGCAGCCGGCCCAGCCCACCACUGCAGCCCUCCGUCGUCUUCCUCCCCUCGCCCCGAAGCUGCUGCGUGCUCGCACGCGCACGGCCGCGCGGCCACCUCCUGCUUGCCGACGAGCUCCUGGCCGCGUGGACGACUCCCGCAGGCCGUCCCGAUCCCCCCUGCUCUCUCUCACUCUCUCCCGGCUCUUCCCUCCUCUUCCUCGCUCUCUCUCUCACACGGCCGAGCACCACCGUCGCCGCCAUUCGCCGUAGCAGCCAUCUCCGGCCACCCCUCGCUCCCCCGACUAGCUCAGAAGCUCCGCCACGACCCCCUCUUCCUCCCCACCGCUCCACAGCUCCCCGGAAGCCCUGCAUCGCCGCCACGUCGCCGUUCCCCUCUUCGGGCUCCGACCAUCGUCGCCGUCGAAUUCGUCGUCUCCGGCGCGUCCCCGAGCCCGCUUCGACGCCCACUGCAACCGCGGUGAGCUACGCCACCGUUUCCCCCUCUCCUCCCCCUCGUUCCCCCACCGUAGCCUCCUCCCCACCACGGCCGAACCUCCGCCGUCGCCGAGCUCGCCGUCGACGCAGCUCCGGUGACCAUUUGGUCACCCCGGCGAGUCCAACGAGUUCGCAAGACCCCGUAGAGCAUCCCUAGCGCCUCGCUUCGCUCGCCUUCGAGCUCCAACCCUGUUCCCGUGCACGACCGAACCCCGGCGGCCGCAGCCGAGCUCGCCGCCGUCGACUCCGGCCACCCCAGGCCCAGCCACGGCCACCGUUCGACGCGCGGGAGCAAGAGCUUUCCAACGAGCCCAAGCACGGCCUCUCCCGUGCCCUAUGGCGCGAUUCCGCAUCGCGCCGCCGUCUCGGGCCUCGCCGGCGUCACGUCGCCGGUGGAUUUGACCCACUUUGACCACGGCAGGACACCCCCUGAGUCCCUGACAGGUGGGCCCAGCCCUGUAGCUAAUUAGGAUUAGCGCUAACCACUGUUAGUUAACCCCCUGACACUGACUAGUGGGCCCCAGCGCCACUAAUUAGUAAUUAGGAUUAAAUUAACCCUGUUUAACCCCCUUGUCACUGACGUGUGGGCCCCACACGUCAGGUUUGACUUCAGCCAGCCGCAGUUGACCACUGACGUCAUGCUGACGUCAUGCUGGCGCAAUAAUUAUAAUUUCUGGAUUUAAUUUAAAUCAGGAAAUUCCAGAAUAUUAUUUAAACUUCAAAAAUUCAUAACUUUUAUUCUGUAACUCCAAAUUGGACAAAUUAUAUAUGAAAAAUGAUCAGAAAAAUCCAAUCUAUCCAUCUGUACUACUUUCAUGCAUGAUCAAACAAGUUAAAUUGAUGUUUCAAGCAGAACAAGGAAAAGCACUUUAAGAGGCCAUGUUUGAGUUUGAAAUUUGAAUCUAUGAUUCAAAUUUGUUCAAACCCUUCUGGUUUUAGUUGCAUUAGCCCAACACACCCAUAUUGCUAUGUUUCAUGCAUGCAUCAUAUUGUUGCACAUUGUUUGGUGAUGGUUGUGUAUCGGUGUCCUUUGCGACAGGUUCUGCCUCCGAGGAGUACCGUGAUUACCCUAACGAAGAACCGUAUCAGUGCAUCGAACCAUCAGGCAAGCAACCAACCAUUUGAUCAUAUCGAUACAAUCCCAUGUUCUCGCUCCUGCUCUCUUUUACUGCAUUAAGACAACGCGAUUCAAACUGCUGUGUGCUACGGUAGUUGAACCCAUUUCCUCUGCAUGACCUGUCAUUGCCACAGUAACUAGAUGAAACCCACUAGCAUGUGCAGGAGUUGAUUGACCCUAUGUAUGUGUUGUUCCUACCUUGCUAUGCCUGCUAUGCUUAGAGUCGUGUCAGGUCUGGUUCAUCUGGCUGAUGGGCUAGAGUGAAAUUAUUAUGUCGGUAAUGAGAGUGGUGUGGUGAACACGAUUUGGUAAAGGUCUCGAUGAGAGGCCAUGUAGGAGUACAUGGUGGGUUGUUUCAUUGAAGCCGACCUUAAGCACUGAGAUCUGUAUAUGUGAUUUAAGAUUCAGCUACUACCAUGCAUUGGGCCCUGAAAUAUGACCCCGCUCGACUUCUUAUUCACCCUAGCUCUCUGUCCAGGAGUUGCAAGUAGUUUCUGGUGUUUGUAGCCUACUGGAGGCCGUGGACAGCGCUGACCGUAGGGGUGGGCUGUGAUGCGGUAGGUACGUGGCACGGUGUACCGAAUACCCGUUAGGUAUCUCGGGAACCCUGUUCACAUCGUUCGGGGCCGUAUGGGAAACCUCGGCCAGACUCCCUGCGGAUGGAACCUGAAUAGGCGAUAAACCUGGACUAGAGGCUUAAGUGUUUAGGUAGGUCGUGGUCUACACCCACGUCGGCUUUCGCUUGAAGUCUGCCGAGCACAUGUCGUGUGCAGACGCUAAGUGGUGGAAACAUGUAUGAAGAAGUACACCCCUGCAGGGUUAACAUGAUCUAUUCGAAUAGCCGCGUCCGCGGUAAAGGACUACUUGGUUGCCUAUACAGUUCAUAGACAAGUAAAUGGAAACUACUAAAAGCCUCAAGAUAAGUGUGAGUGCCGAGGAUGGCUCUUCCGUAGGAAGACGGAGGUGGAUCCUCGGUAGUGUAUUGAAGUGGUGAGUAGUGGACUCGUGUGCGCAAAACCAUUUCAAGUUGGAGUAUCGUAGGAUAGCCUAGCCAAGAGUCAAAGCUGGCUUGCUGCAAUAACUCCACCAACCCCUCUUGAUAAUAUGCAUGUAUGUAGGAUCUGAUGUAAGUCUUGCUGAGUACCUUUGUACUCAUGUUGCUAUAAACUACAUUUUUACAGAAGACGCUGCAACCCCUUCUGAUGGGUUCUAUGUAGACGUUGACAUCAACGAGUAGGCUAAAGACCCAGGUGGUGACCCUGAGCUUGUGAUGGACCACGUAGUAUAGUUAGGCUUUCCAAGCCUCUUUUAUUUUACUAGUUGUCUGUACUCAGACAAUGUACUUCCGCUGCUGGUUUGUAUGACUGUAUGACUUGUAUGUUGGGUCGUGAGACCCGUACCUUGGUGUAUGUUAUGUAUGGCUCCCUGAGCCUUAUAUAAAGUACUUGUGUCAUAGAGUCAUGUUGUGAUGCUUCGUUGUAUUUGCACAUAUCGAGCAUAUUGUGUGUAUGAUUGAAAUGCUUGGUAUGUGUGGGAUCUGACUAUCUAGUUGUUUAUCUUUAGUAGCCUCUCUUACCGGGAAAUGUCUCCUAGUGUUACCGCUGAGCCAUGGUAGCUUGCUACUGCUCUGGAACACUUAGGCUGGCCGGCAUGUGUCCUUCUUCGUUCCUGUGUCUGUCCCUUCGGGGAAAUGUCACGCUUUGAGUACCGGAGUCCUGUUAGCCUGCUACAGCCCGGUUUACCGGAGUCCUGCUAGCCCAGUGCUAUAGCCCGGACCCACUUGCUGAUGACCGACACGUUCGAAGCUGGGUCAUGGAUGCCUGUCCCUGUAAGUCUGUGCCACUUUGGGUUUACGACUAGUCAUGUCAGCCCGGGCUCCUUAUCAUAUGGAUGCUAGCGACACUAUCAUAUACGUGAGCCAAAAGGCGCAAACGGUCCCGGGAAAAGGUAAGACGACACCCGUGGGGAUACCGUGCGUGAGGCCGCAAAGUGAUAUGAGGUGUUACCGGCUAGAUCGAUGUGACAUCGAGUCGGGGUCCUGACACCCACCGCCUCCCUCCCGCUGCCGAUCGCCUCUUCGUCGCUGAUGACCACCACGGCGGGCACGUCGCCUCUCAUCGGGCCGCUCUCCUCCGCCGCCGGGACAUCACCUGCAGCCGCCCCCGCCAUUCUCACCCCAGAGGAGAUGUCGUCGGCGCUGCGCGACCUCACUCAGGCGGUCCAGGGCAUUCGCCUCUUCCUCGCGGGGCCCUAUGGGUCAUAGCUGGCCGCUCCUGUCGCCGUCAUCACCGGGCCGCCGUAGCUCCCAUGGCAGCCGCCACCCCCCGGCGCCCUCAGUCGCCACCAGCAACCUCGGGGCUUGCCUUCCGAUGAGGGCAGCCGGGGUACCCAUCCACCAGGUUCGGUUUCCCCCUUUGCCGUCUCCGUUGCCAGCCUGGCUGGCCGGGUUCUCCGCACCGGUCUACAUCAUGGCUCCAGGCCAGCUGCACGUGCUGUCCUCUCCGGCGCCGCUCCCGACCAUCCCGUUCGGCGGGAGCCUGGGCUCCGCCGACCCCUACGCCGGCGUCGACGGGCCCCUCUUCCAGGGUGGCCCCCUCAUGCCCACCUACUCGGCGCCGUCGUCCUCGCUGCACCGCGUUGAUGAGGUGUACCCCUCCCUUCUCCAAGCUUGAGUUCAUCACCUACGACGGCACCGUUGACCCCCUGAACUAGCUCAAUCAGUGCGACCAAUUUUUCAGGGGGCAACGCACGCUCGCGUCCGACCGCACCUGGAUCGCCUCCUAUCAUCUACGAGGCGCCGCCCAGACGUGGUAUUACGCCCUCGAGCAGGACGAGGGCGGCAUGCCUCCAUGGGACCGUUUCUGCGAGCUUUGCCUCUUGUGUUUCGGGUCGCUGAUACGCGGGAGUCGGCUGAAGGAGCUCGGGCGCCUACCCUUCACCUCUACGGUGCAGUACUACGCCGACCGCUUCCAGGCCCUGGCGUGCCACACGCCGGGCGUGACGGCUCGCCAGUGGGCCGAGCUCUUCAUUGGCGGUCUGCUGGAUCAUAUCCGCGUGGACGUGGAGAUGCGGGGCCCACAGGACCUCCAGACGGCCAUGUACAAUGCCCGUGCUUUCGAGCGCCGCGUGGUGGCCAUCCAGUAGGCGUCACCAUCUCGGGGUGCCCGCCCGGCCGCCCCCAACACCACUAGUGCCGGGGCGUCCUGCCGAAGCUACCAUGGCGCCCAACCCCUCGGCGGCGCUACGCCCUUUCCGCGGCUCUCCCCAGCCGAGCAGCUCGACCGCCGUCGCCAGGGUCUGUGCUACAACUGCGACGAGCCCUACGUGUCGGGCCAUGUCUGUUCGCGGCUCUUUUGCUUGGAGGCUGCGGAUUACAUCGAGGAGGACACUGCCGCCGACGGGCUUGGCGAUCUGCCCGCCCCAGUCGCCGCGGAGGUAGCGCGGGCACCCGCUCCGGCGACCGCCCUUGUGGUCUCCCUCCAUGCCCUCGCGGGUAUACGAGCGGAGAAGACUAUGUUGCUGCCGGUGAUGAUCAACGGCGAGCGCCUCCUGGCACUGCUGGAUACGGGCUCCACCCAUAACUUCCUGCCAGCGUCCACCAUGCAUCACUUGGUGCUCCAGCCAACGGGCGGGGAGCAACUCAGGGUGACCGUGGCUGACGGUGAUCGCCUCCACUGUCUGGGGAUUGCGCGGCAUGUUCCCAUCAUCGUCGGCAAUGAGCACUUCAUCAUCACGUGCAUCGGCAUCGACUUGGGUUGCUUCGACUUCAUCCUCGGUGUCGACUUUUUGCGGACCCUGGGUCCCAUCCUCUGGGACUUCGACGCUAUGACGAUGGUCUUCUGGCGCCUGGGUCGUCGUGUCCGGUGGGAGGGCGUGGGUGGCCCUUCAUCCGUGGCGCCCCAUCCACAGCUGACGGUGGUUGCCGCCGAGCCCGAGCAGCCCCUGUUGGCUCGUCUCUUGCAGCAGCACAGCGACCUCUUCGACGAGCCCUAGGGCCUUCCGCCAGCCCGAGUCUACGACCACCGCAUUCACCUGCUCCCUGGCAUAGCUCCCAUGGGGUCCGUCCAUACCGCUACCCCCAGCUGCAGAAGGACGAGCUGGAGCAGCGGUGCGCGGUGAUGCUUACCCUGGGCAUCAUCCGGAUCUCGACCUCACCGUUUUUGGCGCCGGUUCUCCUCUCCUCGUUCGCAAGGCGAACGACAUGUGGCGCUGCAUCGACUAUCGUGCUCUUAACUCCAAGUCACUCAAGGACAAAUUUCCCAUUCCGGUCGUCAAUGAGAUCUUGGACGAGCUACAGGGAGCGCGUUUCUUCACCAAGCUUGACCUUCGUUUGGGAUAUCACCAGGUACGGAUGCAUCUGGAUGAUGUCGAGAAGACGGCCUUUCGCACUCGCCAUGGCCACUUUGAGUUUUUGGUGAUGCCUUUUGGCCUCUCCAAUGCCCUGGAGACAUUUCAGGCUUUGAUGAAUGAUGUCCUCCGCCCCUACUUGUGCCGGUUUGUGCUCGUUUUCUUUGAUGACAUUCUUAUCUACAGCUCAUCGUGGGUAGAGCACCUACAACACGUGGCCAUCGUCUUUAACGAGCUUCGAGCGCACCAUCUGCACCUCAAGCGCUCGAAGUGCUCGUUCGGCACGACAUCAGUUGCCUACCUCGGCCACGUCCUCUCGGCGGAGGGUGUCACUAUGGAUGCCGACAAUGUGGCGGCUGUUGCGGCUUGGCUGACGCCGCAUUCGCUGCGGGCCCCCUGCGGUUUCCUGGGCCUCGCGGGCUACUAACGGAAGUUCAUCCGGGAGUUCUGCCUCAUCGCGGCUCCGCUCACGCGCCUGUUGUGCUGCGAUGCCUACUCCUGGGAUACUGAUGCGACCGAGGCGUUUCAGACCCUCAAGCAGGCUCUCACUACGGGGCCGGUCCUCCAGAUGCCUGACUUCGACAAGCUGUUCAUGGUGGACUGUGACGCCUCCGGCGUGGGGUUUGGUGCCGUCCUUCAUCAGGGCGACGGGCCGCUCACCUUCUUCAACAAGCCCUUCGCCGCGCGUCAUCACAAGCUCGCGGCCUAUCAGAGGGAGCUCAUCGGCUUGGUACAGGCGGUACGCCACUGGCGGCCAUAUCUAUGGUGGCGCCCGUUCCGUGUUCGCACGGAUCACUACAGCCUCAAGUUCUUGUUGGACCAGCGCCUCUCCACCGUGCCGCAGCAUCAGUGGAUCAGCAAGCUGUUUGGCUUCAACUUCACCGUCGAGUGCCGCUCGGGUCGCCUAAACACCAUGGUGGAUGCCUCGUGAUGCUGACCCCGACUCGGACGCCAUCGACACCGCGGGGACGGUGCUUUGCAUCCGCUCGGGGCCCUCCUUUGCCUUCAUCGAUGACAUCCUCCAUGCCACAGCGGACACCCAGCUCCUCCAUCAGCGGCUCGGGGACGGCGACCUGGAGGAACCAUGGCGCCUACACGACGACUUGCUUUUGCACGGGCACCGGCUUUCCGUGCUGGAUCACGGCGACCUCCGCCACCAGGCCCUGUUGCUGUCUCACUCUGCCGGCCACGAGGGUGUGCAGAAGACCCCCCACCAUAUCCGGGCAGAUUUAUACAUCCCCGGCAACCACGCGCUGGUAUGAGACUGGGUGCGGUCUUGUGUGACGUGCCAGUGCAACAAGACAGAGACACUGCAGCCGGCGGGCCUGUUACAGACCCUUGAGGUGCCAUCACAGAUCUGGGCCGACAUCUCCAUGGACUUCAUCGAGGGCCUUCCAAAGGUGGGUGGCAAGUCCGUCAUCCUUAUGAUGGUCGACUGCUUCUCUAAGUAUGCACACUUCAUUGCACUCGACCAUCCCUACACCGCCACCUCCGUUGCGCGGGCCUUCUUCGACGGCAUCGUCCGCCUCCACGGGUUCCCCUCUUCGAUCGUCAGUGACUGUGAUCUGGUGUUCACUGGCCAUGUCUAGCGCGAUCUUUUUCGGAUGGCGGGCCAGAACGGCCAGUCUGAGGUGGUCAACAAGGUGAUUGCUAUGUACUUACGUUGUGUUACAGGUGAUCGUCCACGUGCUUGGGUGGUCUGGCUCUCUUGGGCAGAGUACUGCUACAACACCUCCUACCACUCUGCCCUGCGUGCCACGCCCUUCGAGGUGGUCUAUGGUCGCCCUCCACCACCCAUCCUGCCGUUUCAGCCCGAGAUGGCCCGGACUGAGGCGGCGGCCGAGCUUCUCCACAGCCGGGAUGAUAUCCUUGCCGAGGUGCGCCAGCGUCUUCUCCAGGCCUAGCAGCUGUCCAAGAAGUACUAUGACGCACACCACUGCGAGGCGGAGUAUGUGGUGGGAGACUAGGUGUGGUUGUGUCUACUCCACCGCACUACGCAGUCACUCGACCCGCGCGCUAAGCGCAAGCUGGGUCCCCGCUAUGCGGGGCCGUUUCCGGUGCUGGAGCGCAUCGGCAACGUCGCCUACCGCCUUUAGCUGCCAUCUGGCGCUCGCAUCCACGGCAUCUUCCAUGUGGGCUUAUUGAAGCCUUUCUAAGGCGAGCCACCGGCGGCCAUGCUGGAUCUCCUUCCGACCUCCGAGAGCCGUCUACUUCCCGGUCCAGCGAAGGUGUUGAAGGCCCAGCAGAGUUGCGGUGUUUGGCGCUUGUUGAUCCACUAGCAAGGCUUUCCGGAGGAGGACGGUGACGCAAAUGUGUACGAUCAAGAUCAGGGACUCACGGGAAGAUAUCACAACACAAUGCUAGACACAAAUAAAAUAAUACAAGCUUUAUAUUACAAGCCAGGUACAAGCUUUAUAUUACAAGCCAGGGGCCUCGAGGGCUCGAAUACAAGCUCGAUACACAAGAGUCAGCCGAAGCAACAAUAUCUAAGUACAAACAUAAGUUAAACAAGGCUGCCCUAAGAAGGCAAACACAAAAGCAACAACGAUCGAAGAGGCAAGGCCUCCUGCCUGGGACCUCCUAACUACUCCUGGUCGUCGGCUGUCUCCAUGUAGUAGUAUCCAUCGGCGGUGGCAUCUGGCUCCAGGGAUCCACCAUCUGGUUGCAUCAACCGGAAAGAAGAAAGAAGGGGGAAAAGGGGUAGCAAAGCAACCGUGAGUACUCAUCCAAAAUACUCGCAAGCAUCAGAUCUAUACUAAGUAUGCAUUGGUAUCAAAUGGAAGGUUUGUAUCUGUGGACUGAACUGCAGAAUGCCAGGAUAGAGGGGGAAGGCAUAGCCUAUCAAAGACUAGCAUCUUCAAGCAGCUCCAAGCAUCUUGCAGCAUGUAGAAGAGUAAAGAAUAACAUUUUAAUAUUUAACAAACGUGUUGCAGAAACAACGCCCAGAGAUCCUUCCUCGACUCCUUGCGAGAAAGCAAUCUCGGAGCCACAUAUUCAUCACAUAUCUCAAGUAUCCAUUUCUAGUUAUAUAAGAUCAGGAUAUAAGUCUGAACGUCCAUUACCGUGGACACAGCUGUUAAUAGAUAAUCUUCCCUGCAGGGGUGCACCACGUUUUCCAACACACUUGAUUACUCUGGCCGGACACACUUUUCUGGGUCAAUGUCCGACCUUGGAAGAUCAACACGUCGCAGCCCUACCUAGGCUCAGCAGAGAGGUCCCUGUUGGUUUACAUCCUAAGCACUCCGGGGUCUGGGCCCAUCGCCCGUUGCACUCCGGAUCAUUGCGAGCAGGGUGGAUACCAGCACCGCCUCGGAUGUCCAGCACGAUCCGACCGUGCCGCACUGCUGAACUGGAUGUCUGACAAAGCUUUGGCUGAUACUGUGACGUCGAGGCCCAUAACUAUUCUCGCGUGGCGGUUAAUGCGUAAAGGCCAAAGGCCAACUCAGAACAAAUACCCAAACCUGUUAGUGCAUUGGGGGCUCGCGAAGACGAGCAGAGACUCACGAUAACGUGACCCCGUCGCCCCAUCUCGUGGACUUAUGGAAAGGGCCCAGAAUGCCCGGUCGUGCCUCGUAGAAAACUCGGGGGUGCUCUCCGGGCCCGCCCGACUUUCACAUCAACUCGCAGGUACCCCUCAGGGCCGACCUGACUUCAACAAUGGUCUCAAGUAACCAUGUGUCCAAACAUCAAGGGGAAAACCCGAGGAAUCACCCUCGGUGGAUUCCCACUCGAGGUAACCAUCAAGGUGAACAUAUGAGGAACCACCCUCGAUGUUCACACUUGAGGUGUUGCUCGACAGAGUCAUAUCGGGAGUGGUCAAGGAGGAAUCACCCUCGAUGACCAUGACCAAAUAGCUACACUACAGAAUCAUCAUCAGGAGUGCGUUACGAGGUAUCACCCUCGGCACUUGAUAGUAGCUCUGCAGAGUCGAGCAACAAAAGGGGCGUGAUGUGAUGUGAGGUGUUGGGCUCUGGUCGUCGAUCACGUUGAUCGAGUCGUCGGUGAUGAAGCAUCGGUGAUGAAGCAGAGGCAACAAGUACAAUGGUGUUGCCUAAAAAGUUUCAGGGCCAAUGGAAUUGUUCAAGCAUUUUUAGAAAAUGAAAAGGCCAAUUUUAAAAGUUGCUGGACCACUAAAUAAAUUUCCAGGGGCACCUGGGAAUCCAAAAGAGGUUGGUUCCAACAUGACAAAUAUCCAGGGAUUAUUUGCCACACUUCGAACAUUUUAGUUUUCAUCUUUGGCAAAUCAAAAUUUUUGACUUUAAAUUUGAGUUUGAAUACGAACAGUGAUUUGGAUCAAGUGAGGAUUAGCAACAGUAAUGUGAUGACAUGACACCAUUAGCAGGGGUUUACUGUAGCUUAAUUAUCCGGACGUCACAAGGACGCCACUUGGGAUCUCCUCGACGAGUUUCGCAAGCACUUUCCGGACUUCCAGCUCGAGGACGAGCUGUUUGCGCAGGUGGGGAGAGAUGUUAUGACCGGCCUACAGUAUACCCGGAGGAGGCCCCAUGGCGCAGGCAGUUAGGGGCCUGGCCCAAGUUAUCUCAUCGUUUUAGGGGCUUAGCCCAAUUGUCGUAUUACGAGGAUUAUAUAAACUCAUGUAAAUACUAGUUUUGAAGUUAAGCAGAAGCAAUCAUAUUUGCUCGGCUUCCUUAAGGAGCCUGGAGACCUAACCCUAGCCAGACCCCGCGUCCUCUCUCUCUCCCGCGAUCACGGCGCCUCAGCGCCGUCGGCCGCGCCAACCCUCCUUCCACCCCUAUAAUCUGAGAACUUGUCCUGGUAGGGACCCGGUUCCUAUCGGAUGAGCUGAAGGAUGGCAGACUCUUGUAAGGCCUUGUGGUCAAAGACACAAUUCUAGCCGACCGUGAAUCUGUCACAACUUCCAAUGGUUGUACAUUGUGAACGAAGGGGACUUUUGACAUAAUGUUUCACUUCAAAAUACUAAUAUUGCUGAGAGUCUGUUAGAUUUUGAACUGAGAGCUUGUGGAUGUCUAUCUUGUUACUGACUUGUGUUUUGAGUAGUCAUGACCUAGUUGAUUUGGCAUUUUGAGCUUGAAAACCUGUAUUUUUUUUACGCAUUGAUGGAAAGGAAAUCUACCACAAAUACCAGUUUGUAGUCAUAUUAUUCAUGGGGAGUUGCUGCAUAUCUGCUAGACUGCUACUCGCAUUUACAACUGCUGUUAGAAUGCUUUGAAGCAUUAAUCAUAGUAAUUUUUGUACUUUCGUGAAUCUUAUGCCUAGAUUUCUUUGUUUUCCUUAUUUUGUGAAGUGUUUUCCUGAUAGUUGACACUUUUCACAUGACCAUACCUUUCCUUCUAGUUGUAAUGUUUUCCUGGACAUCACACCUACAACUAUUGCUAGGAUGCUUUGAAGGAGUAUAAAUGCUGACACUUUUGACAUGAUCAUAUCUUUGCUUCUAGUUGUAACAUUUUAUUUUGCCUUGGAUCAUGACGUUGCCCCUUUUCGUUGCAGGAGGCAGGAGCGCUGGAUAAUCAAAUUUGAUGUGGCGCUACAUGAUUUUACCACCAUCAAUUGUUUCUCGGUUCCAGAACGCUGCUGACUUAAACAUGGUUUCCCUCUUUUGCGAAUGAGUAUCAGCAUGAUUUCUAAGUGGCUGUAACAUCGUUAGCCUAGAUAUCUCUGAAUUUGUAUGAAUACCCCACUGUAUGGUUGUAAUUUUGGGGUUUGUAAUGAUGGUUGGUUAUUCUGUCUGUUGGUAUGUUGGAAAUAGACUUUAGACUUGUGAUGAUACUAAGAACUGCAAGGAUAUGUGGAAGUCAUGUUGUUCGAGUUGGAGGGAAAUUUAACAUGGACCAAUGGACCGUAAAUUCAGAAAGUCUUUGUUCUAGUGAUCUUUGUCUUAUUUCAUUUCCUAAAUUUAGGACCUGGGAAGAGGAUCAUAGACAGCAGCCAAAGCAGGAAAAGCAGAAGCACCUUUUGUUUUCUCCGUGAAAGGUCUCUACAUUUUGUUUUUCACUUUCUCUUUCUGUUCUGAUUCGGGCGAUCCAGAGAUGGUUCGUGUGUGAAAUUCUUUGGGUGAUUAAUCUGUUCUUCCGUGCUCGACCAACGAUUCAGAUGGAUCCACUGAGUAUUUUCUUCUUGUUUGGAUGGAGCAGAGCUCUCUGUGCGCACGUCCUUGAUUUUGGAGAGCUCUUUUCUUGGUGAGGUUCUUCCGCACUUUGUUCCAUUUCGUGUUCUCGUGUUCUGCGUGUCCUUGCUCCUGCAGUCCUACCGUCUUUGCCUCUGCAGUUGGAGAUCUUCGGUCACGUGGUUCGUAUGAAGAAAGAAGAUCAAAUAUUGACGUCCACUAUCUUUGUGAGGCAUGUAUGGUACGGCCAGCCGCCGGCUGGAAUCGACAUUUCAUGUAAUUUCCAUUUGCUAAUGUAAGCUGUUCUAAAAGAAAAUAUAAAUGAUCUCAUGUUAUUUGGCUUAAUUCGUUAGUCAUAGAGUUUGGUUCAAUUCGAGCUGAGUCACGAGUUACUUGUUUAGCUUUGAUUUUCGAUUUUUAAUUCGAGCCUAUAAGAGUAAGGAAACCAUUCUUAUCCGUAGUUUGACAUGAACUAUUCUCCAGACCUUUUGCUCACCGUCGGCUACGGGACAUCCGAGUGAAAUCCCUCACCUGGUUCUAACCUCCUGUUUUUAAUGCAACCGUGUUCGCCUAACCCCGCCAAUUCCUCUCGUCUGUUUCUCGAUACAUCUUAGUCAUCGGACCGCAUACAUCGGUAUGUAUUAUUUCUAAUAAGUUAGUAGCUCGUUCCAUUGUUCCAGAGAACGAAGUCUUAGUCAUCUUGCCCAUGAGGCAUGGUUAGCAAGCAUCAAGUGAUUCCAAUAUAACCUAAACGGCAGUGCUACUAAUAAGUUUUACUAACUUUGCAUCUUUUGGCUACAAUAUUAUGAACAUAUGUAUCACCACGAUCGAGAUUCAAUAAAAAUAGACCACUCAUCAAGGGUGCAUGGCCAUAAAAGAUAUUACUCAUAUAAAUAGAACAAUCAUUAUUCUCUGAUUUAAAUGAAUAACCGUCUCGCAUCAAACAAGAUCCAGAUAUAAUAUUCAUGCUCAACGCUAGCACCAAAUAACAAUUAUUCAGGUCUAAAACUAAUCCCGAAGGUAGAUAUAGAGGUAGCGUGCCGACGGCGAUCACAUCGACCUUGGAACCAUUUCCGACGCGCAUUCACCUCAUCCUUAGUCAAUCUUCGUUUAAUCCGUAGCCCCUGUUUCGAGUUGCAAAUAUGAGCAACAGAACCAGUAUUAAAUACCUAGACGCUACUACGAGCAUUAGUAAGGUACACAUCAACAGCAUGUAUAUCAAAUAUACCUUUCACUUUGCCAUCCUUCUUAUAAGCCAAAUACUUGGGGCAGUUCCGCCUCCAGUGACCAGUCCCUUUGCAGUAGAAGCACUCAGUUUCAGGCUUAGGUCCAGACUUGGGCUUCUUCCCGGGAGUAGCAACAUGCUUGCUAUUCUUCUUGAAGUUCCCCUUCAUCCCUUUGCCCUUUUUUUUGAAACUAGUGGUCUUGUUAACGAUCAACAGUUGAUACUACUUCUUGAUUUCUACCUCCGCAGCCUUUAGCAUUGCGAAGAGCUCGGGAAUUGUCUUUUCCAUCCCUUGCAUAUUAUAGUUCACCAUGAAGCCUUUAUAGCUUGGUGGCAGUUGAAAAAUCGAGGAUGUCGCCUAGAGGGGGGUGGUGAAUAGGCGUUUUAAAAUAAUUACGGUUUAGGCUUGAGCAAAUGCAGAAUAAACCUAGCGGUUAAAUUGUCAAGCACAAAACCUACAACAACUAGGCUCACCUAUCUACACCAACAACUUAUUCUAAGCAAGAUAAACAACUAAGUGAUAGCAAGAUAUAUGACAAGAAACAAUAUGGCUAUCACAAAGUAAAGUGCAUAAGUAAAGGGCUCGGGUAAGAGAUAGCCGAGGCACGCGGAGACGAUGAUGUAUCCCGAAGUUCACACCCUUGCGGAUGAUAAUCUCCGUUUGGAGCGGUGUGGAUGCACAAUGCUCCCAAAGAAGCCACUAGGGCCACCGUAAUCUCCUCGCGCCCUCGCACAAUGCAAGAUGUCGUGAUUCUACUAAGUGACCCUUGAGGGCGGUCACCGAACCCGUACAAAUGGCAACCCUUGGGGGUGGUCAACGAAUCCGUACACUUUGGCAACCCUUGGGGGCGGUCACCGGUACCCGUCAAAUUGCUCGGAGCGAUCUCCACAACCUAAUUGGAGACCCCGACGCUUGCCCAGAGCUUUACACCACAACGAUUGAGAUCCGAACAGCACCAGCCGUCUAGGCGCCCAAGCACCUAAGAGGAACAAGCUCAAGCAUACCAAGCACCCAAGAGCAAUAAGGUUCUUAACUUGUAACUUCCACGUAUCACCAUGGAGAACUCAAACCGAUGCACCAAAUGCAAUGGAAAGGGCACACAGAGUGCCCAAGUACUUCUCUCCUAAAUCCCACCAAAGCAACUAAUGCUAGGGAAGAAAUGAGUGGAAGAACAAUAAGGAGAACACCAAGAACUCCAAGAUCUAGAUCCAAGGGGUUCCCCUCACAUAGAGGAGAAAGUGAUUGGUGGAAAUGUGGAUCUAGAUCUCCUCUCCUCCCCCCCAAAACUAGCAAGAAUCCAUGGAGGGAUUGAGAGAUAGCAAGCUCGAAGAAGGUCAACAAUGGGGGAAGAACACGAGCUCAAAGGAUAAGGUUCGUUGGGGAAGAAGACCCCCCCCUUUAUAGGUGGGAAAAAAUCCAACUGUUAUGCUCACAGCCUGCACAGAGCGGUAGUAUCGCUCAUGGGAGCAGUACUACCGCUAGGGCGGUGGAAGCCCUUUGAAAAACAACAGCGAGGAGGCAAAAGGCCGGUAGAACCAUCGGAGCGGUGCUAAAAAAAUACAUUUGUGCCUACCACCGCUGGAGUAGUGACGAGUUUUUGGUCCAGAGCGGGAGUAGCCAUGGAAGUAGCUGCGGUAGUACCGCUCCAAGCGGUAGUACCACUCCCAAGAUUGGUAGUAAAAAAUUACAUCCCCUCCAAGCGGUAGUACCGCUCCCAUGAGCGGUAGUACCGCUGUGGCCUUUUUAAGGACACCAAAACUAACACAACUUAUGCAAACGGACUCCAAAUUCAACGAAACCAAGUUUGUUGGAAAGCUAGCAACAAGGACUAACACAAUCUUGAUAGAAAUAACAAUAAGAAGGAAAUUAUAAAAUGCCCAUAAGAAAAUGGUGAGAACCCUUCCUCGAAUAAGACCGGUAAAACCUCCAACACCGAAAAUGCAAUAGAAGAAGCAUGUGAACUCCGUUUCGAUGAACUCGAGCUUGUCAAGAAGAUGACCAUAAGCUCCAAAUCUCACAAGGAUAAAACCAAACAAGAACCAAGAAAGAUGAUGCAAGCAUCCAAUGGUUUGAGCUCUCUACGAAUGGUACGAUCAAGCUACUCACUUGAGAGAGCCCCCCCUUGAUAGUACGACAAUCGAUCCUAUAACCCGGUCUCUAAACUACCACCAUGAGACCGGUAAAAUAGAGAACCUAUCAAGGCCAAACCUUUGCCUUGCACAAAGUCCACUUGAGCUAGAUGUAGACGAUCUUGACUUCCUCAAGUUGGACCACCUUUCUUGAUUGCGCUGGCUCGGUGAAGACUAGGAAAUUGCUCCCCCAUACUCCACUAUUGGUGAGCCACUCUUCGGUACGUCUUCACAAGUCCAUUUUCACCACAACGGACGAAAAUCUUCAAGCACUUGAUCUCUUCAUGAUGCAUCACUUGAACGUGCACACUGCAACCUAACCCCACAAAAAACUCUCACGAAGACAAUGGGUUAGUACACAAAGCGUAACUGACAAUGCUUACUGAUAUGUCUCCAUCAUAUCUAUAAUUUUUGAUUGUUUCAUGCCAAUAUUAUUCAACUUUUACAUACUUUUGGCAACUUUUUAUAAGAUUUAUUUGGACUAACUUACUUAUCCAGUGCCCAGUGCCAGUUUCUAUUUGUUGCGUGUUUUUGUAUCGCGGAAAACCCAUAUCAAACAAAGUCCAAACGUGAUGAAACUCUACGGAGAAUUAUUUUGGAAUAUUUGUGAUUUUUGGGAGUUCUAAUCACCGCAAAUGGAGGCCCACACGACCAUGAUACACUAGGGCGCGCCCCGGGCCCCUGGCGCGUGGUGGUGGGUUGUGCUCACCUCGUACGUUGGUUGGAGCUGUACUUCGGGCACAAGGAAGGUUAUAUCAGGAAAAAAAUUGUAUAAAAACAUCAGCGCAAUCGGAGUUACGAAUCUCCGAGAAUAUAAGAAACAAUUUUUGCCCAGAUCCGGGGAGCGCGAAACAGAAGAAAACAGAGAGGGAGAUCCAAUCUCGGAGGGGCUCCUGCCCCUCCGCCGCCAUGGAGACCAUGGACCAGAGGGGAACCCUCCUCACAUCUAGGGGGAGGCCAAGGAAAAAAAGAAGGAGGGGGCUCUCUCCCCCUCUCUCCCGGUGGCGCCGGAGCGCCGCCGGGUCUAGGAUCAUGAUGGCGAUCUUCAUCAACAAUCUUGGUACCAUCAACACCAACUCUCUCCCCCUCUACUCAGCGGUGUAACACCCCUUCUCCCUGCUGUAAUCUCUACUUAAACAUGGUGCUCAACUCCAUAUAUUAUUUCCCAAUGAUCUAUGGUUAGUAGAUCCGUUUUGUCCUAUGGGUUAAUCGUGAUCUUGGUUGGUAUGAUUGUAUAUUUUAUUUAUGGUGCUAUCCUACGGUCCCCUCCGUCUCACAAAAACGUGAGGGGGCUCCACUAUAGGGUGUUGCAAUAUAUUCAUGGUUUGCUUAUUGUCAGUGUUGCGCGGGUGACAGCAGCCUAAACGCGGAUAAGUGGGUCAUGGUGUAUGGGAGUAAAGAGGACUUGAUACUUAAUGCUAUGGUUGGAUUUCACGACGUUAAUGAUCUUUAGUAGUUGCAGAUGCUUGCUAGGGGUCCAAUCAUAAGUGCAUAUGAUCCAAGUAGAGAAAGUAUGUUAGCUCAUGCCUCUCCCUCAUAUAAAAUUACAAGAAUGAUUACCGGUACUUGUUAUCGAUUGCCUAGGGACAAAUGACUUUCUUAUUGACAAAAGCUUUCCACUUUUACUACCUUGAAUUUUAUUCUUAGUUUUAUUCUCACAAAGUACUCGUAGUUUUAUUCUUGCAAACUAGUUUCAUACUUGUUCUAGGUAAAGCAAACGUCAAGUGUGUGUAGAGUUGUACCGGUGGUCGAUAGAACUUGAGGGAAUAUUUGUUCCGCCUUUAGCUCCUCGUUGGGUUCGACACUCUUAUUUAUCGAAGAAGGCUACAAACGAUCCCCUAUACUUGUGGGUUAUCAAGACCUUUUUUUGCCGCCGUUGCCGAGGAGCAAUAGCAUGGGGUGAAUAUUCUCGUGUGUGCGUGUUUGCUUUAUCACUAAGUAGUUUUUAUUUCCUAUUCUAAGUUGUACUCUAUCUCUAGUUAUGGAUAUGGAACACAAAACACCAAAAAUAUUAGUGGUACUUGCUACUCAUGGAGAUGGGGAACCUCCUAAAACCCUCGAUGCUCGUUAUGUGAAAAAUAUUAUGCACUACUUUGAUAAUCCUGAGAAAACCCCAUUCAACUUGAUAAUGGGAGUAAUGUUGGAUCAACGUGAAUACUUUAGGGAUUAUUGCUUGACUCAAAAAGGGAAAUUGUUAUGGGAUCAAAUUCAUAUGUUGCAUUGGUAUGCUCGGGAGCUAUGCUUGAGAUAUGAUUUUACUUGUUGCUCUAGGAUGAAUGCUCCACACCUUCCCUUUUCAUGCAAAGUUAAUGAUAAUGAAACCUUGGCUUCUUAUGCCAAUGGUAUAUAUGAUUACGAUGAUGUAGAACAAAUAGAAGAAUUUGUUGUUUUAAGGGUGCUUAUGAAAUUGAAUCUUUGUUUUUAAAGUAUGAAGCUUUUGAUGAUGAAGUUUAUAGACCUGAAAAUUUUGCCAUCCUUAAAUAUUGCUAUGAUAAUUAUAAAUACAAUUCCGAUAUUGAUGCAUUUAUUGAGAAAAUCUCCGCUGUCCAAGAAGAGACUAAUAUUUUGCAGGAGUCUAUGGAAGAAGGAAUUGAUGAAAAUGUGAGCUCAUUGGAUGAAAAAGAUGACGAGGAGAGCGAAGAACAAAAGGAUGAAAAGCGGAUUAGCUACCCAUUGUCGGUGUCAAAACCGGCAGAUCUCGGGUAGGGGGUCCUGAACUAUGCGUCUAAGGCUAAUGGUAACAGGAGGCAGCGGACACGAUGUUUUACCUAGGUUCGGGCCCUCUCGAUGGAGGUAAUAUCCUACUUCCUGCUUGAUUGAUCUUGAUGAUAUGAGUAUUACAAGAGUUGAUCUACCACGAGAUCGUAGAGGCUAAACCCUAGAAUCUAGCCUAUGAUUAUGAUUGUUGUUGUCCUAUGGACUAAACCCUGCAGUUUAUAUAGACACUGGAGGGGGCUAGGGUUACACAGAGUCGGUUACAGAGAAGGAAAUCUGCAUAUCCGAAUAUCCAAGCUUGCCUUCCACGCAAAGGAGAGUCCUAUCCGGACACGGGACGAAGUCUUCAAUCUUGUAUCUUCAUGGUCCAACAGUCCGGCCAAAGUAUAUAGUCCGGCUGUCUGAGGACCCCUUAAUCCAGGACUCCCUCAGUAGCCCCUGAACCAGGCUUCAAUAACGAUGAGUCCGGCGCACAAAUUGUCUUCGGCACUGCAAGGCGGGUUCCUUCUCUGAAUACUCCAUAAAAGAUUUAGAACACAAGGAUCGUGUCCGGCUCUGUAAAACAAAUUCCACAUACCACCGUAAAGAGUAUAAUAUUCCACAAAUCUAAUCUGCUGACAGCUUAUUAUGACAUCACGCCAUGGUCCGAUCUUUAUUCGAACUGUUUUAAUAACCAGCCACUACACGCGCGGCGAGGCGGUUUUAUUGGCACGUCUUGUCGAAGCAGAGAUCGUGUCCCCCUUAUCACGGGAUUCUCAUCAAUACAGGUGUGGGUAACCCAACCAUGUUUGUUUAAUAGGACUCCUCGAUUUUAGGCAAGUCCCAAACGGUCAUGCGGGGGAUGCUUGAUAUUCGUCCUCUUUGUAAAGGGGGCCAAGGCCUGUCCUUUUCUUUCCACGCUCGAUCCUUCCCCUCCCGCACCUCGAGUUCCAACACCCAAGGCUCAAGCUAAAGCACUUCGUUCCUUCGACCAUGUCCGGAUCCAAUCAAGGCUGGUGGAUGGCCUCCUCCAUCACAGAGGAGGACAUCCGGAAGCUGAGGGAGGCUAGGUAUCUCUCCGCCGAGAUUCAGCACAGGCUACCUGCUCAAGGGCAGGUCGUCCCCACUCCCGAACCCAACGAGAGCGUUGUUUUCAUAUCCCACUUUCUUUCGUGGAGACUUCUGAUUUAUGGCAGCGGGAGUGAUUCUACAUCACCGCCCCCCGAGGUACAAAGCGGGUGGCCGCCCCAGCGUUCCGGGCCCUCCACCGCAACUGGCGUCAUGGGUCAACAAGGGGCUAGACUAGGGGUCGGUUAACGAUGUGCUGACAUUGCAAAGCCGCAUCUGAGACUUUCUCAAGAGGGAUGUCAGUCUUGUCAAGAUAAUGCAAGUGAUGCUGGUUCGUCGAGUCCUGCCCUGCCAAUGUUGUCCUCUCCGUAUGGGGGAGUUCAACCCGGAAGGACCGUGAACCAUUCAACAAUUCUUCGGCAUGACGCUCAAAGAGAUGUAUGAGUCAUUCUUCGGAUGACGAAUAAAGUGUCCGGACACCACCGAGGAUGCGGGUCUCAAUUGUAACCGUCCGGAUACCCAGGUAAAUAUUUCUGUUACCAAAUACACCAUCCUUUAUGUUUAUUAUAACAUCAUUCUAAAAAAAUUACUCUCUGCCAGGACUGGCUGAAGAAGACGGAGAGGAUUAGGUGUCUGGCCCCUCUUCCCGAAGGCUCUCUGAAUCCUUUGUUGACCAGGAUGCUUGACCGUGCGCUGUAUCAGGUGCCAUCAAGAGAAGAUGAGGGGAGGAAUAGAGAAGCCACAGAUGGGCCUAAUUUUUUACACAUCCAGAUUGGAGGAGUAGGUGCCUCAACGAAGGAGAAUAAUCAGGGAGGGGAAUCUAAAAUUCCCUCUCCUCAAGGUAAGAAAAGGGCCGCCUCCGAAGAUUUGGAAAUAGAGGCUUCUAAAUGAGGGAAGAAAACCUCGCAAGGGGGCCAGCCCUCCACCGAGCCGUAAGUGAAAGAGUACUUUGAUAGACAUAUCCUAUUUUGUCUCUGAGAAUAAUGACCGAAACAUGUUUGUUGCAGUCCGGCUCGUAGCCCUUCUCCACAGAGUUCGUCCUCGGGGGAUUUUCCUUCGGAGGUGAUGGAGAGCAAGACGCCUCCCUCUGCCUCCCCAUCACAAGGGGUGGACGACCCCGAGGUGUCGUUACGGAGGAUUUCUCCGAUCCACCAAGGCCAGAAGUUGACACUUCGGCUGCCCGGUGUCUGGAAUAUCCGGCUCCCAAAGAGAGCUUCAGGAGGAGUCCGAGAUUGUCCGACACACAGCCAUACACACUAAUGGGCCUUCUGGAGCGAGCGGCCAUCUCAGAGACACAUCGUGCCUUAAUGGGUACGGUGGUUGAGAGGAUUUCAUCCGCGAAAAGCGAUUUGAAUGAAGCUUUUACGAGUCUACUGAGAGGCUUUGAGGUACGCAAAAAAUGUAUUUUUGAUGGUUCCGCACAUGCUAAGUGUACUCUGUAUAGAUAGUAGCCCCUGAGACUCUGGUUGCCAUCAACGUGGCAAACAGAGGAUCAUAAUCUCUGGUAAUAAGCGCGCUGCUUUAUGUGCAGGUGGCUGAGGGUCCGACGACCGACCGAUCGUCUGAUGUUGCUGAACUAAAGCGGCAGCUGGACGUGGCCGAUGCCGACAUCGCACUUGUUAACAAGCGGCUUGAUGAGGCCCAGGGUAGUAUAUUCGGCUUGUCAGCAAAUUUUUAAGAGGAGCAUGAUGCUAGUAUCAAUAAUAUGCUGUGACUGCAGAUGGAGCUGCUGCCGUGGAGACCCUUAGGGCGGAGCUUGCCCGAGCCAAGGAGCAAGACCGGAUGAGUGAUGCGGCCGCUGUGAAGGCGGUCGAGGAGUUAAGAGCCGAACAGGCUGCUCAUCAUCGGAGCGAAGAAAAGAUAGCCCAGAUGGCUACCGAGCUGGAAGAUGCCGCCAACCGCUGUGAGCUCCUUGAAAAGGAAAAUUCAAGCAAAAGCGGCUUACCUGUAGAAGGCCCUGGAGGCAGCCAAGGAAACCCGCUCUGAAAUGAGGGGGAUGAGGGAGGAGCUUCGUGAAGCCGGAGAUAUCGUGGCUGGAAAGCCCUAUCUAUUGCAGAUGAAAUUCGGAGAUCCGAAGUAUGCUCCCUAGAUCAGUUGUGGAGUGCGGCAGACGCAUAUGCUGACCUGGCAAAGAGUGAUGCUAAUGCAUCCGAGUUUUACAAAGAUCGGAAAGACCAUAAUGCUGAGAGGUUAUUCUGGUCACAGUUCAGUGCCCCGCCGCGUCCGCUGCCAUUAAAUGAAAAGAUGGCCGCAUGGGCCGAACUCCACAGGUUGUCCGGGCUUGCUAUGAGGUCUGUCGUGGAUCAUCUUUGGCCACAAGGACCAAGGCCGGACAACUAUUUUGGUUUGGUGCAACAAUUCCUUGGUGCUGUGUCACAUAUCGAUGCCGUGAAGAGGUCGGCGUGCAUAGAGGGUGUGUGGAUGGCGCUUGCCCGUGUUAAAACAUACUGGGCUAGGAUGGAACCCACCGCUAUUGCAACCCGGAGUGCGGCGGACGGCUAGGACCCGCCCGAGCACUAUUUCAAAGAAGUCUUAGAAGGCGCCCGUUUAAUAGAGGCUCAGUGCUCGAAGAGUGCCAUGUUCGAAUGACAUGUAUCGCUAUUGUAAAGACAAUGCUAUUUUGAUUAUCAAGGCUGUGUUUAUACUUUUGCCCAAAAGUAUUAUAAUGCCUCCUGUGCGGCCAUUUAUGUAUAUAUAUAACCUAAAAGUUUGCAGUCAUCAGCUUCAGCCCCCACACAUAUAAUGUGGGGGUGUUCGAGAAAACGCGUAGUCACACUUGAUCCAACAUCUUGGUCCAUUAAGGAGGUGAUAGCGCGGCGAACCAGGCAAUCAGGCUAUAUAGCUUUAACACUUUCACUUAGCCAUAGGAGUUUGACGGUGGGGCUACUAGAUAGCCCCUGGUACUUUCGCGUUCAGCCGGAUAUGGUGCGUGUAUGUACUUGACCGGGAAACCAGUCCUUCGUUAAUGCAGAGGAAUCGUGAAGAUUCUGCUGGGUCAUCGAGUGGUUGACCAGUCUCGCGUUGUAUCAUGAUAGCCAGUUUUCGGCUUUCUCUACUGGGGUGCUCGUCUAGGUGAACCGGGGCACAAUCGCAGUAGUCCUCCUGGUGCCGCCUUAGCCGAUAGAACGUAACGUAAGGGAGCAAAACACGGGAGCCGGGCAAACCCAACAUUUGACCAAAGACAUGAUUCGAAGCUGAUGCAUAUAAGGCCAAACUCGCGACGCCGAACACUCUCUAAGGUAUUCGGACUUUAUAAUGUGUGCUGGGCUGAAUAACGCCCUUGACAAUAAGCCCUGAGUUUCCAGGUAUGAGCAGUAGUCUGCUGUGACAAAAAUGCCAAAAACGCCAGUAUCCCACCCGGUUGAAUAAGGUUUCAGGAGGGGAAGAAGCAACAAGAGAUAUUAAAAAGGUUUACGCAGGGUCUUAAUCUAAAAAGAAACCUUUGAGCGGGGCCCUGCUGCACGUCUGCGCCUUUAUCUCCGUUGUGUUGUAUCCUAGAAGGGUGUAGCACGAUGAUCAUCUGUAAAAGAAAAAAACCAGGUGAAAGACUUUGUGCGAGGUGUUCAUUAAUCUGAAUGAACCAUGGAAAUGCAAUAUGCUAUUGUAUUGAUAGGGUUGAGCCAAACUAUGGGCUCUUUUUGCGAGCAGCCCCUAGCAUCUUUGAUGGGGAAAUCCCAACUGGGCUGUUACAUUUGGUGGAGCACCGGACUCGUCAAAGCGUGUCCGUGGUCUUGACGACCGGCCAUUAGUCCUAGUUGGAGGGACCGCUCAGUGUUCGGCUGCUAGGGCCGCCACAUAUUCUUCCGCGCGUAAGGAACGCUCUGUAUUUCCACUAACUGUGAUGACGCCGCGUGGACCGGGCAUCUUAAGUUUGAGGUAGGUGUAAUGUGGUACUGCAUUAAAACGAGCGAAGUCCGUUCUUUCGAGUAGUGCGUGAUAGCCACUUCGGAAUGGAGCGAUGUCGAAGGUUAAUUCCUCGCUUCUGAAGUUGUGGGGAGAACCGAAUACAACCUCUAGUACUAGAGAGCCCGUACAGUGGGCCUCAAUGCCUAGUAUUACUCCUUUAAAGGUAGUGUUACUUAGGCUGAUCCUUGAAGGGUCUAUCCCCAUUUUGCGGACAGUGUCCUGAUAUAUCAGGUUUAGACUGCUGCCGCCGUCCAUAAGGACUCGUGUGAGAUGGCAUCCGUCAAUUAUUGGGUCGAGCACCAAGGCAGCCGAUCUGCCGUGCCGGAUACUAGUCGGAUGGUCCCUGUGGUCAAAGGUGAUCGGGCAGGCCGACCAGGGAUUAAAUUUAGGGGCUACAGGCUCAACAACAUAUACGUCUCGAAGUGUGCGCUUGCGCGUUCUCUUUGGAAUGUGAGUUACGUAAAUCAUAUUCACUGUUUUGACUUCUAGUGGGAAUUUCUUCUGUCUUCUAGUGUUCGGCUGACGAGGCUCGUCCUCAUCUUCACUUGGCAUCUCCCUCCCCUUUUGUUCGGCAUUCAGCUUGCCGGCCUGUUUGAAAACCCAACACUCUCUGUGGGUGUGGUUUGCAGGUUUUUCGGGGGUGCCGUGAAUCUGACAUAAUUUGUCUAGAAUCUUGUUUAGGCUAGACUGUCCAUCUCUACUGCCUUUAAAUGGCUUCUUUCGGUGACCGGAUCGAGAGCCCCUGAAUCCGGUGUUAACCGUCGUUUUAUCUGGGCUGCCAUCAUUGUUUCGACGCUUGUUUUUAUUGCGUCGCGACUUCCCAUUGCCAUCCCUGACUUCCGAUGUGCUUGGAUCGCUGGUGCCGCUACGGGCCAGCCAGCUAUCCUCGCCCGCGCAAAAGCGGGUCAUAAGGCUUGUUAAGGCUGCCAUUGUUCUCGGCUUUUCUUGUUCGAGGUGUCUGGCGAGCCAUUCGUCCUGGAUACCGUGUUUGAAGGCCGCUAAGGCUUCAACGUCCGGGCAAUCGACUGUUUGAUUCUUCUUAGUAAGAAACCUGUUCUAGAGCUUUCGGGCUGACUCUCUGGGCUCUUGAAUUAUGUGACUUAGGUUGUCUGCGUCCGGAGGCCGGACAUAGGUCCCUUGAAAAUUGGCCCUGAAAGCAUCCUCGAGCUCUUCCCAACUUCCAAUUGAGUUUCCGGGAAGGCUUUUCAACCAGUGCCGAGCUGGUCCCCUUAAUUUGAGGGGUAGAUAUUUAAUGGCGUGGAGAUCAUCUCUGCGAGCCAUGUGGAUAUGAAGGAUAAAGUCCUCGAUCCAGACCCCAGGGUCUGUAGUUCCGUCCUAUGCCUCUAUAUUCACAGAUUUAAAUCCUUCUAGAAAUUCAUGAUCCAGAACCUCAUCGGUGAAGCACAGGGGGUGUGCGGCACCCCUGUAUUUGGUCGUGUUGUGGCAUGUUUUCGACAGUUGUUGUGUUCGGUUCUGGUUCCUAGCUGGUGUUCGAUCAAUGUGAUCAUUUCGGUAGCUCUGAUCCUGUGCCGGAGCGCGCUUCCUAGAUCCGUAGAUGGAUCUGGCCAUACCGGACUUUCUGUCUAGGAGCUCACGUAAAUCGUGUGCUGACUUGUGUGCGGCAUCAUUAGCCGUCUUGUCACGGCCACGGGGCGGUCGGUCCGACUGAUCGGUUGUUUUCGGCUGAAUGGGCUCUACGGCCUCGUCGUUGAAUUCGGGCAGCAGCUUGCGCUUUGGAUAGCUCUUUGUGUGACGAUCGUCGCUGUAUUUUUCUUCUGUGUCGAGUACUUUGUUCCACCUGCGGUUGAGCGUAUCCUGCGCGGCCUUAAGCCUUUGCUUCUGCUUCUUUAGACUCCUUGCGGUGGCGAUAAGCCUUCUGUGGAGGUUCUCUUGUUCUAAGAGUUUGUCUAGGAUGAUGAGUACAUCAUCGUCCGGGCUGUUCUCCUCUCCGGAGAUAGGUUGUUGAAUUUUACCCUCGGGAUCGGCAUUAUCUGACAUUGGCUCCGGACUGUUUUCACCGUCCCCUGGCUCACCCUGCUCCAUCGCUGGGUCCAUGGGGUCGUCGAUUCCUUUGGAAUCAACCGGGGUAUUAUUAUUUCUUGCAUUGUUGUCUCUGUUUUUACCGUGGCGGGAUUUAGAGCGGCGUCUACGGCGCCACUUUGGUGGCUUAUCGAGGGGAUUAUCCUUCGUUGUAUCGUCACCAUCGCCUUCUUUUGGUUUGUCCACCAUGUAUAUAUCGUAUGAUGAGGUGGCAGUCCAGCGCCCAGUGGGCGGGGGUUCCUGUUCUUCUCCUGUGUCGUCGUACAUACCGUCGAUGUCUUCGCAGUCGAAAUCGAGCGUGUCGGUUAAGUCAUCGACAGUGGGUAUGAAGUGAGUGGUGGGUGGGGAACGAAUUUCUUCGUCGUCCGCUCCCCACUCGAGCCGGACAUAGUUCGGCCAAGAAUCUCCUAACAAGAACAGAGACCUUAAGGAGUUCAGCACAUCACCUAAGGGUGAGUGGUGAAAAAUAUCUGCGGUGGUGAACUCCAUGACGGGUGCCCAAUCUGAUUCGAUAGGCACGGACGUACGCGGUUCGGAUCCUGCAGCCGGGGGCGAGGCUGGGGGUUCGAUGACGCCACUCUCACAGGAGGUGGGAUCAGUGUUCGGCUCUGACGCCGAUGAGUGUGCGGCCUCCAUGGCGGGGUCCAUCCACCCGUCCUCGGAAGGCACAAUCUAUUACGGAUUGAUUCCCAGCGCCAACGCAGGUGCGAUCUCCCGAAUACUGUCCAAUGGCAGAUCAAAGUCAUGCCCGUCAUGACUAUUUGGCACACCUGUCACAGGCUCGAAUCCGUCGAAGAUUAAGUCUCCGCGGAUGUCGGCAGUAUAGUUCAAGCUUCCAAACCUGACCUGAUGGCCAGGGGCGUAGCUAUCGAUCUGCUCCAGAUGGCCAAGCGAGUUGGCCUGCAGUACAAAGCCGCCGAAUAUGAAGAUCUGUCCGGGGAGGAAAACCUCCUCCUGGACCGCAUCGUUAAAGACGAUCGAAGGGGCCAUCAAGACUUACAGCGACGGCACAGUGGAGCUCUCAAUGAAAGCACCAAUGUCGGUGUCAAAACCGGCGGAUCUCGGGUAGGGGGUCCAAACUGUGCGUCUAAGGCUAAUGGUAACAGGAGGCAGGGGACACGAUGUUUUACCCAGGUUCAGGCCCUCUCGAUGGAGGUAAUACCCUACUUCCUGCUUGAUUGAUCUUGAUGAUAUGAGUAUUACAAGAGUUGAUCUACCACAAGAUCGUAGAGGCUAAACCCUAGAAGCUAGCCUAUGAUUAUGAUUGUUGUUGUCCUACGGACUAAACCCUCCGGUUUAUAUAGACACAUGAGGGGGCUAGGGUUACACAGAGUCGGUUAUAGAGAAGGAAAUCUACAUAUCUGAAUAUCCAAGCUUGCCUUCCACGCAAAGGAGAGUCCCAUCCGGACACGUGACGAAGCCUUCAAUCUUGUAUCUUCAUGGUCCAACAGUCCGGCCAAAGUAUAUAGUCCGGUUGUCCGAGGACCCCUUAAUCCAGGACUCCCUCACCCGUGCCCACCUUCUAAUGAGAGUAACUCUUCAACUCAUACAUUGUUUAAUGUCCCUUCGUUCUUACCGAAGGGCGAAUGCUAUGAUAAUUGCUAUGAUCCCGUUGAUUCGUCUGAAAUAUCCCCUUUUGAUGAUGCUUGCUAUGCUUGUGGCCAAGAUGCCAAUAUGAAUGGUGCUUAUGGAGAUGAACUCACUAUUGUUCCUUAUGUUAAACAUGAAAUCGUUGCUAUUGCACCCACACAUGAUAGUCCUAUUAUCUUUUUAAAUUCUCCAAACUACACUAUACCCGAGAAGUUUGCUCUUAUUAAGGAUUAUAUUGAUGGGUUGCCUUUUACCGUUGCACGUGAUAAUUUGGAUGAAUAUAAUAUGCAUGUGCUUGCUGCUCGUACUUGCAAUUAUUAUGAGAGAGGAACUACAUCUCCACCUCUUUAUGUUUCCAACAUGAUAAAAUUGCAAGAAACUACUUAUGCUAUGUAUUGGCCUUUACUUGAUGUGCAUGAAUUGUUCUUGUAUGACAUGCCGAUGCAUAGGAAGAGAGUUAGACUUCAUCAUUGCUUGAUAUAUGUUGCUUUGUGCUUACUACUAAAUGCCCAACCAUUGCUAAUUCAAAUUGGCUUUGAUAUACCUUGGGAUCCGGGUGGAUUCAUUACUUGAGCACUUUAUGCCUAGCUUAAUGGCUUUAAAGAAAGCGCUGCUAGGUAGACAACCCGGAAGUUUUAGAGAGUCAUUUAUUUCUGUUGAGUUUUGUGUGGAUGAAGUGUUUGAGGAUCGAGGAGGUCUCAAUGUGAGGAGAAGGAUGAGAGGCAAGAGCUCAAGCUUGGGGAUACCCAAGGCACCCCAAGUAAAUAUUCAAGGAGACUCAAGCGUUUAAGAUUGGGGAUGCUCCAGUAGGCAUCCCAUCUUUCUUCAACAAGUAUCGAUAUGUUUUCGAAUUCGUUUUGUUCAUAUGAUAUGUGCAAAUCUUGGAGCGUCUUUUGCAUUUAGUUUUCACUUUUCUUUUAUGCACCACGCUGGUAUGAGAUAGUCCAUGGUUGAUUUGUAGAAUGCUCAUUGCACUCACUUAUAUCUUUUUGAGUAUGGCUUUAUAGAAUGCUUUCACUUAUAUCAUUUGAAGUUUGGAUUGCCUGUUUCUCUUCACAUAGAAAACCGAUGUGCGUAGAAUGCUCUUUUGCUUCACUUAUAUGUUAGAGCAUGAUCUUUUGUAGAAAGAACUAAAAUCCCAUGCUUCACUUAUAUUUAUUUAGAGAGACAAAUGGAAUUGGUCAAUUGCAUGAUUAGUCAUAAAAUCCUACAUAAAACUUAUGGAUCACUGAAUAUGAUAUGUUUGAUUCCUUGCAAUAGUUUUGCGAUAUAGAGAUGGAAUAUGUGGGAAGUACUAGUAAAAGGUUGUGGUUAGUAAGAAUAUUGGUCUUAAAGUUUGUGAUUCCUGAAGCAUGCACAUAUAGUCUCUCGUUAUGCUAUGAAAGUUGGAGCGCAAUUUAUCCUUGCUUGUCUAUCUUUGUGUGAAGGUCGGGGGCGCGCGAUGGUUAACUCCUACCAACCCCCCCCCCCCUAGGGCAUGCGUAGUAGUACUUUGAUUUGAGGGCUAAUAAACUUUUGAAAUAAUUAUAUGAGUUCUUUAUGAAUAAUGUGAGUCCAUGUAUUAUAUGCACUCUUACCUUUCCGCAAUUUGCUAGCCUCUACGGUACCGUGCAUUGCCCUCUCUCACCUCGAGACGUGGUGCAAACUUUGCAGGUGCAUCCAAACCCCGUGAUAUGAUAAUAAGCCUUAUUAUAUCUUCCUCAAAACAGCCACCAUACCCUACCUAUUAUGGCUUUUUCAUGUCCAUUCCGAGAUAAAUUUCCAUGCAACUUCCACCGCUUUCGUUUGAUGACUUGAGCAUUCAUUGUCAUAUUGCUUUGCAUGAUCAUAUAGCUGACAUAGUAGUUGUGGUUCAGCCACCGUGCAUCAUUUUUCAUAGAUGUUAUGCUAGAUCAUUGCACAUCCUGGUACAUGCCAGAGGCAUUCAUAUAGAGUCAUAUUUUGUUAUAGGUAUCGAGUUGUAAUUUUAAUUCCUUUUGAGUUAUAAGUAAAUAGAAGUGUGAUGAUCAUCAUUUUUAGAGCAGUGCCCCAGUGAGGAAAGUAUGAUGGAGACUAUGAUUCCCCCACAAGUCGGGAUGAGACUCCGGACACCGAGAGAAAGAAAGGGGGAAGAAAAAAAUAAAAAAAAGAAGAAAGAAAAAAGAAGAAGAGAGAAGGGUCAUUGUUAGUAUCCUUUACCACACUUGUGCUUCAAAGUAGCACCAUGUUUUUCAUAUGGAGAGUCUCAUAUGUUGUCACUUUCAUAUACUAGUGGGAAUAUUUAAUUAUAGGAUUAGAUGCACACCCAACUAGUUUUCAUAUUGAGCUUUCACACACUUAUAGCUCUUAGUGCAUUCGUUGCAUGACAAUCCCUACUCCUCACGUUGAUAUCAAUUGAUGGGCAUCUCCAUAGCCCAUUGGUUAGCCGCGUCGAUGUGAGACUUUCUUACUUUUUGUCUUCUCUAUAUUUACCCCUAUCAUCAUACUCUAUUCCACUCGUAGUGCUAUAUUCUUGGCUUGCACUCAUGUAUUGCGUGAGGGUUGAAAAAGCUGAAGUGCGUUAAAAAGUAUGAACCAAUUGCUCGGCUUGUCAUCAGGGUUGUACAUGAUUUAUACUUUGUGUUAAGAAGAUAGGGCAUGACAAGACUAUAUGAUUUUGUAGGGAUAGCUUUCUUUAGCGUUGAUAUUCUGAAAGACAUGAUUGUUUAUUGGGAUGCCUGAGUAUUGAUGUCUUUAUAUCAAAUUAUAGACUAUUGCUUUGAAUCACUUAUGUCUUAAUAUUCAUGCCAUGACUAGACAUAUGAUCAAGUUUAUGUUAGGUAGCAUUCCACAUCAAAAAUUAUCUUUUUUAUCAUUUACCUACUCAAGGACGAGUAGGAAUUAAGAUUGGGAUGCUGAUACAUCCCAUCGUAUCUAUAAUUUUUGAUUGUUUCAUGCCAAUAUUAUUCAACUUUUAGAUACUUUUGGCACCUUUUUAUACGAUUUAUUUGGACUAAUUUACUUAUCCAGUGCCUAGUGCGAGUUCCUGUUUGUUGCAUGUUUUUGUAUCGCAGAAAACUCGUAUCAAAUGAAGUCCAAACGUGAUGAAACCCUACAGAGAAUUAUUUUGGAAUAUUUGUGAUUUUGGGGAGUUGGAAUCACCGCAAACGGAGGCCCACACAGACCACGAAACACCAGGGCACGCCCCAGGCCCCUGGCACGUGGUGGUGGGUUCUGGUCACCUCAUACGUCGGUUGGAGCUGUACUUCGGGCGCAAGGAAUCUUAUAUCAGGAAAAAAAUUGUGUAAAAAGAUCAGCGCAAUCGGAGUUACGGAUCUCCGGGAAUAUAAGAAACUACUUUUGGCCAGAUCUGGGGAGCGCAAAACAAAAGAGAACAGAGAGGGAGAUCCAAUCUCGGAGGGGCUCCUGCCCCUCCGCCGCCAUGGAGACCAUGGACCAGAGGGGGGAACCCUCCUCCCAUCUAGGGGGGAGGCCAAGGAAUAAGAAGAAGAAGGGGGGGGGCUCUCUCCCCCUCUCUCCCGGUGGCGCUGGAGCGCCGCUGGGGCUAGGAUCAUGCUACUGUCAACACCAACUCUCUCCCCCUCUAUGCAGAGGUGUAACACCCCUUUUCCCCACUGUAACCUCUACUUUAACAGGAUGCUCAACUCCAUAUAUUAUUUCCCAAUGUUCUAUGGUUAUCCUAUGAUGUUUGAGUAGAUCCAUUUUGUCCUAUGGGUUAAUCGUGAUCUUUUUUUGGUAUGAUUGUAUAUUUUAUUUAUGGUGUUGUCCUACGGUGCCCUCCGUCUCACGCAAACGUGAGGGCCCCCCGCUGUAGGGUGUUGCAAUAUGUUCAUGGUUUGCUUAUUGUCAGUAUUGCAAGGGUGACAGCAGCCUAAACGCGGAUAAGUGGGUCAUGGCGUAUGGGAGUAAAGAGGACUUGAUACUUAAUGCUAUGGUUGGGUUUCAUGACCUUAGUGAUCUUUAGUAGUUGUGGAUGCUUGCUAGGGGUCCAAUCACAAGUGCAUAUGAUCCAAGUAGAGAAAGUAUGUUAGCUCAUGCCUCUCCCUCAUAUAAAAUUACAAGAAUGAUUGCCGGUACUUGUUAUCGAUUGCCUAGGGACAAAUGACUUUCGUAUUGACAAAAGCUAUCCACUUUUACCACCUUGCAUUUUAUUUGUAGUUUUAUUCUCUCAAAGUACUCGUAGUUUUAUUCUUGCAAACUAGAUUCAUACUUGUUCUAGGUAAAGCAAAUGUCAAGUGUGUGUAGAGUUGUAUCGGUGGUCGAUAGAACUUGAGGGAAUAUUUGUUCUGCCUUUAACUCCUCGUUGGGUUUGACACUCUUAUUUAUCGAAGAUGGCUACAAACAAUCCCCUAUACUUGUGGGUUAUUACUUACCAUACCAUGGGAUCACUUGAUCCCUCUCGGUACAUCUUCUACGCUUUGUGUGUUGAUCAACUUGAUUCACUCUUUGACUUAGUCUUGAUCAGCAUCCCACAUGACCAAUCUUUAGGUAAUACUUGAAUAGCACCUUGGUCAUCACAAACUCUCCUUGAAACCAACAAAUGCACUCCAAGAAAAACCUAUGGACAAAUCCUUCAAAUAUAACUCAAGGCAACCAUUAGUCCAUAGAGAUUGUCAUUAAUUACCAAAACCAAACAUGGGGGCACCGCAUGUUCUUUCAAUCUCCCCCAUUUUGGUAAUUGAUGACAAUCACUUCCAAGAGAGUUUAUAUAUGGAAAUAUGCAUCACCAUGCAAUGCAAAUCAAGAAGAAACAACUCUAUAAUCUUCUCCACAAUACUCUCCGAAACUUCUCCCCCAUUGGCAUCGAUUGCCAAAAUGGGAGAAAAUCUUAGAAGGCCAAUAUAAAUCGCGUUCCUCCAUAAAUUGUGUAUUUCUCAACAAGAGAGUGGAAUGUAAUACACAUAUCCAAUGGUAAAUACUUGGAGGAAGAUAGACUAUGUUGAGGCCCAAAGAUUGCAAAAGAAUGAUAUGCCACAAAGACAUAACAAAGAGAGAAACAAGCAAUCAAGCAGUCAAAAGAUACCAAUUGAAGUGAGCUAUCAAAAGAUACCAAUUGAACCAACUAGACCAAUGAUCCUACAUGCCACAUCAAUAAAAGAUAUUAUGAUAUGAGCAAAGGAGUGUUCUAGAGAAGCUCCCCAUGAUUUGUGCACAGCUUAGUUUUGUAAUUAGAUACAAUGAGCACACAAUAGGAUCGUCACUCCCCCAAGUUCAAUAGAACCUCACAACAAGUGCAGGAGAGCAACGGAGUGUUCUAAAGACACUAGUGAAUCUCCCCAUGAUGUGUGCACUCCUUACAAUAUUUGCAUUAGGAUACCAAGUGCACAAAAUAGGAUCAUCACUCCUCGAAAAUCAAUAGAAACUCACAACAGGUGCAAGUGAGCAUGUAGGAAACAAAGGCUAGCACUUGCAACAAACAAAUGGUUGAUCAACAUAAAAGAGGCAACUUAAGAGUAGGCUCAACCAAAAUGAUGUGUGUGAGUCAUCGCAAAGCACUUGAGAAGACUAAGGUAAGGGUGAGCAUUAAGCAUCAACAUAGUCUUGAAUAGUGGAGAUACAAGGUGCAUGACAUGUCCUUCCCACACACACCAAACAAAUGGGUUCACAAGCACACUAAAUAUGCAAAAUGAAUAACCAACACUUAUGCAACCCAUGGUGAAGAAAGAAAAUGAUAGCUUUGUCAAGAGGAGGGAUACCAAUCGAAAUGGCAAAAGCCUCAUCAAGACAAGCAAGAGAGAAAAUAUCUUCACCGCAACAGAGUGCAUCAAGAUGCAACGAUAUUAGAUCUGCACUCAUGAUAAAUCCUUUCACAUAACCACCAAGGAAAGGUGGAUGCAAGAAUAAGGAUGUCAACUCCAGAUGUAACUUCUCUCAAGUGUAUAAGAUUCUAGGUAGAUGAAAAUCAUGAUGAUAUCAAUCCACAAAAAAGGAUAUACACACGAAAUAGUUACAAAAAGGAAAGAACAACAUAUCCACAACGAAGUCAUAAAUAUUCCAAUAAGAAAUUUGCUUGAGAGCAUAGCACAUGGCUAGAUAUGGUCUUAUUGUAUAUAAAUGAAUUCCAACCACACGAACAUCAAAGACAUCACAACUAGCAACAAGAGAUCAUUGUUGGGAUGCUUUGAGAAAGGAAACAAGUAUCACAAGAAAGAAUGAAUAACAUGCCAUGAUACAACCUACACAAGGUUGAUGCAAGAAAUGUGUGCAUGAAGUAUAUGAAGAUACUUGUUACCGAGUUAACAUUGGAAGGAUGAUGUAGAUACCAAUUGAAGGUAGAUAGUAGUUCAUUGAUCAUCCUAGAUUGACUCCAAUAAUUACUUGGAGACAACACCUUCCUUGUGAGUGAGCCGAGCAUCCAAUGAAUCUCGAAUUGUUCCUAGAACAACAACACACAAAAAAUGGUAGCCAACCUCAUUGGGACCAAAGAGUUAGAAACACCAAUACAUAGGAAAAACUCCACAUACAUAUAUAUGAAGAUAAAUUUCAUGCACAUCUCAUCCAAAUUGAGACUCGGUGGAGUUUCACUUAUAUAUUGGGUCAAAAAAAGAAAGCAUGCAAAAUAAAAUACAUGAAGUAAAUAUGCAUGCUCGAAACUUUCAAGAAACAAAACCAAAUGAAAAUAAAUAUCAAGUGAAAAUAGGUUAGCAAAUGGAGAAAUCAUCACUUGGAAGAUAUCAUUACAAGAUACAUCAAGGAAUGAGAUAUCCAUUGAAACACACAAAAUGAUCUCAAACUCCCAAAAUAGAGGAUGGUUCCAAACAAACCAAGCUCUCUACAAAGUUUGAUGAUGGCACAAAGUACCAAAAAGAAAGGGCUUGUCGUCCACCAAUACACACUUAAUAUGGAUCACAAGAUGAGUGUUUUAUAGAAAAUAGGAUAGCUCCCCCACGAGUUGUGCAUUAUAGAGAAUUUGCAUUUGAAUACAAAAUGCACAAGGUUGGAUCACCACUUACACUAUAUCAAGAAAACACUAGACAAGAUCAAGAAAACAAAAAGAUCCACAAGUGGCACGGAAGGCAAUGGGAGUUGACACAAUCUUGGCAAGAGAUAAGGCAAUGAAAACAAAACCCAAUGAAGAUGAUCAAUAAUUUUGACCACGCAUAAGUGAGUACCAAUUCUCAAAAGACAUGACGUAUUUGGAAAUGAUUCUCGGUGGUAGAUAGAAGGAAAUCCAAUAUCAUCUUCACACCAAGAACAAAUCAAAUUGCAACUUCUAGAGCUAACAUGUCACCUAGGAACAAGAUAAUUUACAAUAUCAACUCUAGGUGACAAUAUCUCAAAUGUACGCAUUUUCUAGGCUUGUAAUAUACACAUAGUAUGUUACUCCCCCAUAAUGUGUUACCAAAGAAAACUUAACAAGAGGCAAUAAGAGGAUCCAACAAGAGAAUUAAUGGACUAUUUAGAAUUUGAAUUUCUCAUGAGAAGACAUACCACAUAGUGACUAGACAAGCUUGCAAUAUAAAUACAAGGUAGUAUUCCUCAUGUACACACAUUUGUGGGACCGUGAGGUGCACAAAGUGAAUGAAAUAUGCCCUAGAGGAAAUAAUAAAGUUAUUAUUUAUUUCCUUAUUUCAUGAUAAAUAUUUAUUCUUCAUGCUAGAAUUGUAUUAACCGGAAACUUGAUACAUGUGUGAAUACAUAGACAAACAGAGCGUCACUAGUAUGCCUCUACUUGACUAGCUCGUUGAAUCAAAGAUGGUUAAGUUUCCUAGCCAUAGACAUGAGUUGUCAUUUGAUUAACGGGAUCACAUCAUUUGGAGAAUGAUGUGAUUGACUUGACCCAUUCCGUUAGCUUAGCACUUGAUCGUUUAGUAUGUUGCUAUUGCUUUCUUCAUGACUUAUACAUGUUCCUAUGACUAUGAUAUUAUGUAACUCCCGCUUACCGGAGGAACACUUUGUGUGCUACCAAACGUCACAACGUAACUAGGUGAUUAUAAAGGUGCUCUACAGGUCUCUCCGAAGGUACUUGUUGAGUUGACGUAUUUCGAGAUUAGGAUUUGUCACUCUGAUUGUCGGACAGGUAUCUCUGGGCCCUCUCGGUAAUGCACAUCACUAUAAGCCUUGCAAGCAAUAUAGUUAAUGAGUUAGUUAUGGGAUGAUGCAUUACAUAACGAGUAAAGAUACUUGUCGGUAAUCAGAUUGAACUAGGUAUUGAGAUAUCGACGAUCGAAUCUCGGGCAAGUAACAUACCGAUGACAAAGGGAACAACAUAUGUUGUUAUGCGGUUUGACCGAUAAAGAUCUUCGAAGAAUAUGUGGGAGCCAAUAUGAGCAUCCAGGUUCCGCUAUUGGUUAUUGACCGGAGACAUGUCUCGGUCAUGUCUACAUAGUUCUCGAACCCGUAGGGUCCGCACGCUCAAAGUUCGGUGACGAUCGGUAUUAUGAGUUUUUGUGUUUUGAUUUACCGAAGGUAGUUCGGAGUCCCGGAUAUGAUCACGGACAUGACGAGGAGUCUCGAAAUGGUCGAGACAUAAAGAUCAAUAUAUUGGACAACUAUAUUCGGACUUCGGAAAGGUUUCGAGUGAUUCGGGUAUUUAUCGGAGUACUGGAGAGUUACGGGAAUUCGCCGGGGAGUAUAUGGGCCUUAUUGGGCAUUAGGGGAAAGAGAGAGGGGAGGCUGCGUGCCCCCACAAGGCCUAGUCCGAAUUGGACUAGGGGGAGGGGCUGCGGCCCCUCCUUCCUUCUCUUCUCUUUUCCCUUUCCUUNNNNNNNNNNNNNNNNNNNNNNNNNNNNNNNNNNNNNNNNNNNNNNNNNNNNNNNNNNNNNNNNNNNNNNNNNNNNNNNNNNNNNNNNNNNNNNNNNNNNNNNNNNNNNNNNNNNNNNNNNNNNNNNNNNNNNNNNNNNNNNNNNNNNNNNNNNNNNNNNNNNNNNNNNNNNNNNNNNNNNNNNNNNNNNNNNNNNNNNNNNNNCCAGGGCGCGCCAUAGUUGAGGGCCGGCCCUCCGCCUCCUCCACUCCUUUAUAUACGGGGGAGAGGGGCAACCCAUGGACACACAAGUUGAUCUGUUGAUCUCUCCCAGCCGUCUGCGGUGCCCCCCUCUACCAUAUUCCACCUCGGUCAUAUCGUAGUGGUGCUUAGGCGAAGCCCUGCGUCGGUAGCAACAUCAUUACCGUCAUCACGCUGUCGUGCUGACGAAACUCUCCCGUGAAGCUCUGCUGGAUUGGAGUUCGCGGGACGUCAUCGAGCUGAACGUGUGCUGAACUCGGAGGUGCCGUACGUUCAGUACUUGGAUCGGUCGGAUCAUGAAGACGUACGACUACAAGAACCGCGUUGUGCUAACGCUUCCGCUUUCGGUCUACGAGGGUACGUGGAAGACACUCUCCCCUCUCGUUGCUAUGCAUCACCAUGGUCUUGCAUGUGCGUAGGAAAUUUUUGAAAUUACUACAUUCCCCAACAGUGGCAUCCGAGCCAGGUUUAUGUGUAGAUGAUAUAUGCACGAGUAGAACACAAGUGAGUUGUGGGUGAUACAAGUCAUACUGCUUACCAGCAUGUCAUACUUUGGUUCAGCGGUAUUGUUGGAUGAAGCGGCCCAGACCGACAUUAUGAGUACGCUUACACGAGACUGGUUCUACCGACGUACUUUGCACAUAGGUGGCUAGCGAGUGUCAGUUUCUCCAACUUUAGUUGAACCGAGUGUGGCUACGCCCGGUCCUUGAGAAGAGCACUAACUUGACGAACUAUCGUUGUGGUUUUGAUGCAUAGGCAAGAAUGGUUCUUGCUCAACCCAUAGCAGGCACGUAAAACUUGCAACAACAAAGUAGAGGAUGUCUAACUUGUUUUUGCAGGGCAUGUUGUGAUGUGAUAUGGUCAAGACAUGAUGCUAAAUUUUAUUGUAUGAGAUGACCAUGUUUUGUAACAAAGUUAUCGGCAACUUGCAGGAGCCAUAUGGUUGUCACUAUAUUGUAUGCAAUGCAAUCGCCCUGUAAUUGCUUUACUUUAUCACUAAGCGGUAGCGAUAGUCGUAGAGCAAUAGUUGGCGAGACAACAAUGAUGUUAUGAUGGAGAUCAAGGUGUCGUGCCGGUGACGAUGGUGAUCAUGAUGGUGCUUCAGAGAUGGAGAUCACAAGCACAAGAUGAUGAUGGCCAUAUCAUAUCACUUAUAUUGAUUACAUGUGAUGUUUAUCCUUUAUGCAUCUUAUUUUGCUUUGAUUGACGGUAGCAUUAUAAGAUGAUCUCUCACUAAAUUUCAAGAUAAAAGUGUUCUCCCUGAGUAUGCACCGUUGCCAAAGUUCGUCAUGCCGAGACACCAUGUGAUGAUUGGGUGUGAUAAGCUCUACGUUCAUCUACAACAGGUGCAAGCCAGUUUUGCACACGCAGAAUACUUGGGUUAAACUUGACGAGCCUAGCAUAUGCAGAUAUGGCCUCGGAACACUGGAUACCAAAAGUUCGAGCGUGAAUCAUAUAGUAGAUACACUACAAAAAAAAUACACAUCCGUGACAUUUUGGGCCGAACGAAAUUCUUUUCUAUCAUACAUAUGACACUUCUAGGACGAUAAUUGUGACAAAAUCCGGUAUCAUCAUAGAUGUGGUGGGCUCCUACUUCUAUGAUAAAAAAUCAUGACAGAAAAUGGGCUUUUCAUCCUAGGAGGGCCGGAGACGCAGUUGCAUGACAUUCUUUGGGCCGUCCAUGACAGAAAAAACCGUGGUAGAAGCGAGGGCGAGGAAAAUUUCGGGGAGUUCCCGGUUACGGUGAGCGGUCGGGGGUCGAGCGAUGCGCGUUUCUCUCGUACACGUACGCGCAUGUGUGCGAGGCAUUGGCUCUAACUGAACCCGAGUGAGGCGUUGGGCUCUAACUGAACCCGAGCGAUUGCACUGCAGGCUACGCGUUACUGAACCCGAGCGAUCGAUCGAUGGCUGUUAACUGAACCCGAUCAAGUGAUUUCUUCGCUACUGCUGCUAACUGAAGCCGAUCGAUGCUGCCUCUCUAGAUGAACAGUGAGCGUUGCACGCGGGGGGGGGGGGUGGAUGAACAGUGAGCGGUGACAUUGCCUCUGGAUGAACAUGACCCCGUGGUGUGGAGGGCUAGAUGAAUAGUAGACGGUGGAGGGGUGCCCGUGGAGGGGUGGUUGAACAGUAGCCGGUGGAGUAGCGCGCGGUGGAGGCUGGAUGAACAGGAGCCUGUGGAGGCUGGAAGAGGUCGACGGUGGAGAUGAACAGUAUCCCAUGGAGUCCCAUUUUGUGGUACGCCACACCCCUCCCGAUGAACAGGACCCCCGUUUCGACCGUAGCGCCCCAACACAAGUCCGUUUCGUCCAUUUUGCGGUACGCCACACCCCUCCCGAUAAAUAGGACCCCUGUUUCAAUCGUAGGAGGUCUGUUUCCUCCGUUUUGCGCUACACCACAUCCCUCCUGAUCAACGGGACCCCUGUUUCGACCAUAGGAGGUUCGUUUCCUCCGUUUUGCUGUACGCCAGACCUCUCCCGAUGAACAGGAUCCCGUUUCGAACGUGGCCAGUCGAACACAAGGCCGUUUCCUCCGUUCUGCGGUACGCCAGGCCUCGUUUCCAUCGCCUGUUCCGUCCAAGCCCUCCCGAUGAACACGAUGACGCAUUCCGUUCCGACCCAGCCGGUUGGCUGCCACGCGUUCCGUUGCCUCCCGAUGAACAUGACGCAUUCUGUUGCCUCCUCAUGAACACGACACAUUUUGUUGCCUCCCCAUGAACACGACGACGAUGAUGUUUCUCCGUUCCGACCCAGCCAUGUACACGAGACCUGGCCGUACGUAUGCGCGAGUAGGCGUUCGAGACCCUGCCCGUAUGUACGUAUGUGGCCGUAUUUUCUUUCUUGCACCCUGGCCGCUGUACUUACAUGUACAUGCUACGUGCGCGCCUCUACUACGACACGUGCGCGCCUCUACAACGACCAGUAUGUACGUACAUGUUCGCGACUAGAAUGACAACGCUAAGUACGCUUCGACCAGGUGGGUCCCGACUGACAGGCACUUCCUUGCCUGCGAAGAUGUGGCUGGUGGGUCCCAGCAGUCAGGGGGGCGAAUCUUUUUGGUUUUUUUUGCCCGGACGCACGUCCUUGCGUGCGAAGGUGUAGCUGGUGGGUCCCAGCAGCCAGGGGGGAAACGUUUUUUUGCGAAAUACGGUGGCCCGUCCGAUGGGUCCCAGUUGUCAGGUGGAGGAAUCAUUAUUUUCCGCGUAAUAAGGAGGCACUUCCUUGCUGUGGCCGUGGACCCAGCUGUCAGCCUCUCCACGUACAGUCCACGUCUGAUGGAAGUCGUUCCUUGACCACAUUGACCAUGCUGCACCGAGAGCACCAGGGAGGUGGACGAUAGUGAGGCCUAGGAAGGGGACGACACGGUGCCGGGGAAGAUGCCCACGCGGAGAGGAGUAUGAGGGUUCACUCAUUCGGCUGCGGUGUGAGGCUGCCGUUGCUGCAGGGCUUGGCCAGCGGUGGGAAUAGUAGGGGGCGGUGAGGCCUCCGCGGCUGCACAGCCGGCCACGGGAGGCAGGAGCAGGCGGCACGACCGACGCUGCUUUGGGCGGCUGGAGCAAGAAGACCAGAGGUUGAAGAAGCACUACAGCCGUUGGAUGGACAUCGUACGGUCACUGGAGCUAGAAUCGUUCAUAUUUACUAAGUUGACAAAGCCCUCCGUCCUCGUCAACUUAGUAGGCCCACAAGUCAGCCUCCCACCAAGGUGGGUCCUAGCUAGCAGGGGGAGUAUUCAUUUUUUUGUGCGUAAUGAGGAGGCACUUCCGGUGGGUCCGAGCUGACAGCGAGGGGAACAUUUUUUCGCAAAAUACGGUGGCCCGUCCGGUGGGUACCAGCAGUCAGGGGGGAAACGUUUUUUUGGCGAAAUAAGGUGGCCCGUCUGGUGGAUCCCUGCUGUCGGGUGGAGGAAUAAUUAUUUUGCGCGUAAUAAGGAGGCACUUCCUUGCGGCCGCCGUGGACCCAGCUGUCAGCCUCUCCACGUACAGUACUCUUCCGAUGGAAGUCGGUCGUUGACCACGCCGCGCCGAGAGCACCAGGGCGGUGGACGACGGCGAGGCCUAGGAAGGGGACGAUGCGGAGCCGGGGAAGAUGCAGCAGUGGAAGCCCGCGCGGAGAGGAGUACGAGGGUUCACUGGUUCGGCUGCAGUGUGAGGCUGCCAUUGCCGCAGAAUAACAGGGGGUGUGGGUGAGUGGAGGGAUGGCCUGGCCAGCGGUGGGAGUAGUAUGGGGGCGGUGAGGCCUCCGCGGUAGCACAGCCAGCCACGGGAGGCAGGAGUAGGCGGCACGACCGGCGCUGCUUUGGGCGGCUGGAGCAAGAAGACCACAGGUUGAAGAAGCACUACGGCCGUACGGUCACUGAAGCUAGAAUCGUUUAUAUUGACUAAGUUGACAAAGCACUUGGUACGCUCCAACUUAGUAGGCCCACAGGUCAGCCUCCGAAACGGUGCACCCCAGAUGACAAGGGGAGGAAUCAUUUUUUGGGCGGCCGAUGCUAAGAAUAUCUGAGAUUAAAGAAGAAGCACCACAUCCGUUGGAUAGACAUCCAAUGGCCACUACUGCUAGAACCGUGUGUUGACUAUAAUAAGUUGACAAAGCCUUGCAUACGCGUCAACUUAUUUUUUAGGGGACGCAUCACUUAGUAGGCCCACAAGUGCGUGGCAGAGAACUUAUAGCCCAUUUGCGAUUUGUAAGAAUGUACAGCCCAUUUUUGAAUUCAAAUGGAAUUUACAACAGCCCAUUUACAGUUUUUUAAAAGUACAACCCAUUUUCUAGCUAGGACAAUGAUUAAUAAUUUCAACCAACCGUUGAAGACAGAAUUCAAUAAGAUUUCCCACAUUUUUAUGGGAUCCGAAAUAUUUUUAUCCCGAAAUUUCUAGUCAGAUUAAAUAUAAAUUUGUAUUACAUAAAAAUCCAACAAAACAUUGCGCGCGCAACAAUGAAAAUUUAAGAUUUUCAAAAUCCAUAAAUAAUAUUUUAUAAACUAAUUUAGUGUUUGGUGCAUUUUUUAUAGUUACUGCCCAGUUUUUAUAAUUACAUCCCAUUUAUUAUUUUUUAAAGCCCAUUUUCCUGUUAAGCCUAAUACAUCCCUCCUAGGAAAGAUUUGCAGCCCAACGGGGCGGAGAAUAACAAGUUGACCUUGCCUGGGUAUUCCUCAAAAAAACGUAUAGCUAGGCUAGCCAUUUUCAUCUUGAAAAAAUUAGUAUCUGGGAUGGAUAUCUGGCCUGGGCUAGACGGGCCACAGCCCACCCAGUUAAUACCCUGCUCUCCUCUGAACAACAACGAAAUCAUCGCCAAGAAAAACUCUGCAGUGCUCACUCCUAAAAAACACAAAUACUGCUCGAGCUGCUUGGUCCCAGCUGUCGGCCGCACCUUGUGCAAUUCUCUCGUUUAUAUUGACUACUUAGGUUGACAAUGGUUUGGGACCGUGAUGUCAGGAAACCAGGAGAAAGCAAAAAAAAUAUAGUUGUACAUAAUAAGGAGGCACUUGCGUACGUACGGCUAUGGCCCUAGUGGGUCCCUAGUGUCAUCCAAUCAAAAUAAAGUCAUCUCCUGAAUCCGCAUGUUUGUUGACGAUGUUAAAAAUGCUCGGCGCCACGGCGAGUGCAACAACUCGAAGGACAACGGAGAGGGCCUCGCGGGCCCUACAGAUGCUCUGAUACAGCGCCCGCUGCUCAUUCAGGAAGCCAGGAUCAUUGGGCACCUAUGAGCACCUUCGAGAAACUGAGACGGCAUGAAACGGUAAGGCCGCGCUUGGGAGCUCUGGUUUAUUUCAAACCUGUAUUAACAUACAAGUGUAAUUUACUCGUCAUCGGAAACAACACAUAAAAUAUAGGCGUAAUGAAACCGAGGGCCCGAGGUCUGUAAGUAAAACCGGCGGGUUACGCGUGUAAUUUGAGAGACCAAUGUAUAUUUUACGAGCACUGCUAUAUGGACGACAUUACCAGACGAUACAUGAACGACGUGCGUAUCAUGCCAUCCAUGGGCAAGGCUGAAACAAUAGCUAACGGCUGGAUUAGCAAUCGUCCGAGUGUCGUUCAGUGUUUUUAUCGUGUGUGAAGUACUUAUGAUAUUUUACUAGUCGAAGUCGACCAACCAAGCGCUUCGCCAGAGACCAUCUGCUUUUCUUUACAAGCGUCAGUUUUACAAGCGGUUUUGGUUGGAAAACGAUGAUCCAAUCACGGCUUAAUAUCAUGAGUUGGUCGGAAGAUCAUAUGGUUUCACGUCUAACCUACCCGACUUGUCGUAUAGGCUAUGAAACAUCAAACGAUGAACUUCUUAAGCACGGAAACAACAGAAGAGGAUGAUCUUCUUAACAAGCAAAUCACUGGCAUUAGAUCGACAUGUAAAACAAUACGAAGCAUUAUUCUUAGGAGGCACGGUGAACAUCUCGUGAUGCCGCAUGCCACAACAUUCCAAGCUCAACUUUGCAAUCAAACACAAGGCCUGGCAUUACAUAGACAAUAUUCAGAACAAACUCUUAACAUAGGAAUAUCUCAGCAGAGUAACUAUUUACUUCUAAACUAAACACAGGAAUAGGAAAAAACACUCGACGCUGCUCACAGCAAGGGCGUCCCACUCAAAAAUAUCAAAUGCAUGUCUUCUCGCUAACAUCAAUGAGCAAAUUCUGACAAGGUUUUCCAAUUCCAAUAAUUAAACUAACGUCUUCUUGCUAACAUCAAUGAUUAAACUUUGACAAGCUUUUCCCAUUCAAAAUAUGUAAUUCCUAUGAUCGUGGAGUCCUGUUAUAGCUUCUUGUACUUGUUUGGGCACUUUUUGCCCAGGGCACUCCAUGUGUUGUUAAAUUGCCAAUGCUCUCUGCAGACUAGUCAUGUCACCAGCGUCUAAUAAUACUCUGUAAAGCUUCUCGGUCAUUCCUUUUGUAAUGUAGCGCAAAUAGUGACUGCUUCUUUCUGCAAAGUGGAAUGACCAACUGGACCCAGUAAUGCAGCAGUUUGCCUUGGACACAUUGGCUCCUUUUGUGCAGUUCAACUAAAAUCAAAGUCGGAAUAAAACCGAGCUUUAAUUUUGAUAUCCCUGUAAGCAACAGUAGGUAUAAGGGAAACAAUUUCUGAGAAAUAACGGUUGAUGACUUGUACUCCCAGAAGAAAAGCAUCUACUGAUCUACUUUAUCUUAAUGGGAAACAAAGCAGGAGAGUAGCAAUUCUCCAUCAGUGUGAUUCAUUCAUAUUGACUAAGACAUUAUCUUAACAAUGCCUUGUUCCAACAUGUAUAAAGAACAACAAAGCAGAAAAGUACCAUUCCUAAAACAAUGCAACUGAUUCAUUUUAACAGAGACAUUAUCUUAACAAUACCUUGGUUAAACAUGUAGAAAGAACUACAAAGCAGGAUAGUACCAUUCCUAACAAGUGUUGCAGUUUUGAACUAAGAUUCAGUAGUUAAUUAAUUCUAAGAGUGGCAUUGCUUAAUUUUACCAGCGGCAUUAGAUUAACGAAAAGCAUAAACAGUUCCAGGGGAGAGUGGGUGCAACAACAAUAUGUGCUUCCAUCUACUUAUAAAGGGGGUGAUGCAGAGUUUGUUGUAACAAAGCAACAAGCAUCAUGUCUGGGUUGCUCCCAUUUUUGUUCACUACUUAAUGUGAAAAGACAGCAAUACAAUAGCUUCAAUUCAACAUUUAUUUAAAACAGUACCAAUACAAGUAGCACAACAUCUCAAAGCACACUGCACAAUCAUGUGGAUGAAGGCCUGUACUGACCUUUCAUGAGACCACCAUGAUAAAAUACGAAUCUGCCAACACGAAUAGGAAAUCCAAUCUCGUUUUGUGCAGUUGCACUGAAAUCAAGAAAAGUGUUUCGCGUAGUGAAGCAAAAUGUCGCAAUAGCAACAAGUUGAAUAGAUAUCCCUGUUUAAACAGAGGCAAAAAAGGAAUCAAUUACUGGCUAAUAAAGGAGGAUGAAGCAUGCUGCCACAAAAAUGGUAAUACCGCCAAUCCCUAACAAGUGUUGCAGUUUUGAAAUAAGAUUUAGUAGUUAAUUCUGAGAGUGGCAUCAAUUACUGGCUUAUAAAGGGUGUGAUGCUGAAUUUGUUGUAACAAAGCAACAAGCAUCAUGUCUGGGUUGGUCCCAUUUUUGUUCACUACUUAAUGGGAAAAGACAGCAAUACAAUAGCUUCAAUUCAACAUUUAUUUAAAACAGUACCAAAACAAGUAGCACACCAUCUCAAAGCACACUGCACAUCAUGUGGAUGAGACCAAGAUUUGAAACAACUCGCCACGAAGACUGGAAACAAAUCUCGAUCUCCUUUUGUGCAGUUCCACCAAAAUUAAGCAAAGUCACUGGUGUGACAUUCAAGUUGAACUGCACAAACACUCUUAAAACAUAAGUGUUUCGAGUAGUGAAGCAAAAUGUCGCAAUAGCAACAAGUUGAAUCGAUACCCCUGUUUUAACAGAGGCAAAAAAGGAAACAAUUACUUGCCGAUAAAGGAGGAUGAAACAAACAGUGAUAGAAAGACGCAUCUAACUUAUCUUGGAUGGAAAACAAAGUAGGAUAGUAGCAUUUCUAAAACGGUUGCAUUGAUUCAUAUUAACAUAGACAUUCUCUUGAAAAAACAUUCGUUAAAAAUGUAAUUUACUUUUAAUAGCGGCAUUGCUUCAAUUUUCCGGCGGCAUUCUUAGAUUAACAACAACAAAUAGCUGUAUGGGACAUGCCAGCACCAUGUGCGCCCACACGUAUAAAUGGGUGAUGCAGAGUAUGUAGCCAAGCAGCAUAUAUGUGUCGGUCCCAUAUUCGUUCUCUUUGAACCUUUUUCCUAUGUGAGGGCAGCAAAUCUAGUCCUGCACAAACUACCCGACCCCCCAGUUUCUUUCCCUUUUCAACAAAGAGAUCGGUUCCUUAUAGAUGUGUGUACUGGGUUACCCCCUUUUUCCUUUUUCGACCAACAAAGCGGCUGGAUAGCCAGUCUAUACUACUUUCCGCUCCUCCUUUCCUCAUUGAACCACGUCCUUGAUUCUUGCUCCAGCCCACCACACCCUUCUUUCCUCUUUGAACUAAGACCUAGAGCAACAAGCAUCAACGACGAAAAAUUGAAACGUUACGCCUCCUUCAUGCAGCUAGAUCGAAAAAGAUCCACAUGCAGCUAGAGCAACGACGGUUUCAAAGAAACUUGUACCUUAGGGUCAUCGGGAUGUGGCAAGGCGUGCGGCAGAGGCCGGAUCUGCCCACACUACGUAUGACAGCGAGGAAGAAGGGGUCGGUGGCCCUCCCUCACAGGCGCUAGGUGAAAAAGAACAAUGCUGCACCUCCUCCCCUUCCCGGUGCGACGGGAUACGGACGCCUCCUUCACCAGCUGUGAGGAGGGGGAGAGAGACAAGAGGCCAACGCAGUCUUGUUUAGAUCAGGUGAAGAGAGGCCGAGUGACUGUGAAUAUAGCAAACCCUAGCAAAUGAACACUGAGCCUCCAGCGUGUAUACAUAUAUGUAGUGCGGCGAGAGUGUGGAGAGUGCAAACCCUAGCGAACAAGCGCUGAGGCUCCAGCUUAUAUAUAUAUAUAUAUAUAUAUAUAUAUAUAUAUAUAUAUAUAUAUAUAUAUAUACUAUUGUAGUACGGACUGAGCUCCGGUGCCUUCACUGGACCUGCUUUUGGCUGUAUGACAGGUGAGCCGGCCACAUUUUGGGCCCACCUGUCAUAAACCCAAAGGCAGGUGCACUAAGUCAAUGAAGCUGCGUCCAUAUAGUACUCUCGUGUAUACGACUAAUAUAUAGUGGAGUGGUUUUCUUAUUCUCUCCAUAACAAUCGUUUUAAAUUGUGUAAGUACGAAACAAAACUCUUUAUUUAAUGUACAGUGAAGAAAACUACUACUACUUCCGAUGAACUAACGAUCCACGCCCACGCGUCCUGGUCGCACUUCUUGUCCUUCACGUGCGGUACACUACCCUCCCUUAAGUGAACAACCACACAUGCGCCAAAUUAUCGGAAAUGUGUGAGAGUGUGUACAAAUAAAGAAUUUUAAUUUCAGUUAUCGGAAAGGUUUGAGAGCAUUACAAAGUUUGACUUCAGUCAAAUCUAAUAUGCGGAGUAAAUAAAAAUGGAGGGCUACUACGUCCAUCCGGGUUUUUAGUCCACACAUUUUUUAAAUCAAAGUUAAUAGCUGGACAAAUAAAAUUACAGAGGAGCUGGAGACAAAGUUGUGAGAAGGCUUAGAAAUCAAUACAAAACUUAUGCUAUUAGUACCAACGUCCUUCUUCGAGGAAACAUUUGGUUCAAAGCCAAUUGUGUGAUAAAAUUGCACCAACGUGAAAGCCGACUGCGUCUCCAACGGAACCAAGGUGAACAGACGAAGGAUAUCAUCUUUGUGUGUAACAAGCAAAGAUCACUGAUGGAAGACAACUUGUUUUUCAUUGAAAAUCGAUCAGCUUCACCAGCCGACGCAACCAUGAGGCGCAACCAUGAGCAUCGAUAGGUCAUCGUGGUGAUGCAUCAUCCAUUUGGCAUCAAGUUUGGGUGAGGCACCUAUGGAGUUCAACAAAUCCUCACUGUGGUCUGCUUCUUCUCAGUAAUCAAGCUCGAGGAAGGAAGAACCACGUGGCAGAGGACAGUGAGGCGGAACAACAAUGGCCAUCCAAUUUUCUGCAGUUCCACUAAAAUUGAGGAAGACAUGCCCGGGUAUGGAGACACGCAUUGUUGUUUCCAAAAAUAUAAAAAAGGGUUAGCAACGACAUCUCAAUUGUCAAUAAGAAUUAAUGAAAAGUACACCAACAAACAGAAGCAUCAUAAUUAUCUUGAUGGGAACUAAACCAGGAUACCCGAGAAAAAAACAUUUCUUUAUUUAACCAGUGAUAGUACUACCACCAUAUGGACAAUGACCGCACAACCACCAUGUACUUUUUGUCGAAACAACGUGUAUACGUCCACCGAGGAAUAAAUCAGGACAACUUUUCGAGUGGCAUUUCCUCUAUAAUAGUACUAGUAGGUGAUGUUGGACCAUCCGACGAACCCUAGCUACUACACAUGGGGAGCUGGGGAGUAGUCGCAUAGAAGAAAACCCGCACACAACGACCUGGGGAGCUGGACCAGUACAAGAAGUUAUACCUCAGGUGGGCGAGAUGUCGUUUAGGCGGGCGGGCGGGAUCUGCCCACACGACGGCAGCGAACAAGGGCGCGGAGGAUCUUCGUCCGUGCCAGCGCCGACUCCAAGAGGACGGUGCGCAUCGGCUUCCUCCGUCGCCGCCGGCGACAACGUCAACGCUGCACCUCCUCACCUCCCGCAGCGGACGGGAUUCGGCCGGAUCUGUGACCACCGAUGAGGAGAGAUAUAGAGUGGACACUGUCACCUUGUUUUGAUAUGGAGAGGGUGAGAGAGCGAGGCGCGAGAAACUCUAUCAAACAAUAGGCUAUAAUGGAGUAAAAAAAAUCUCCAUAGCAGUGGUUUUAAAUAGAAUACGCGUGUUCCCGGAAAAAAGAAACGAAAACUGGCGGACAAUUUUUUAAGGGCCAGUCUAGGACACAUCUAGAUGUGACAUAGUUAUGUCACAUCUAAGUUGAUGUCCACUCUGUUUGUGGUCUAUUUUUUUGUCCUAAUUUUUUUGUUUCUUGUUGCUACAUUAUAUACUUGUGGGAGCUUAGAUGUGAUAUCCUUAAAUAACAUCUAGAUGUGAAUUAGACAAACUGAUUUUCUAACGUACCAAGAAAGAAAACUCGAUCAAAAACACGCCCCCGCUUCCAGGUCGCGAGAGUCGUCGCACACACACACAUAGACAUAGACAUGCAUAUCCGUGUUUACGUAAAAUUCCAUUUCCAUCUCCAUCUCCGAUCAUAUUUGUCCAACUGGCACAUUAUUUACAUUGUUAAUUAUAUAAGCAGCAAUACUAACGUACAUCAUCUCUUGUUUGCGGACGUCUGGACCGCUGCCAUGGCCGGUCCUGACCAACCCGAACCCCCUUCAUCACCCGCGCAUGCUUCCCGCCCGAAACGGUCAGUGCCGCAUUCAUGCCCAGCCAGAGCGGACGCGACCUCUCACUAGCGCCGGCAUUGAAGCGGUGCGUCGGCCGAGAGAGCAUCGCCCGCGCCGCUUCCGGGUGCACGCGGCUGCUCCGCGUUCAAAGGUCGCAAUAGCCGGCUACAACAUGCAUGUAAAAAGUUCUUGGGAGUCCGUGCUACAGCUAGUUGUCCUCCCCCAACUCAUCAAUCUCUUCCAGUAGUGCUAGUACUCCAUGGCACGAUCCGUCGACAAGCAGGCGGGAAAGUUAUCCUAUACUCGGUUUGCAGUGAGUGGCAUGCCGAGCGACCAUGUGGUGUCGAGCCGUGGAGGAGGGUGAGACACGACCACGACAAACGUGAUUUAAAUGUUGGUUUUGUUCGAUGGCGCGAUCCAACGAAAUGAAACGUUGGUUUCUCUCCGUUUCCAUUUUUUCUCCGGAAAAACGGAAACUUUCCACUCCAUUUUCAUUCCUAUUCCAAGGUUGCCCCAUUACAACAUUCCAUCAAAUACAAAGGAAAACUAACACGCAUGCUGAUGCAUCUCAAUGAUUCACAGAUCAUAGCCAAUAUUUACUUCACAACUAAAGAAAAAAGUUGUGAGAGCGUGUACGAAAGAAAAACUAUUGAUGGGGUCACUACGACUUAAACGCUAAACCCUAAACAUGAUUUAAUUUCCUCGCCAGGUAGAACCUGUCGAAGGAAAGACGGCUGGCACCCUCGGAUCAUACGAUGCUUUUGUGCAGCUCCACUAAAAUCGACCUGAGCAUCCCUGAUGGCAAAGAUAUUGAAGAAGCGUGAUUAGAAUAAUAGUACUGGCACUAGUUCAUGAGACAUAAACUCAUCAUAAGUAGAAGCCGGUAGAAGUAGAGAAAGAUCGACAUGGAGAUGGAGCUACGGCAGUGGAGAAAGCCGGCUCCGAAAGGAAGAUGGACUACUUGGGACGUCGGGCUGUAGCUAGAAGGGCGGUUGGGACGCGGCAUCGGCCCAUACCGCGGUGACCCCCGAUUGGGACGCACCAACUGUGGGUUUUCUCCCUCGCCGAUAUCGACCGCGUCUAUGCAGAACAUUGUUCCCUUUCCCCAGCUGUGGGAUCAGUCCCGUCGUUCUAUGCUUGUGAAAAGAGCAACCUAAGCAAGCAGGCUUGUAGCUUAGGCUCCUGCUAGUGUAUACAUAGUGGUUUUCUUUUUCUCUCCAUAUCAACCAUUUUAUAUUGCGUACGUGUCAUUCAAGAGUGAAAUGAUGGUUGCAUCUUCCGACUAACUUACUGUGUGAUUUGACUGCUCCUUAGUGGCCCCUACACGUACUCCUCCUACGUGUAUGCAACAGUCACACAUACACAUGGACGCAAAAAUGCGCGCGACGCCCUAAUGCUUGCAUGUCUGAGCACACGAUGGAACACACACGGUCACGCUCAAGUGCUCAACCUACACAUGCAUGCACACACAUACUCAGUCAGGGUGAGCUAGUGACUGUAUAAACACCGAAAAAUAUAUAUAUUGAGCGCAAUGAGCGUAUUAUGAAGUCCACUGACCGUAUUUUUACAAAUAUACAGUGACAGACAGUGUAUUUAUCUUCUUUGAAAUUAAGCCAUAUUAACUGGAGAGGAGGCAAUAUGGACUAGCAUUACUUUUCUAUGUUCCGUCAACUUGCCGAACGAGGAGAAGGUUGCAGGUUGGGAGAAGCUUGCACGCGGUGGCUCGCAGGACAAGGAGAAACUUUUGACUAAUGCAAGCUCUCCCUCGCUCAGGCAGUGGACGUGCAACAGUUAAUUCGGUGUCAGAAUUGCCAGAAGCAUACACUAUACUACUAGUGCUAUUAUUGUUCGACUUCCCGAAUAGGCGAACAGCCAAGCGCAAAGUUUACUAGUAGUAGUAGUACUACUACUACUAUAGUCUAUAAAGGUAUGUAGUACUAUACUAGUACUAGGAACCGGAUGGAGGAGCGUCUGCACUCUUAUUAUAAUUUUAAAAUGUGAUAAAGCAAUCUUCAACACAUUAGGUUCUCUUUGAGGGUUCUCGCAUGUGAUAAUGGAAGUUGAUUGCAUGGAACACUCGCCACAAUUCUCACUUAAUUCUGGCUCAUAUCCUAUUACAAAUAGUAGUGCUCGGUAAUAUUUCCUCUUUUUUUGUUAUUCAACACGUAAACAAGUCAGCAAACCUUGUGGCACAUCUUUGUGUGAACCGUGCUUGCUGCACUUUGAAUGUGGCCGAGAGCUGGCUUGAUGAAACACCUCGCUUCCUACUUCUUUUUUGCGGGGUACCUCGCUUCCUAGUGACCAGUGUCUUGGCUGAUCGGCCUAAGAAUGCUUAUAUAUGAAUAAAGCUCUCUCAUUUACUCGCAAAAAAGAUUAAGCCAUAUUAACCGGAAAGGAGGGAGUAUGGACUAGCACUACUUUUUGGUGUGUCCUGUCAACUCACAGAACAAGGAGAAGCUUGCAGGACAAGGUGAAGCUCGCUUACGCCUUUUGACUAAUGCAACCUACACUCAGUGGACAUGCAUCAGUCCAUUUGGUGCUAGAUUGUCAGAGGCAUACACUUUAGUACCCAACAUGCGGAGUACCAUCAUUGUUCGACUUCACGAAGAGGCGAAGAGCCAAGCACAGUAGUACGAGCAGUACUACUACUAGAACCGCAUGGUGGAGCGUCUGUACUCUUAUUUUUUUAUCUCUGAUAAAGUACACAUUUAUUCCGGAGAAGGGCGGAAAAAGGCAGCCCAACAUGUAAUGAAUGAUAUCGAUCAACCAACCAUGCUCGAAUAUAUCUUGGCCCCCGUGCGAGCCUGUCUGUGUGUUCUCACUCCUCGUCUCUCUCAAGGAACGGCGGGUUGGCUCUUUGCCAUCAAUUGAGAUCGGUUUGCUCACACUCCUGUCCCACAUGUCAGUGAUAUGCCAAGAGGAGGUGCGUUGACCGACUGGCCAUACACGUACUUGGUUUUGCACCUUCAUACCACUCCUCCCUCCGUCACAGUUUACAGGGUGCGCUUCAUUAUGAUGCAUUUCUCUCAAUGCAUUUCCACCACCAGAGAGACUUCAGACGCAUUUGGUUUAAUGCUCAAUUAACUAGGGCGUGGUAACCACAAUCAAGUCCACAAUUUUCUCUCCAUGUACUAUACUACUAUGGAGUGGAGUAAGUGCAUGCAUGUGUGUACCUUGGGUGGAAGCACUGCAUGCAUGUGUCUACGCAUUAUUCCCUCUAGUAAUAGACACCGUGCUAUAACUACCAAUGCUAUUUUUUAGGCCGAUCGCUAGUCGCCUUGGUCCCAUAGAUUUUUUUUCUUUUUUCUGAAUCGCGCUCUAUAAACAGUGACGCAUGGAGUAGUAUGAGUGGAUUCAAAGAAGAGCGUAUUGAUGGUUGCUUCUUUCGAGCAACUUACAGUGGGAAAGGUGGGGCUUAUGAUUUGACUGCUCAUUACUCACUAUUAAUGCGGCGUAAUGACCGGGCUGAGUCUCCCAUGUGGUUGUGCACUACCCCCUCGAUUCUUAAAUAUACUCCGGAGUAUUUGUCUUUCUAGAGAUUUCAACGAGUGACUACUCAAAUAUUUAUCUUUUUAGAGAUUCAAAUGGACUACUACAUACGGAUAUAUAUAGACAUAUUUUAGAGUGUAGAUUCACUCAUUUUGCUCCGUAUGUAGUCACUUGUUGAAAUCUCUAGAAAGACGAAUAGAAUAUUUAGGAACGGAGGGAGUACACAUAUGAAGCAAAAUGAGUGAAUCUACACUCUAAAAUAUGCCCAUUUGAAAUUUGUAAAAAGACAAAUAUUUGGGAAUGAAGGAGUAUAAUUUUGUGCAUGGCACAUGGACCCGGAUGAUGAAGAGGCUUCUGGCAAUGCUAUCAAGCUUCCAUCAUUUGUUUACAUAAUUGACGUACUAUACAAAUAAUUUUCCAGCGACAUGAAAUUGUACAAUGGUGUGAGCUUUCAGCUUUUGUUUCGUGUGUCUUGCCAUCAAUGCUCUUUCGGAAACAAUAAAAAACUAACUUCAUGCUUUCAUUAGCAGCAAUGUCCCCCCAGCUCUGUCUAAAUCAACAAGGCAUGUUGGGAAAAAAGUAGCUGUCUGGAGCAUGCAACAUUCCGAUCAUUUUGUGCAGUUCCACUAAAAUAGAGCUGAGCGUCCCUGUUCCAAAGAUAUUAAGUGCGAUUACUAUAAUAGAGGACUGCUGAUGAAACAAUAAACAUACAAAUAGAAGCCGGUCACCUUUGUAGUCUCUCUUAACACUAACUAGUUGGAGAAGAUUAGGCUUGGAGUUGGAUGAGGAGGAUAGAGCAAAACCAAUCUCCCUUUGUGCAGUCGCACUGAAAUGUAGAGACAUCGCCCGUGUGACAUUUUAGUACAACUGCACAAAACACUCUUAAGAAAAAAGUGAUUUGUGUAGUUCACCAAAAGGUCGCAAUAGCAACAAGGUGAAAUGGAUAGCCCUGUUUGCAAAAAAGAGGUAGAAAGGAAACAAUUACUGGCCAAUGAUAGUUGAUGACACAUGCGACGACAAAAAAGAAGCAUAUUCCUUGUCCUAAGGGAAGAUAACAACAUGGUUGUGUUUGUCUAAGACGGUGUGAGGACGACAAUGCAAUAUGGAAAGUACGCGGACGUGCUACAUUUUGGGCAAAGAACUAUGGAAGAUCCACAUGCAGCGACGUGGGAAGACGGGUAGUGGAGCAAGGCCAGAGGGGAUACCUGGAAGUCGUCGGGAUGUAACUAGGUGAGUGGCGGCAGGCGGAAUCUGUGAGCAGGUGGCGUAGGCCCUGCCACGCCGGAGCUUGGUCAGAGAGAACGACGUGUAUCGCAGAUCAGGACGUGCUGCCUCGGCACCGUCGAACGGAGAAAUGAUGCACUUCCUCCCUUUCCCCCGGUGGACGGGAUGCGGCCGGAUCAGUGACCAACGGUGAGAGAGAGAGAGAGAGGCCACCGCACUCCCUUUCCCCCGGCGGACGGGAUGCGGCCGGAUCAGUGACCAACGGUGAGAGAGAGAGAGGCCACCGCAGCCUUGUGUGAGACACUCUGAAGAGCGACAAACCAGGCAGGCAGGCUCCAUUGUAUAUAGUGAGCGGACUACCUUUAUCUCCAUAAAAAUCAUUUAUAUUCUAUGUACGUGCCAUUGAGCGCUAUAACUUUAUUUAAAAAUAAUGCGGCAACGCGUCAAGUCGAACUUUGUUUCGUGCACGCGUGGUACACGACCUCCCUAGGUAAACAACCGCUACAGGCGUUCAAAUUAGCACGUGGGCCGCCAUUUCGUAAAGAAAUGAGCUCCACCGUGUACCCGCGCGGGUGUGGUUGGGCAUGAAGCGUGAGUAUGUGCACGGUGCACCUAUUCUCUUCUUGUAUACGUACACCACCUACGUGGGGUUGUGUGAGAGAGAUACAAACCUAGAGAGAUAUAGUGUGUGGGUUCUUGAGAGUUUUUUCUGGGGGGUGGGGGUCAAUCAAAAAAUGUAACAUAUGCAAUGUGUGUGAAAUAGAGUCCUGGAUAUAACAUAUAUAUAGAGGGGGCGAUCCACGAGAAGAGAGUGGAGGUAUCAUCGGUUUGAGGUGUCCAUAGAAUCGAAGAGAGGGAUGAUGUGUGUGUGUGUGCGCGCGCGCGCAAUCGAUAAAGAGUGCCAUCGAAUUUGUGUGUUCCCAUGUCAAAGAUAUAGAGUGGCUGGCCUACUGGAACGUGAGAGGGGACAUGUGCAGUUUGUCUCUGUGGCAUGGAUACUUACCUGCAGUGCUCGACUAUCGGUGUGUGGUGGGGGAAGAGGGAGACCCAAUUAACUAUAGAGGUACAAUGGCUGGUAUAUGUGUGGAGGAGGAGAGAGGCCUACCUCAUGUAUUAAGGAGAUUGAUCUGCCUCAUGUAUUAAGGGAGAUCGAUCGGCAUCCAUGCAUAUGUGCAUGAGAGGAAUAAGGUUGGGAGAGAGACAGAGCUAGAGUGCUGGAGGGGGUGAUAGUGGAGUUGCUUCUAACAAAUGGUGGGAUAGGCUUGCUAGACAAACGGAGGGCACGCCCGCAAUAUCAAUAAGAGAGGAGAUGGCUGCUUGUUGUCUGUGCACGUGCGCGUGAGAGACGGGUCAGGAGGCAUGCAAGAAUGAUGAGGGGGGACGAUGUGGCUGUGGUAAGCAGACAUAACUACAUAGGAAGAUCGAUCGCCCUUUGUUAGAGAAAGGAGAGACAUAACUUGUGAGGUACGUUGAUCGAUGGGGGGGUAGUUAAAGUCGAUCUAGGUAUAUGUUGGGAGAUCGAUUGGUAUACAUGCAUGUGUGUGUGUUAGAAGCAAAUGAGGCACAAGGAGAAGGAUAGAGAGAGAGGGAUGCAUCUAGGAGGUGGUACGAGAGGCAUACUAUAUCGAGGGGGAAGGAGUGUGCGAGUACGAGAACAAUGAAAAGAGUGGUGGGAGUGACGCAUGGAUGGUGACAAGAGAAGAGGGGAAGCUUGUGUUUCUGCUAGGCACACUUGGCUAGAGAGGCAUAUCAGUCGAUGUGUGCCGUAAAGAAGGAGCUGGGGGGCCUACACACACCAUGGGUGAACGACCUAAAGUGAAAAGAUGAAUUUGCACGAUGCAGCUAGAGAAUGCUGAGGGAGGGUGAGAGGGAUGCGGGUGUGUGCAUGCACAAGAGAAAGUUAGCGCUAGCUACAAAGAUAAGAGGGUUGUGUGGGUGUAGAAGAUGAAUAGAGAUCAUAUAUACUUCAUUAUAAAAAGCAAAUUCAGAUAUUUGAAGAAUUUAUCAUAGUGUUUUAAACCGACGCAUGUGUGAAUAUAUAUAACGGUGAUACACAUGGUGUGGUUAUGAACAUGUUAUACUACAUUUAAUAUAUUUUAUCUCUACUCUUAUAAAAAACGGAGUUGUUGAUGAUGGUGUGCCUGCCAUCCUGCAUUAUAGGUCGUCCGAUUUAUAUCUGGCAGAUAGCAAGGAAACUAUGAUGGUUGAAGUUGGCAACAAUCAUGAUUGUAGAUUCUUAUUGAAAUAGAGAAACGAAUUCAAAUUUAGUUCGAAUUGCAGCGGUAGUAUAGACAUUUGGAAUGCACUAAAAUGUUGGUAUGAGUAGGUUACAUGCAUUAUACAGCAAGCCAAAAAAAUUAAUCGGACAUAACAUGGAUUCAUACUCCCUCCUUCCAUUUAUAUAGGGCGUAAUGAUAUUUUUAAGACCGUCCUUGACUAUUGACAAGAUUAAUAGUACAUGACAUGCACAUGUGAAAAUUAUAUCAUUGAAAGAACCUUUCGCAAACGAAUUUAACGGUGUGCUUUGUGUAAGUUGCAUGUCAUAUAUUAUUGCUCUAAUAUUUGGUCAAAGUUAGCAUCGAAAAACGCAUUAGGCCCUAUAUAGAUGGAAGGAGGGAGUAGCUUUGAAUAGCAUUUUAUAGUAAAACGGGGCAAGACUCUCUCUUUGUGUGCUGUGAAUAGUUUUAUUUUUUUUUGUUUUCUUUUUGGUUGAGAGAAGUGCAAAUUGAUUUGGUACGUACAAGUAUAAUAUUACUACACAUUAGGCUUGUCCCUAAAAUUCAACCCGUGUCUUGUUAUAUCCUGAAAAUUCAGAUAUCGUGCUCCCAAAACCGGUGCCUUCACAACCCGCGCCUUGCUAUCCCGAAAUUACAACGCGCGCGAAAACUCCCUCCAGCUGCAAAAUCCCGACACACGAAAUCCCCCUUCUAACCCUGAGCCGAAAGGGCCGCUAGUUCAAAUCGGUGGGGGGUACUUUUGUAACACACCCUACAUUUUGGACAAGCGCGUCCCUAAGUCAUGCUUCACCCCCUCCCAUCGCCCCCUUUUCGCCAUUGGAAAUCCCAGGCCGCCAUAACCUCUUUGCUCCAGCCGCGAAACCCCACCCUCCUUCGUCCGCCACGUCACCGCUGCCCAGCGGGAGCCUCUUCCCCGACGACGUCAUCCACCGCAAUAGCUCGACGUCCCUCGUCCACCUCCCCGGAUGAGGAUCCGUCGUCCAUCUCGCCAUCCCGCCGGUUCAGCCACCCCGUCCUCCACCUCCAAGGAGCUGCUCCGACGAUCGCCUCGUCUAUCGCGGCCGCUCCAUCCCCACAGCGCCGCCUUAACCUGCUCCACCGGAACCGCAGCAUCCUCACCGACUCCUCGGACGAAGCCGAGGCCUACUAGGCGCCACCAAAGAGGUUGUACACUCAUCACGCCACACCUUCUCCUUAACUCGGCCUCCCGGUGCCGACGAUGCUCCAUCCUGCACCCCCAUGGAGUGGCUACCUUGAAGCCGGCGCCGCGAGCGACAUCUCCAUGGCGGCUCUCCCCUAGUGUGAGGCCCCUUCGGUAGCGGUGUCCAUACCAGCCAGAUCUACUGCUGCUGCUCCGGCUCUCGCUCACGCUGCUGCUGCUGCUCCGGCUCUCGCUCGAUCACUUGCUCGCCCAGCUGCUGCUGCUGCUCUCCCCCUCGCUCAUGUUGCUGCUCUGCUCCGAUUAAGCCACACUUCAGUCGACUGAAUCGACUUUUGGGUCAGUCGAUUUUUAGGGGUUAGGGGGGCUCGCCGGAGUUAAGGAAGAACCACCCGCAGCGGGGACGGGGGCUCGCCGGAGAGGUACCCCACUAUCUAUCUUAGGGUUCAGGGUGGGGCGAGGGGCCUAGAGGGCUGGCCGAGGCGGCGGUGGCGAGUUGUUUCGGGGCGGCGAGGCGGCACUGGGGCUGGUAGUUCGGCCGGUGGUGGCUGGUGGCUCAGGGGGGUGCAGGUUGAAGAUGAACUGCAGGCCCUCGCUAAACUACGUGUCAAGUGCCCCUCUGCUACCAUUGCAUUCAGUUUUGAUAGUAGCAUUCAGAUUCCAAAGUAAAUUUCAGUUUCGAUAGUUAAGUUCAGAGUCAAUAGUUUUUACCUCUUUUGUUGUAGUCAGGUGGUUUUUGGUGAUGUAAAUUUUACAUCCAUUUUACAUCAUCUAUUAGAGAUGCUAUUAGAAUCCCACUUGAGAUUGAGGAUGUCUGUCUUGUGCUGCUUCAGCCUUACGUCUUAUGGCUCACCAGAGCUGCUCCAACGACAGAACGAUCCAUCACAACAGAGCAGUGCCCUGGACGCCGUCUACAGAUUCCUCAGAUCUUCCUCCACACCUCUGAUAGCCACCUCUGCCUCAACUGCUUCAGCAGCCAACCCAAUGAUGCUGAGGUCGACAUGGCUACGACAAAGAGGUUGUACACUUGUUGCAUCACUUAUUACUAUACAUUCACGUCGAUCCAUUAGGGCUAUUUUGGUUCAACAGAAAAACGUCGAUCCACUGGUUGUUACCAAAUUUCUGCAUGCUCUCCUUACAUAAUCUCACCAUAUUUUUUUCGUAUGCAUGUCAGAUAUUGUACACAGUCAUGCUGCACAUGUACAGAAAAAGAGAAGAGUUUUGCGCGGCAAUACAAUGUCAUGCAGACAUCGCUCCAUGGUGGAUUCAAUGGCAAACCCUCCCCACCCCUCUCCAGAUUGUAAUCCAGAGGAAGAUAUCUGUUCUGAGGAGGAUUCAGACGCUGCUAACCACUCCUAUUUACCCCCCAAGGUGUUUGCUCUACCUUGGCAUGAUGAUGUUAGUCAUAUCAUGCAUAUGUUGCCUUGCAGUGCCUACUUUUGACAUCAUAUAUGUCAUCUGCUUAGUUUAGACAUGUUUUGUAAUGCCACCUGUUUAGUUUCUAUAUCAUAUAUGGGAAUUAUGCAGUCUCAUGUCUUUUAGCCAGCCAUAAUAUAUGUGAAAUGUGCAAUGCCAUCCUGUUUAACCAGGCAUCAUAUAUUUGAAUGAUAUCUUGACCAUCCUUUUCUUCAUUACAUUUCCAUUUGUCGACAAUGUUUGUACAUUAAACUACUCUUCCUGUGAAUCAGCCAUUUGGGUGGGAGAUGGAAAAAUCUGGAGUGAAAACAAGGCCUUCAGAGCAGACAGUGCUACAUGUCGAAGCAGAUCUCUUGUUGGGUCCCGAUAGCUCCUUAGAGAUGGAUUCAGAGACAGAUGACCAGUCCUAUUCCCCCACUGAGGUGUAUGCUCUAACUUGGCACAGUUAUACUGCUCAUAGCAUGCAUACGGUGUCUUGCAUUGCAUAGUUUAGACAUCAUCUACACAAUAUUCAACACCAUGUUCUUAGUUCAGACAUCAUAUCGAAUGCCCUCUAUUUAGCAUAUAAAUCACAUAUGUGAAUUAAAUGAUGCGAUCCUAAUUACUUAGAUAACAUGUAGGUGAAUUAUGUCAUGUGAUCCUGUUUAGUUAUUCAUCAUAUCUUUGAAUUAUGGUAUGCUAUGCUAUCCAGUUUAGAUAGACAUCAUAUAUGUGAAAUUAUGUCAUGCUAUCCGUUUUAGUUAAACAAUAUACAUGUCAACUAUUUCAUGCCCUCUUUUUCCACACUAUCUAUUGCAUUGUCUCUCAUACAAUGUCUGUACAUUCAACUAUGUUUCCUGUUUAUCAGCCAUUUGAAUUGGAGAGGGUGAUGCCAGUAUCUAGCGGACUAAAAACACGGUCUUCAAAUAAAACAGUGCUACCUCUUGGUGGAGAUAGCACCCCGGUUGUACAUGCACAAGAACCAGCUUCACCCAAUCUAACCCCAACCCCGGCCGAUAGUAACCCAGUUCCUGUUGACACAUCACCAUCUCCACCACAGAGCUCCCAAACAAGAGCAGUUAGUAAGGCAGCUCCCGUGCCCAAAGGGCCAGUACUAUCAUGGCGAACCCCAACUCCACCAGUUAGUACGCCUAUUCCUGUGGAGGAAGCACAACCAGCUAGUCGUAGUUUAGCAUCUAUCGCAUUUGAUGUUGUUAAAUCAUAUGUGCGUAUCUUCCCAUCUUGGAAAUAUUAUACUGAAGAUGAAGGAAAAAUGCCAGUUGCAGGUGUUUGUCCAGGAGUUAUGUGUAAGUAAUGUUAUUCAUGGCAAUUACUUUGCUUCGUCCCAUACAUCCUACCUCCAUGAUGGUUAUAAUACAACAAAUUUUCCCAUUUUUCUCUAUAGAGAAGGACCGAUUUGGAAACUCAGGAUGACGUAACAUGUGCUAAUACCUCUGCUAUCUUCAAGAAUGCUUGGUGGUAGUAUUGGAAUUACCUGAAGAAAACGUAUUUCACCGGCAAAGAAACUCAUCAAAUUCCCUUAUGUUCUCCUAAGACACAUUUACUGGACGAUGACUGGGAACGCCUUGUUCUGUACUGGUCCCAAACCAAGAAUGUGGUAAGGUCUAUGAGCUCAUUUUCUAUUUUUAAGUAUUAUAUUCUUGCGUCUUACUGUACUCUAUUCAUGUAGGACAAGUGCCUAAACCUAAAGAACAACUGUUCUAAUUUAAGAUUCCAUUGCUAUCAUAGUUCAAAAAGGCGCUAGGCGUUAAUUGUGCGUUUUGCCACCGCCUUGCGCUUUACUGACCAAAGCGCAUGCUUAUGCGCAGUUAUGCACAGAUUAAGCGUAGUUAUGCGCAAUGCGUUUUGCCAACGCCUAGAGCCUAGGCGCGCUUAAACGCUCGCUUAGGCGCGCCUUUUUUAACUAUGAUUGCUUUGCUCUUGUAUCACUGUAUUUACUCAUACAAACUUAUUUUCAAAUUGAAGGAUCCAAUUGAAACUCCAAUGGCACAGCAGGUAUGUCCACGCAUGUUUCUUUAACAGGUUUGCUCUUAUCAAUAGCUCUAUUGAUUUCAAUUUCAAUUGUGUAUACAGUUGACUUUCAUAUCAUGCACAUUACUAGCAUCACAACAGAGCCAAUAGUGUUGUUGUACAUGUAGACCCGUGGUACCCAUCUGAAAUCUUGUUGUGCCGUGUAGUUUCCCAUGCUUUGUAUUCUUUCAUUGCUGCUUUGUCUUGAACUGAUAUGAUUUGAACCGUGUCUCUACUUUGAUUUGGCAACACAAUGUAGUGACCAUAGGACAUAGAUAUAUGUUUGUUUGAUGAUUUUAUUAUGUACUAGUACUUGGAAAUAGAAGACUUGGUAGUUUAAUCCUGUCCACCUUACUAAUGAACUGGUUCACCGAAAUGAGUUUCAUAUACUAGUACAUGCUAAACUUGUUAUGUGUCUGCUUGUUUCUUCUUUUACAAUGCUGACAGAAUAUUGGGGAAGAGUGCCUUAUUAAGCAAUGGUAAAGGAAGUAAUGCAGAUAAGGUUCACGAUAGUGACACAUCCUUGUUGGUCUCCAACAAAGCUGAUAAAACAGCUAAGGAAGACUAUCUUGAAGAUAGCGAGACAACCCCAAAGUCCUGUCUUGGUUUACUGUUUGAGUUACUGGCCACUACCGCUUGCACAAGCUAUUCAAACUCACUGUCUGAAUCAGUUCGAUUUCUUGAGUCUCAACUACAAGCUGAAAGACAUCGAUCAGCUGUGCUGCGACAAGAAGCGGAAGGACUGCGGAAGUCCCUAGAGCAUUAAGAUGCAUACUUUCUGGUGCAACAGCAAGCGUCGGAGGAUUUUAGCGCCAAACAGGACAAAGCUAAUAAGCUUGCUAAGCUUAUUGCCAGCAUGGUGGAUACCCAGGAUAACGUUUCUUGAGCUCUUCUAAAGUUGUUUCAGUUAUGCUCUUGUUUUGCUGCCGUGUUUAUUUGCACUGGUGGCCAAUUUUGAUGACCAGUGUAUGUAAUAUGCUGCUUUGUUCCCUAUAUUUGCACUGGUGGCGAACUUUGAUGCCCAGUGAAUGUAAUAUGUGUAACAGCGGUAAUAGGCUAGCGUUAAUUGCUUGCUUAUUUAUUUCCUUAUUGUCUUGUUUAGUUGUUUGCUUGUAGUCACUGCAGUUCUUUUUGUGUGUUUUUCUAGUGGCCACAAUAGCCUACUUUUGGUAACUAGGCCAAAAUAAUCAUGGCAACACACGUACUGUUGUAACCAUGGGCCUCCUGCAGGCCGUAUGAUCCAUGGGCCUUCUUCCGGCCGUAGGAUCCAUUGGCCUUCUAUACGGGCCGUAGGAUCCAUUGGCCUUCUAUACGAGCCUUAGGAUUCAUGGGCCUUCUACAGGCCGUAGGGUCCAUGGGCCUUCUAUGGGCCAUACGAUCCAUGGACCUUCUACGGGCCGUACUAUCCAUGGGCCUCAUACGGGCCGUAGGAUCCAUGGGCCUUCUACGGGGCGUAUCAUCAUUUCGCCAAUCAUGGGCCGUACUAUUCAUGGACCAUAACGGGUCGUUAAUAGGCCGUAUUUGAUAACUCUAUGAAAACAGCCCAAUGGUUUUUUUUACAUGAAAACGGCCCAACAUAUUAACGGUCCGCAAACGGGCCGACUGUAACGACGAGCUGAAUUUGGCCCACAAACAAAAAAUGACAGUAACGGGCCGUAUGUAACCGAAUGCGGCAAAUGAGCCCAAGAAUCAAUGGGCCCUGAGAAGGCCGAAAGAUAAAUUGGGCUGGAACGGCCCAAUGGAAUAAUGGGCCAUUAAUGGGUAUAAAGUGAUACAUUGUUCAUUACGGGCCAGUUUCACCACGGGCCGUUAAUGGGCCAAGAGUUACAAAGGGCCUCAUAUGGGCCGAAAGAAGUCAUGGGCCACACAUGGGCCGGAAGUUAAAACGGGCUAGAAUCAUAUUGGAGGGCCCAUAUGACGCUACUGGGCCUAAUUCGGAGAGGUUGUAAUGGGCCCUGGGUUAGCGAGCUGUAAAUGGGCUAUAUGUGAACAGGCCGUUAACAGGCUUUCCGUGGGACGGCCCGCCACCUUUUGACCAAGUCAAACGGGUGGACCUUUUCAUAGGAAUGGGCCUCUGUUGGGCCGUGCCAUGUGUCGCCGUAUCAUAGGCGCCUUUGGUCCAAUGAGUGGAUGACAUCUGUCCCAACGGUGAGCCGACACGUGUUUCCUCCAGCCAAUGAUGAUUUUACACGUGGAAAAUCCCCAUUGGUCGGGGCUUUUAACGGGUUAUUGGAUCCGAAAUCGGACCCGAUAGCUUAACUGCGUUCCGUUACGGUGGAUGCCACGUGUUGGUCACCCUUGAUGAAAACACUUCUGUGAUGCACGAUUUAUCGUCAUGGAAGUGGACACUUCCGUGAUGAUAAUUUUGGUAAUGUCAUGGAACACUUCUACGACAUCACAAGUAUGACUAUCUUGAUUCUGUCAUAAAAUUGUCAUGGAUGUACAUGCAUGACAAAAAACGUGACCUACUGUGACAAACACGUAUCAUCACGGAAGUGUAUUUUUUUUUAGUGAUAUGAUCAACAUAGUGAUGUUCACCAUUGAAAACUACUCCAUCUCAUGUGAUGAUCGGACAUGGUUUAGUUGAUUUGGAUCACGUGAUCACUUAGAUGAUUAGAGGGAUGUCUAUCUAAGUGGGAGUUCUUAAGUAAUAUGAUUAAUUGAACUUUAAUUUAUCAUGAACUUAGUCCUGGUAGUAUUUUGCAAAUUAUGUUGUAGAUCAAUAGCUCGCCUUGUUGCUUUCAUAUGUUUAUUUUGAUAUGUUCCUAGAGAAAACUGUGUUGAAAGAUGUUAGUAGCAAUGAUGCGGAUUGGAUCCGUGAUCUGAGGAUUGUCCUCAUUGCUGCACAGAAGAAUUAUGUCCUUGAUGCACCGCUAGGUGACGGACCUAUUGCAGGAGCAGAUGCAGACGUUAUGAAUGUUUGGCAAAGCUUGGUACGAUGACUACUUAAUAGUUUAGUGCACCAUGCUUUACGGCUUAGAACCGGGACUUCAAAAAUUGUUUUGAACACCACGGAGCAUAUAAGAUGUCCCAGGAGUUGAAAUUAGUAUUUCAUACCCAUGCCUGUGUCAAGAGGUAUGAGACCUUUGACAGUACUUUGCCUACACGAUGGAGGAGAAUAGCUCAAUUAGUGAGCGUAUGCUCAGAGUGUCUGAGUACUACAAUUGCUUGAAUCAAGUGGGAGUUAAUCUUCCAGAUAAGAUAGUGAUUGACAAAGUUCUCUAGUCACCAUCACCAAGUUACUGGAACUUCGUGAUGAACUAUAGUAUGCAAAGGAUGACGAAAACGAUUCCCGAGCUCUUCGUGAUGUUGAAAUCGACAAAGGUAGAAAUCAAGAAAAGCAUCAACAGUUGAUGGUUGAAAAGACCACUAGUUUCAAGUAAAAGGGCAAAGGGAAAGAAAGGGAACUUUAAGACGAAUAGCAAGCAAGUUGCUGCUCCAAUGAAGAAGCCCAAAGCUAGACCAAAGCCUGAAACUGAGUGCUUCUACUGCAAAGGAAAUUGUCACUAGAAGUGGAAAUACCCUGAAUAUUUGGUAGAUAAGAAGGAUGGCAAAGUAAACAAGGGUAUAUCUUAUAUACAGGUUAUUGAUGUGUACCUUACUAGUGUUUAUAGUAACCCCUGGGUAUUUGAUGCUUGUUCGGUUGCUAAAAAUUAGUAACUUGAAACAGGAGUUACAGAAUAAACAGAAACUAGUUGAGGGUGAACUGGCGAUGUGUGUUGGAAGUGGUUCCAAGAUUGAUAUGAUCAUCAUCGCACACUCCCUAUAUUUUCGAGAUUAGUGUUGAACCUAAAUAAAUGUUAUUUGGUGUUUGCGUUAAGCAUAAAUAUGAUUAGAUCAUGUUUAUUGUGAUACGAUUAUUCAUCUAAGACAGAGAAUAAAUUGUUAUUCUGUUGAUAUGAAUAAAACCUUCUAUGGUCAUACACCCAAUAUUGAUGGUUUAUUGAAUCUUGAUCGUGGUGAUACACAUAUUCAUAAUAUUGAUGCCAAAAUAUACAAAGUUGAUAAUGAUAGUGCAACAUAUUUGUGGCACUGCCAUUUGGGUCAUAUCGGUGUAAAGCGCAUGAAGAAACUCCAUAAAGAUGGACUUUUGGAAUCACUUGAUUAUGAAUCAUUUGAUUCUUGCGAACCAUGCCUUUUGGGCAAGAUGACUAAAACUCCGUUCUCUGGAACAAUGGAACGAGCUGCUGACUUGUUGGAAAUAAUACAUACCAAUGUAUGCGGUCCAAUGAGUGUUGAUGCUCGUGGCAAGUAUCGUCAUUUUCUGACCUUCACAGAUGGUUUGAGCGGAUAUGAGUAUAUCUACUUAAUGAAGCACAAGUCUGAAACAUUUGAAAAGUUCAAAGAAUUUCAGAGUGAAGUGUAGAAUCAUUGUAACAACAAAAUAAAGUUUCUACAAUCUGAUCGUAGAGGAGAAUAUUUGAGUUAUGAGUUUGGUCUUCAUUUGAAACAAUGCAGAAUAGUUUCGCAACUCAUGCCACCUGGAACACCAUAGCAUAAUGGUGUGUCCGAACGUCGUAAUCAUACUUUACUAGAUAUGGUGCGAUCUAUGAUGUCUCUUAUCGAUUUACCAUUAUCGUUUUGGGGUUAUGCAUUAUAGACAGUUACAUUCACAUUAAAAAGGGCACCAUCAAAAUCCGUUGAGACGACGCCUUAUGAACUAUGGUUUGGCAAGAAACCAAAGUUGUCAUUUCUUAAAGUUUGGGUCUGCGAUGCUUAUGUGAAAAGGUUUUCAACCUGAUAAGCUCGAAGCCAAAUCGGAGAAGUGCGUCUUCAUAGAAUACCCAAAGAAAACUGUUGAGUACACCUUCUAUCACAGAUCCGAAAGCAAAAUAUUCGUUGCUAAGAUGGAUCAUUCCUAGAGAAGGAGUUUCUCUCGAAAGAAGUGAGUGGGAGGAAAGUAGAGCUUGAUAAAGUAAUUGUACCUUCUCCCAAAUUGGAAAGUAGUUCAUCCCAGAAAUCAGUUCCAGUGAUUCCUACACCAAUUAGUGAGGAAGCUAAUGAUGAUGAUCAUGAAACUUCAGAUUAAGUUACUACAGAACUUCGUAGGUCUUCCAAAGUACAGUCUGCAUCAGAGUGGUUCGGUAAUCCUGUUCUGGAAGUCAUGUUACUAGACCAUGAUGAACCUAUGAACUAUGAGGAAGUGAUGAUGAGCCCAGAUUCUGUGAAAUGGCUUGAGGCCAUGAAAUCUGAGAUGGGAUCCAUGUAUGAGAACAAAGUGUGGACUUUGGUUGACUUGCCUGAUGAUCGGCAAGCCAUAGAAAAUAAAUGGAUCUUCAAGAGGAAGACAAACGCUGAUAGUAGUGUUACUAUCUACAAAGCUAGACUUGUCGAAAAAGGUUUUUGACAAAGUUCAAAAUGUUGACUACGAUGAGUUUUUUCUCACUCAUAUCGAUGCUUAAAGUCUGUCCGGAUCAUGUUAGCAAAUGCCACAUUUUAUGAAAUAUGGCAAAUGGAUGUAAAAACUACAUUCCUUAAUGUAUUUCUUAAAUAAGAGUUGUAUAUGAUGCAACCAGAAGGUUUUGUCAAUCCUAAAGGUGCUAACAAAAUGUGCAAGCUCUAGUGAUCCAUCUAUGGACUGGUGCAAUCAUCUUGGAGUUGGAAUAUAUGUUUUGAUAAGUUGAUCAAAGCAUAUAGUUUUAUAUGGACUUGCGCUGAAGCCUGUAUUUACAAUAAAGUGAGUGGGAGCACUACAGUCUUUCUGAUAAGUAUAUGUGAGUGACAGAUUGUUGAUCGGAAAUGAUGUAGAAUUUUUCUGGAAAGCAUAAAGGAGUGUUUGAAAGGGUUGUUUAAACGAAAGACCUCAGUAAAGCUACUUACAUAUUGAGCAUCAAGAUCUAUUGAGAUAGAUCAAGACGCUUGAUAAGAUUUUCAAUGAGUACAUACCUUGACAAGUUUUUUAAGUAGUUCAAAAUGGAACAGUCAAAGAAAGAGUUCUUUCCUGUGUUGCAAAGGUAUGAAAUUUAGUAAGACUCAAAUCCCGACCACAACAGAAAAUAGAAAGAGAAUGAAAGUCAUUCCCUAUGCCUCAGUCAUAGGUUCUAUAAAAUAUGCCAUGCUAUGGACCAGACCUAUUGUAUACCCUGCCCUGAGUUUGGCAAGGGAGUACAAUGAUCUAGGAUUAGAUCACUGGACAUUGGUAAAAAUUAUCCUUAGUGGAAUAAGGAUAUGUUCUCGAUUAUGGAGGUGACAAAAAGGUUCGUCGUAAAGGGUUACGUCGAUGCAAGUUUUGACACUGAUCUAGAUGACUCUAAGUCUCAAUCUGGAUACAUAUUGAAAGUGGGAGCAAUUAGCUAGAGUAGCACCGUGCAGAGCAUUGAAUACAUAGAAUAUUUGCAAAAUACAUACGAUUAUGAAUAUGACAGACCCGUUGACUAAACUUCUCUCACGAGAAAAACAUGAUCAUACCUUAGUACUCUUUGGGUGUCAAUCACAUAGCAAUGUGAACUAUAUUAUUGACUCUAGUAAACCCUUUGGGUGUUGGUCACAUGACGAUGUGAACUAUGGGUGUUUAUCAUAUACAGAUAUGAAAAUUGGUGUUAAAUCACAUGAUGAUGUGAACUAGGUUAUUGACUCUAGUGCAAGUGGGAGGCUGAAGGAAAUAUGCCCUAGAUGCAAUAAUAAAGUUAUUAUUUAUUUCCUUAUUUCAUGAUAAAUGUUUAUUAUUCAUGCUAGAAUUGUAUUAACCGGAAACUUGAUACAUGUGUGAAUACAUAGACAAACAGAGUGUCACUAGUAUGCCUCUACUUGACUAGCUCAUUGAAUCAAAGAUGGUUAAGUUUCCUAGCCAUAGACAUGAGUUGUCAUUUGAUUAACGGGAUCACAUCAUUAGGAGAAUGAUGUGAUUGACUUGACCCAUUCCGUUAGCUUAGCACUUGAUCGUUUAGUAUGUUGCUAUAGCUUUCUUCAUGACUUAUACAUGUUCCUAUGACUAUGAUAUUAUGUAACUCCCGCUUACCGGAGGAAAACUUUGUGUGCUACCAAACGUCACAACGUAACUAGGUGAUUAUAAAUGUGCUCUACAGGUGUCUCCGAAGGUACUUGUUGAGUUGACGUAUUUCGAGAUUAGGAUUUGUCACUCCGAUUGUCGGACAGGUAUCUCUGGGCCCUCUCGGUAAUGCACAUCACUAUAAGCCUUGCAAGCAAAGACACUUGUCAGUAACGAGAUGAUGCAUUACAUAACAAGUAAAGACACUUGUCAGUAACGAGAUUGAACUAGGUAUUGAGAUACCGACGAUCGAAUCUCAGGCAAGUAACAUACCGAUGACAAAGGGAACAACGUAUGUUGUUAUGCGGUUUGACUGAUAAAGAUCUUCGCAGAAUAUGUGGGAGCCAAUAUGAGCAUCCAGGUUCCGCUAUUGGUUAUUGACCGGAGACAUGUCUCGGUCAUGUCUACAUAGUUCUCGAACCCGUAGGGUCGGCACGCUUAAAAUUCGGUGACGAUCGGUAUUAUGAGUUUUUGUGUUUUGAUGUACCGAAGGUAGUUCGGAGUCCCGGAUAUGAUCACGGUCAUGACGAGGAGUCUCGAAAUGGUUGAGACGUAAAGAUCGAUAUAUUGGACGACUAUAUUCGGACAUCGGAAAGGUUCCGAGUGAUUCGGGUAUUUAUCGGAGUACCGGAGAGUUACGAGAAUUCGCCGGGGAAUAUAUGGGCCUUAUUGGGCUUUAGGGGAAAGAGAGAGGGGAGGCUGUGCGCCCCCCAAGGCCUAGUCCUCAUUUGACUAGGGGGAGGGGCUGCGCCCCCUCCUUCUUCUCUUUUCCCUUUCCUUCUCUCCUACUCCUACUACAUGGAAGUGGGGGAAUCCUACUCCCGGUGGGAGUAGGACUCCCCAGGGCGCGCCAUAGUUGAGGGCCGGCCCUCCCCCUCCUCCACUCCUUUAUAUACGGGGGAGGGGGCACCCCAUGGACACACAAGUUGAUCUGUUGAUCUCUCCCAGCCGUGUGCGGUGGCCCCCUCUACCAUAUUCCACCUCGGUCAUAUCGUAGCGGUGCUUAGGUGAAGCCCUGCAUCGGUAGCAACAUCAUCACCGUCAUCACGCCGUCAUGCUGACGAAACUCUCCCGUGAAGCUCUGCUGGAUUGGAGUUCGCGGGACGUCAUCGAGCUGAACGUGUGCUGAACUCAGAGGUGCCGUACAUUCGGUACUUGGAUUGGUCGGAUCGUGAAGACGUAUGACUACAUCAACCGCAUUGUGCUAACACUUCCGCUUUGAGUCUACGAGGGUACGUGGACGACACUCUCCCCUCUUGUUGCUAUGCAUCACCAUGAUCUUGCGUGUGCGUAGGAAAUUUUUGAAAUUACUACGUUCCCCAACACAAAGCACAUCACUCCCCCCCAAAAUGGAAUGUUCCAUUAAUCUCUCACAAGAGCCAAUUAAGAUACAAACAAGAUGCAAAAAGGCUCAACACACAACUCACACAUACAUUAAGUGCAAACCAACAUACACAUACUUGAUUACUGAAGAUAAGCAAAUUGGAAGCACAUAUAUACAAACACAUGCAAGGUACAAAACGAAAACAUGCAAAGGGGCAAGUAACUUUCAAUAUAAACAAUUUAAGUACAAGUUACCGCAAGGAGACACAUUGGAUAUGAGAUAGAAACUUGAUAAUCCGAAUGACUUGGCUUGAGACAAUGAAUGAUGAAGACCCCUUAAUUCUUCAUAAUGUAGCCAAGUCUCCAAUGCCCUCCAACAACACCUAUUUAUCAAGUUUGAGCUUGUUGGUCCCCAACCAAGUUGGGUCCUAAGAGGUUAGUCACAAUAGGCUUGGCAACCCAAAUGGUUCUUUUCUUGACACCACUUUGAGUACCAACAAACUUGGCAAACACAUUGCCAACCUCAUCCUUCCUAAGAGAAUAGAUAUUAGCAAUGAUAAUUGGGUUGGAUAAGUUACCACUAGUCAUGAAGAAGCGACUUGACCUUUCUCACGACAUAAGUAGCAACGUCUACUCUUCAUUUUCUUCUCACUUGAUUUCUCAACAAGAGAAGCAUUAACUUGAGUCUUCUUGGGAAGUGGCCUUUCUUCAACUUGAGGUUGAGCAUGAGAUUGAACUUGUGGCAUCUUCCCUUGUUGCUUGUCACUAAUGGCCUUCUUCUUCAAUGGGCAAUAUCUAACAUGACGCCCUUCAAUUUUGCACUUGAAGCAAAUGAUCUUGGCCGAAUUCGUGAGUUGUUCUUGGCCCUUCUUGUUGUUUCUCUUGGACUCCUUCCUCAUAUUGGAGUUGAAUCCAAGUCCACCUUUGUCAUUGGGGGAUUUUUGCACAAUCAAGAUAUUUUUGAGUGUGGACUUCCCUUCAUGACACUUUUCCAAGUCUUUCUUCAAAAAAGUGAUUUCGUCCUUGAGCUCUUGGAUUUCCUCUACAUGGUUAGUAUCAACACAAGUGCUAGAGGAAGUAAAAGCUUCAUAGUUAGAGCAACAAGGCAAGGAAAGCAAUUCAUCACAAGAAGUGCCAAUGUUAUGCAUAGAUGAAUUACGUGGACUAGCACAUGGCAAGAUAUCAUUUUGACUUGAAUUAAUGCUAGUAUCCACAUGAGACUCACUAGAUGUUACCUUGAUAAUCAUAGCCUCAUGAGCUAUCUUUAGCACAUUAUGGGAUACUAGAAGAUCAUCAUGAGAGCUUGUGAGCUUUACAUGACUUUCUUCCAAUUUCCUAUAAGUGCUAGAUAGCAAUUCAAGUUGAGCCCUUAUCUCAACAUUCUCCUUCAAAAUGGAUGCAUCACUACAAAUAGAGUUAGUAGCACAAGCAUCAUCAAUAAUAGAAAGAGGAGAAGGCAACUUGUCAAGCUCUUUAGAGUAUGAAGCUUUAAGUUGAGCAUGAGACUUGGUGAGUUUGAUGAGCUCACUCUUAAUGACCCUUGAGCCAUUUUUGAGGUGCCCAAAGUCCUCAAGGAGUUUAGCAUGCGCAACUUCAAGCUUCUCAUAUUUAUUUACAAAGACAUUGUCCACCUCAAGAGCUCUAUCAUGAGAUUCCUUCACUCUAGAUAAUUCUAGAGAAAAAUUCUCCUCAAGAGAUUCCUUGGUGGUUUGUGCAAGUUCAAGAGCUUGGGAGAGGUCUGCAAUCUCAUUAGCGUAAUCACGCUCAUGACCUUACAUUUUUUCAAUGGCGACCUCAUGCUCCUCAAGACGAGAUUCCAACUCAUCAAUAUAUUUCUUACCCUCAAUAGCAAUAGACAUGAUUUCCGUGAAGUUGGAAUGAGCAAUUUUAUUCUUAAGAAGAGCUUUAAAAAUCAUUUCCCCCUAAUUUUUAAGGAGACAAAAGUAUCAUUCUCUUCAUCAUAAUCAACAUCAUCAUCAUUUUUGCCAUCAUCAAUAUCAUCACAAGAUAUAUUGGGAUUCAAAGUGGGAGAUACGUUUGAAGCCUUGGCCAUAAGGCAAAAUGCAAUAGAUGAUGAUGUAGGAUCCCUUGAAGCACCAUUCAAGACCACAUCUCGCUCCAUGGGGUGUUGGGUUUCCUCUACAUUGUUUGCACAAUAAUUCGAGGAAAUAGAUGCAUUUUUAUCAUGGCAACAAGACAUAGCAAGCAUAUCAUCAUGAGAUUUAGUCAAGCAAUUUCUACAUGAUAUGCAAGGACUAUCAACACAUGCACAUGAAACAUUUGGAGUGCUCGAAGUGCUAAAGUCCAAAGAUGAAACUUUGCAAUAAGAAAGUGAUGAAGGAUUAUCAACAAUAAUCCCACUAUCAUCAUUGCAAUGAAUACCACUACUCACCAUGUCAUUACCUUGUGGCAAACCACAUGUAGGUGAAGUAGAAGAAGUUGAGAACUCAACAUGGACGGAGGUGGAGGGAGAACAAUCAUCCCCACAAAACUUGGACACGCCAUAUUUAUCUUGAAGAUUUGUCCACAACUCAUGAGCGUCCCAGAACGGCAUGAGUUGAAUUAUAAGAACUCAAAGCAUCAAAAAGCACAUUAGAAGCUUGAGCACUGAGAUAAGAGUUUUUCUCAUCCUCUAAAGAUAAUCUUUGGGGGUCCAUUCGAGGAAAAAACCCCAUAUAUACAAUUCGCUCUAAAUUUGGGUCCAUGACCCGAAAGAGAUUAAGCAUGUGAAUUACCCAAACAUAAAGAUUUGUGCCAACUAAACUAGGGUGAGAGAAUCCUAAAACCCUAGUCGACAUCCUUACUCUCUAGGCGGUUAAGCCCUAUAAAGAGAGACGAGGCCCUGAUACCAAAUGAAAGAUCAAGGAUGUCGCCUAGAGGGGGGGUGAAUAGGCGCUUUAAAAUGAUUACGGUUUAGGCUUGAACAAAUGCGGAAUAAACCUAGCGGUUAAAUUGUCAAGCACAAAACCUACAACAACUAGGCUCACCUAUGCGAACCAACAACAUAUGCUAAGUAAGAUAAACAACUAAGUGAUAGAAAGAUAUAUGACAAGAAACAAUAUGGCUAUCACAAAGUAAAGUGCAUAAGUAAGGGGCUCGGGUAAGAGAUAACCGAGGCACGCGGAGACGUCAAUGUAUCCCGAAGUUCACACCCUUGCGGAUGCUAAUCUCCGAUUGGAGCGGUGUGGAUGCACAAUGCUCCCCAAGAAGCAAGAUGUCGUGAUUCCACUAAGGGACCCUUGAGGGCGGUCACCGAACCCGUACAAAUGGCAACCCUUGGGGAUGGUCAUCGGCACCCGUCAAAUUGCUCGGGGCGAUCUCCACAACCUAAUUGGAGACCCCGAUGCUUGCCCGGAGCUUUACACCAUAAUGAUUGAGCUCCUAACACCACCAACCGUCUACGGCGCCCAAGCACCUAAGAGGAACAAGCUCAAGGAUACCAAGGACCCAAGAGUAAUAAGCUUCUCAACUUGUAACUUCCAUGUAUCACUAUGGAGAACUCAAACCGAUGCACCAAAUGCAAUGGCAAGGGCACACGAAGUGCCCAAGUCCUUCUCUCCAAAAUCCCACCAAAGCAACUAAUGCUAGGGAAGAAAAUGAGAGGAAGAACAAGAAGGAGAACACCAAGAACUCCAAGAUCUAGAUCCAAGGGGUUCCCUCACAUAGCAAGAAUCCAUGGAGGGAUUGAGAGAUAGCAAGCCCGAAGACGGUCAACAAUGGGGGAAGAACACAAGCUCAAAGGAUAAGGUUCAUUGGGGAAGAAGACCCCCUUUUAUAGGUGGGAAAAAUCCAACCGUUAUGCUCACAGCCCGCACAGAGCGGUACUACCGCUAGGGCGGUGGAAGCCCUUUGAAAAACAACAGCGAGGAGGCAAAAGGUCGAUGGAACUACCGGAGCGGUAUGAUGUUUACUAUGCAACCUUCUUCUUGUAGACGUUGUUGGGCCUGCAAGUGCACAGGUUUGUAGGAUAGUAGCAAAUUUCCCUCAAGUGGAUGACCUAAGGUUUAUCAAUCCGUGGGAGGCAUAGGAUGAAGAUGGUCUCUCUCAAACAACCCUACAACCAAAUAACAAAGAGUCUCUUGUGUCCCCAACACACCCAAUACAAUGGUAAAUUGUAUAGGUGCACUAGUUCGGCGAAGAGAUGGUGAUACAAGUGCAAUAUGGAUGGUAGAUAUAAGUAUUUGUAAUCUGAAAAUAUAAAAACAGCAAGGUAACUAAUGAUAAAAGUGAGUGUAAAUGGUAUUGCAAUGAUAAAAAACAAGGCCUAGGGUUCAUACUUCCACUAGUGCAAGUUCUUUCAACAAUAAUAACAUAGAUAGAUCAUAUAACAAUCCCUCAACAUGCAACAAAGAGUCACUCCAAAGCCACUAAUAGCAGAGAACAAACGAAGAAAUUAUGCUAGGGUACGAAACCACCUCAAAGUUAUUCCUUCAGAUCAAUCUAUUCAAGAGUUCGUACUAGAAUAACACCUUAAGACACAAAUCAACCAAAACCCUAAUGUCACCUAGAUACUCCAUUGUCACCUCAAGUAUCCGUGGGCAUGAUUAUACGAUAUGCAUAACACAAUCUCAGAUUCAUCCAACCAACACAAAGUACUUCAAAGAGUGCCCCAAAGUUUCUACCAGAGAGUCAAGAAAACGUGUGCCAACCCCUAUGCAUAGGUUCAUCGGCGGAACCCGCAAGUUGGUCACCAAAACAUAUAUGAAGUGGCACGUGAUAUCCCAUUGUCACCACAGAUAAACAUCGCAAGACUUACAUCAAGUGUUCUCAAAUAAAGACUCAAUCCAAUAAGAUAACUUUCAAGAGGGAAGCUCAAUUCAUCACAAGAGAGCAGAGGGGGAGAAACAUCAUAAGAUCCAACUAUAAUAGCAAAGCUCGCGAUAAAUCAAGAUCGUGCCAUAGAGAGAACACAAGAGAGAGAGAGAGAGAGAGAUCAAACACAUAGCUACUGGUACAUACUCUCAGCCCCGAGGUUGAACUACUCCCUCCUCGUCAUGGAUAGCGCCGGGAUGAUGAAGAUGGCCACCGGUGAUGGGUUCCCCCUCCGGCAGGGUGCCGAAACAGGCUCCCGAGAGGUUUUUGGUGGCUACAGAGGCUUGCGGCGGCGGAACUCCCGAUCUAUCUUCUCCGUCGAUGUUUUUAGGGUAUGUAGGCUUAUAUAGGCGAAAGAAGUCGGUCAGGGGAGCCUCGAGGGGCCCACGAGAGGGUAGGGCGCGCCCAGGGGGUGGGAGCGCCCCCUUAUCUCGUGGCCUCCUCGAUGAUCUCCUGGCUUGCACUCCAAGUCUCCUGGGUCAUGUUCGUUCCAAAAAUAAGUUUCCCGAAGGUUUCAUUCCAUUUGAUAUUCCUUUUCUUCGAAAUACUGAAACAGGCAAUAAAACAACAAUAUGGGAUGGGCCUCCGGUUAAUAGGUUAGUCCCAAAAGUAAUAUAAAAAUGUAUAAUAAAGCCUGUAAUCAAUAAAAACAGAUAGGAUAAUAGCAUGAAUGCUUCAUAAAUUAUAGAUACGUUGGAGACGUAUCAGCAUCCCCAAGCUUAAUUCCUACUCGUCCUCGAGUAGGUAAUUGAUAAAAGAAAGAAUUUAUGAAGUGUGAAAUCUAGCAGGUGCACAAGUUUGAUCAAUGAUAAUUUCAAUCACCUUUUCUAGCAUGAUUAUAUGUCAUAACAGUAGUUCAUCUCAUGAAACUUCUCACGAACAAGUAACAAACAAUUCACAUGUUAAAGCAUAGACCAUAAACUUUCUUAAAAACUAGCAAACUUCAUUCUUAAUCAUCAAACAAUUGCAAUUCAUCUUAUUUUUAGGAAGGGUCUAUGUCAGAGCUUUAAUUUACCAAACUCCGCAUACUCAACUAUCAUAUAGUCUUCUACAAUUGCUAACACUCACGCAAUACUAGUGGUUAUGGAGUUUUAAUCGUACACUGAGAAAGGUAGGGGCUUAUAGUGUUGCCUCCCAACGUAUUCACCUUUGGGUGAUGUCAACAAUAAUAGUUCAUACUAACUCACAUCCAAUUGGAUAUAUAUAUCAGGAUCUUCCCAACACGAGGUGCUUGCCAAAGGAUAAAAUGAAAAAGGGAAAGGUGAAGAUCACCUUGACUCUUGCAUAAAGUAAAAGAUAGGCCCUUCGCAGAGGGAAGCAGAGGUUGUCAUGCGCUUUUAGGGUUGGAUGCACAAAAUCUUAAUGCGAAUGAACGUCACUUUGUAUUGCCACUUGUAUAUGGACCUUUAUUAUACAGUUCGUCGCUUUUAUUGCUUCCAUAACAAGAUCGUAUAAAGCUAUUUUCUUCACACCAAAAGAUCAUACAUAUUUAGAAAGAAAUUUUUAUUGCUUGCACUGAUGACAACUUACUUGAAGGAUCUUACUCAAUCCAUAGGUAGGUAUAGUGGACUCUCAUGGCAAAACUGGGUUUAAGGAUAUCUGGAAGCACAAGUAGUAUCUCUACUUGGUGCAAGGAAUUUGGCUAGCAUGAGGGGGAAUGGCAAGCUCAACAUGUUUGAAUGAUCCAUGACAAUAUACUUUAACUGAGAUGUCGGAAAACAUAACCCAUUACAUUGUCUUCCUUGUCCAACACCAACUCUUUAGCAUGUCAUACUUAAUGAGUGCUCCCAAUUAUAAAAGAUGUCUAGGGUAGUAUAUUUACAUAUGGAAUCUCUCUUCCUUCAAUAUUCUUUCAUUAAUUGUUCAAAUGACCAAUACAAUGCUUGCUAAGCUUCAAUAAAUUUACAACCUCUACUUCUUAGAUGUGAAGUCAUUACUCCCCAUGGGAUAAGCAAAUGAAACAUACAUAAUUUCAGAUUUAUGACAAUCAACUCAUUCAACAAUUUACUCAUAAGAUAUAAGUGAAGCACACGAGUAAAUGACAAACUACUCCAAAAAGAUAUAAGUGAAGAUCAAUGAGUAGCUAAAUAAUUAUGUAACUAUACGAAGACUCUCUCUCUCAUUUAAGAAUUUUAAAUCUUGGUAUUGUAUUCAAACAGCAACCAAAACAAAAUAAAAUUACACUGCAAGGAUAGCACAACUCAUGUGAAGAAGCAAAAACUUAGGCUCAACCGAUACUAACCGAAAAUUGUUGAAGAAAGGUUGGAUGCCUACCGGGGCAUUCCCAAGCUUAGAUGCUUGAGACUUCUUGGAAUGUUAUCUUGGGGUGCCUUGGGCAUCCCCAAGCUUGAACUUUUGUGUCUCCUUAAUUCCUCUCGUAUCAUGGUUUCUCUAUUUCUCAGAAGCUUCAUCCACACCAAACUCAACAAGAACUCGUGAGAUAGGUUAGUAUAAACCAAUGCAAAACUUUAUCAUUUUCUACUGUAACAAAUCACUAAAAUUAUUAUUCAACAUUGCAUACUAAAUGUCUCUGCAUAUUUAACACUCCUAUCCUCAAAUAUAAUCAUUAAACAACCAAACAUAUGCAAACAAUGCAACCAUAACAGCAAUCUUUCAAAACAGUACAGUCCGUAAAGAACACAAGAGUAUCAAUACUUACCUAACUCCAAAAAUUAUGAAAGAAAAUUCCCACUAUAGUAAAUUCAUCAGAUCUUAUUAUGCAAAACGUUUCAACAUUAUACCAUUCUCUGACUUUUCUAGGGAAUUUUUGCAACAGCGGUAAACUUUCUGUUUUCAAACAGCAACAUGUAUACUAGCAAAAUAAGCAUGGUAAAGGCCAUCCUUGACAUUUUUAUUGAAACUAAAGAUGCAAAAAAUUAUUCUAAAUAACAGAAAGAAAAUACUAACAAAAGAAAAUGACGCUCCAAGCAAAACACAUAUCAUGUGGUGAAUAAAAAUAUAGCUCCAAGUAAAGUUACCGAAGAACGAAGACGAAAGAGGGAAUGCCAUCCGGGGCAUCCCCAAGCUUAGGCUCUUGGUUGUCCUUGAAUAUUAUCUUCGGGUGCCUUGGGCAUCCCCAAGCUUAGUCUCUUGCAACUCCUAAUUCCAUAGUCCAUCGAAUCUUUACCCAAAACUUGAAAACUUCACAACACAAAACUCAACAGAAAACUCGUAAGCUCCGUUAGUAUAAGAAAAUAAAACCACCACUUAGGUACUGUAAUGAACUCAUUCUAAAUUCAUAUUGGUGUAAUAUCUACUGUAUUCCAACUUAUCUAUGGUUCAUACCACUUCAUACUAGCCAUAGAUUCAUCAAAAUAAUCAAUCAACACAUAGAAAACAGAAUCUAUCAAAAAAAGAACAGUCUGUAGUAAUCUGUAUCAAACGUGUACUUCUGGAACUCCAAACAUCCUACCAAAUUAGGAAGUCCUAAGCAAUUCGUGUACCAAUCCAGAGAAAAAAGAAUCAGAUCAAGAGCACAUUUCUGUGAAUUAACAAAACUAAUUUACUGGGUGCAAAAGUUUCUGAUUUUCAGCAAGAUCAACACAACUAUCACCGUAAGCUAUCCUAAAGGUCUUACUUGGCACUUUAUUGAAACAAAAGCUAUAAAAUAUGAUUACUACAGUAGCAUAAUCAUGUGGACAGACAAAAAUAGUAAGGAUAAAUAUUGGGUUGUCUCCCAACAAGCGCUUUUCUUUAAUGCCUUUCUAGCUAGGCAUGAUGAUGACAAUGAUGCUCACCUAAAAGAUAAGAAUGGAAACAUAAGGGGAGCAUCAUGAAGCAUAUGACUAGCAAAUUUAAGCCUAACCCACUUCCUAUUCAUAGGGGUUUUGUGAGCAAACAACUUAUGGGAACAAUAAUCAACUAUCAUAGGAAGGCAAAACAAGCAUAGCUUCAAGAUUUUCAACACAUAGAGAGGAAACUUGAUAUUAUUGCAAUUCCUACAAGCAUAUGUUCCUCCCCCAUAAUGAUUUUCAGUAGCAUCAUGAAUGAAUUCAACAAUAUAACCAGCACCUAAAGCAUUCUUUUCAUGAUCUACAAGCAUAGAAAAUUUACUACUCUCCACAUAAGCAAAAUUCUUCUCAUGAAUAGUAGUGGGAGCAAACUCAACAAAAUAAUUGUCACAUGAGGCAUAAUCCAAUUGAAAACUAAAAUCAUGAUGACAAGUUUCAUGGUUAUCAUUAUUCCUAAUAGCAUACAAGUCAUCACAAUAAUCAUCAUAGAUAGCAACUUUGUUCUCAUAAUCAAUUGGAACCUCUUCCGAAAUAGUGGAAUCAUCAGUAAAUAAAGUUGACACUCUUCCAAAUCCACUUUCAUAUUCAUCACAAUAAGAUUCAACAUCCUCCAAAAUAGUGGGAUCACUACUUCCUAAAGUUGAAACUCUUCCAAACCCACUUUCUUCAAUAUAAUCAUCAUAAAUAGGAGGCAUGCUUUCAUCAUAACAACUUUGCAUAUCAAAACUUGGGAUGCUAAGAAUAUCAUCUUAAUCAAACAUAGCUUCCCCAAGCUCGGGCCCUUUCAUAUCAUAAGCAUAAUCACUCUCAUCAUUAAAAAUAUGGAUAGCACCAAUAGUAUAGCAAUUAUCAUCAUCACCAUGAUUAGUAUGAGCAAUAUCAUUUGGGGGAUACCUUUUUACCUUUGUUGCUCCUUCUUUUCUUUUUCUUCUUCAUAUUAUGUGUGGGUUCAACCUUCCUCUUUGAGCUCCUUAUUGACGAGAUUGGUUGAAUAGAAAGCUCCUCCUUGUUACCUGAUUCAUAAGAAAUAAUAGGAGGAUAUUGGGAAGUCUCUUCCCUUUCAUUAUUAUUCUCAUAAUCUUCUAUUUGCUUUCUUUUCUUUAGGUAAUUGGCAAUAUAAGGAUUUUCAAUGCAAUUCACCGCACAAUACAAAUAAAUCUUCUCUAGAUUAAUAUCAAGGAAUUUCUUAUGGGCAAAUUCUAGAAGGUCCUUAAUUAAACGUUUCAAUUCUUCAUAACCUAAAAGAAAACUAAGUUCAUUGUAAUGAGAAAGGGAGAUCAAAUCAUCAAAAUUUUUGGACACGAUUCGAUCAUGAAACAAUUUGCAUAGGAGAUGUAAAUGACCACGUUCAUUGCAAAGUUCACAAGUACGGCAAAGGAAAUUUAAAUUUUCAGCACUCACAUUUAGCCUUUCUUGCAACCAUUUAGUUUCUAAAUGCUUGUGCCUCUUGCAAUAUCUAUCUUCCCUAUUUGGCGUGUACUUGCAAACCCAAUCUACUCCACAAAAAUCAACAUGCUUAUAAGAGCCAUUUUCAUCAUAACUAGUGCAAUCAUCAUUAGUACUAUGGAUAUUCAAAGAGUUUAUACUAACAACAUUGCAAUCAUGCUCAUCAUUGAAAGAUUUAGUACCAAGCAUUUUAAUGCAUUCUUCUUCUAGCACUUGAGCACAAUUUUCCUUUCCAUCAUACUCACGAAAAAUAUUAAAAAUAUGAAGCGUAUGAGACAAGCUUAACUCCAUUUUUGUAGUUUUUCUUUUAUAAACUAAACUAGUGAUAAAACAAGAAACAAAAAGAUUCGAUUGCAAGAUCCAAAGAUAUAUCUUCAAGCACUCACCUCCCCGGCAACAGCGCCAGAAAAGAGCUUAGUUGACGGGGUGUGGGAGCCGCUUACCUAGCCUCCCCGGCAACGGCGCCAGAAAAGAGCUUGAUGUCUACUACGCAACCUUCUUCUUGUAGACGUUGUUGGGCCUGCAAGUGCACAGGUUUGUAGGACAGUAGCAAAUUUCCCUCAAGUGAAUGACCUAAGGUUUAUCAAUCCGUGGGAGGCAUAGGAUGAAGAUGGUCUCUCUCAAACAACCCUACAACCAAAUAACAAAGAGUCUCUUGUGUCGCCAACACACCCAAUACAAUGGUAAAUUGUAUAGGUGCACUAGUUCGGCAAAGAGAUGGUGAUACAAGUGCAAUAUGGAUGGUAGAUAUAGGUAUUUGUAAUCUGAAAAUAUAAAAACAGCAAGGUAACUAAUGAUAAAAGUGAGCGUAAACAGUAUUGCAAUGAUAGAAAACAAGGCCUAGGGUUCAUACUUUCACUAGUGCAAGUUCUCUCAACAAUAAUAACAUAGAUAGAUCAUAUAACAAUCCCUCAACAUGCAACAAAGAGUCACUCCAAAGCCACUAAUAGCGGAGAACAAACGAAGAGAUUAUGGUAGGGUACAAAACCACCUCAAAGUUAUUCUUUCGGAUCAAUCUAUUCAAGAGUUCGUACUAGAAUAACACCUUAAGACACAAAUCAACCAAAACCCUAAUGUCACCUAGAUACUCCAUUGUCACCUCAAGUAUCCGUGGGCAUGAUUAUACGAUAUGCAUCACACAAUCUCAGAUUCAUCCAACCAACACAAAGUAAUUCAAAGAGUGCCCCAAAGUUUCUACCGGAGAGUCAAGAAAACAUGGGCCAACCCCUAUGCAUAGGUUUAUGGGCGGAACCCGCAAGUUGGUCACCAAAACAUACAUCAAGUGGCACGUGAUAUCCCAUUAUCACCAUAGAUAAACACGGCAAGACAUACAUCAAGUGUUCUCAAAUAAAGGCUCAAUCCAAUAAGAUAAGUUUCAAGAGGGAAACUCAAUUCAUCACAAGAGAGUAGAGGGGGAGAAACAUCAUAAGAUCCAACUAUAAUAGAAAAGCUUGCGAUACAUAAAGAUCGUGCCAUAGAGAGAACACGAGAGAGAGAGAUCAAACACAUAGCUACUGGUACAUACCCUCGGCCCCGAGGGUGAACUACUCCCUCCUCGUCAUGGAUAGCGCCGGGAUGAUGAAGAUGGCCACCGGUGAUGGGUUCCCCCUCCAGUAGGGUGCCAGAAUGGGCUCCCGAGAGGUUUUUGGUGGCUACAGAGGCUUGCGGCAGCGGAACUCCCGAUCUAUCUUCUCCGUCGAUGUUUUUAGGGUACGUAGGCUUAUAUAGGCGAAAGAAGUCGGUCGGAGGAGCCUCGAGGGGCCCACGAGAGGGUAGGGCGCGCCCAGGGGGUGGACGCGCCCCCUGUCUUGUGGCCUCCUCGAUGAUCCCCUGGCUUGCACUCCAAGUCUCCUGGGUCACGUUCGUUCCAAAAAUAAGUUUCCCGAAGGUUUCAUUCCGUUUGGACUACGUUUGAUAUUCCUUUUCUUCGAAAUACUGAAACAGGCAAUAAAACAGCAAUAUGGGCUGGGCCUCCGGUUAAUAGGUUAGUCCCAAAAGUAAUAUAAGAGUGUAUAAUAAAGCCCGUAAUCAUUCAAAAUAGAUAGGAUAAUACCAUGAAUGCUUCAUAAAUUAUAGAUACGUUGGAGACGUAUCACGGUACUAAAAAAAUACAUCCGUGCCUACCACCGCUGGACUUAUGAUGAGUUUUUGGUCCGGAGCGGAAGUAGCCAUGGAAGUAGCCGCGGUAGUACCGCUCCAAGUGGUAGUAUCGCUCCCAAUAGCGGUAGUAAAAAAUUACAUCCCCUCCAAGCGGUAGUACCGCUCCCAUGAGCGGUAGUACCGCUGCAACCUUUUUAAGGACACCAAAACUGACACAACUUCUGCAAACGGACUCCAAAUUCAACGAAACCAUGUUUGUUGAAAAGCUAGCAACAAGGGAUAACACAAUCUUUAUUGAAAUAACAAUAAGAAGGAAAUUAGAAAAGGCCCGUAAGAAAAUGGUGAGAACCCUUCCACGAAUAAGACCGGUAAAACCUCCAACACCGAAAACACAAUAGAAGAAGCAUGUGAACUCCGUUUUCGAUGAACUCGAGCUUGUCAAGAAGAUGACCAUAAGCUCCAAAUCUCACAAGGAUAAAACCAAACAAGAACCAAGAAAUAUGAUGCAAUCAUGCAAUGAUUUGAGCUCUCUACGAACGGUACGAUCAAGCUUCUCACUUGAGAGCCCCCCUUGAUAGUACAGCAAUCGAUCCUAUAACCCGGUAUCCAAACUACCACCAUGAGACCGGUAAAAUAGAGAACCUAUCAAGGCCAAACCUUUGCCUUGCACAAAGUCCACUUGAGCUAGAUGUAGACGGUCUUGACUUCCUCAAGUUGGACAACCUUUCUUGAUUGCGUUGGCUUGGUGAAGACUAGUAGAUUCUUCCCCCAUACUCCACCAUGCGUGAGCCACUCUUCGGCACAUGUUCACAAGUCCAUUGUCACCACAAUGGACGACAAUCUUCAAGCACUUGAUGUCUUUGUGAUGCAUCACUUGAACAUGUACACUGCAACCUAACCCCACAAAGAACUCUCACGAAGACCAUGGGUUAGUACACAAAGCAUAAUUGACAAUGCUUACCAUACCAUGGCAUCACUUGAUCCCUCUCGGUAAAUAUUCUAUGCUUUGUGUGUUGAUCAACUUGAUUCACUCUUUGACUUAGUCUUGAUCAGCUCUCACAUGACCAAUAUUUAGAUAAUACUUGAAUAACACCUUGGUCAUCACAAACUCUCCUUGAAACCAACAAAUGCACUCCAAGAAAAACCUAUGGACAAAUCCUUCAAAUAUAACUCAAGGCAACCAUUAGUCCAUAGAUAUUGUCAUUAAUUACCAAAACCAAACAUGGGGGCACCGCAUGUUCUUUCAGUAGUGAUUGAAGAACUCUGUCAAUGAAACUAUCAACAGGAAGAUUAACUCCCAACAGAGUCAUGUGGGUAUGGUACCCAGACAUUCUGAGUAUGUGUUCACUGAUAGAACUAUUCUCCUCCAUCUUGCGGCUAUAGGAACUUAUUUGAGACUUCAUAUCUCUCAACUCGGGCAUUUGCUUGAAAUAUUAACUUCAAUUCUUGGAAUAUCUCAUAUGCUCCAUGUCGUUCAAAACGUCUUUGAAGUCCCGAUUCUAAGCAGUAAAGCAUGGCACACUGAACUAUUGAGUAGUCAUCAACACACGACUACCAGCCAUUCACAAUGUCUGUAGUUGCUGGGGCAGGUGGUACACCUAUCGGUGCUUCAAGGACAUAAUUCUUGUGUGCAGCAAUGAUGAUAAUCCUCAAAUUACGGACCCAGUCCGUGUAGUUGCUACCAUCAUCUUUCAACUUAGCUUUCUCUAGGAAUGCAUUAUAAUUCAAGGGAAUGGUAGCACGGGUCGUUGGAUAUGCAAAAAACUAUCAGGACUAAGUUCAUGAUAAAUUAAAGUUCAAUUAGUCAUAUUACUAAAGAACUCCCACUUAGAUAGACAUCCCUCUAGUUAUCUAAAUGAUCACGUGAUCCAUAUCAGCUAAACCAUGUCCGACCAUCACGUGAGAUGGAGUAGUUUUCAAUGGUGAACAUCUCUAUGUUGAUCAUAUCUACUAUAUGAUUCACGUUUGACCUUUCGGUCUCAGUGUUCUGAGACCAUAUCUAGAUAUGCUAGGCUCGUCAAGUUUAACCCAAGUAUUCUGCACGUGGAAAAUUGGCUUGCACCCAUUGUAUGUGAAUGUAGAGCUUAUCACACUCGAUCAUCACGUGGUGUCUCGGCACGACGAACUAUAGCAACGGUGCAUACUCAGGGAGAACACUUAUAUCUUGAAAUUUAGUGAGGGAUCAUCUUAUAAUGUUACCGCCGUGCUAAGCAAAAUAAGAUGCAUAAAAGAUAAACAUCACAUGUAAUCAAAAUAUGUGAUAUGGUCAUCAUCAUCAUCUUGUGCCUUUGAUCUCCAUCUCCAAAGCACCGUCAUGAUCUCCAUUGUCUCCGGCUUGACACCUUGAUCUCCAUCGUAGCAUUGUUGUCGUCUCGCCAACUAUUGCCUCUACGAGUAUCGCUACCGCUUAGUGAUAAAGUAAAGCAAUUACAUGGCGGAUAUAUUUCAUACAAUAAAGCAACAACCAUAUGGCUCCUACCAAUUGCCGAUAACUUUGUUACAAAACAUGAUAAUCUCAUAUAACAAUUUAUAUCACAUCAUGUCUUGACCAUAUCACAUCACAACAAGCCCUGCAAAAACAAGUUAGAUGUCCUCUACUUUUUUGUUGCAAGUUUUACAUGGCUGCUACGGGCUUCUAGCAAGAACCAUUCUUACCUACGCAUCAAAACACAAAGAUUUUUUGUCAAGUGUGUUGUUUUAACCUUCAACAAGGAUCGGUCGUAGUCAAACUCGAUUCAACUAAAGUUGGAGAAACCGACACCCGCCAGCCACCUGUGUGCAAAGCACGUCGGUAGAACCAGUCUCAUGAACGCGGUCAUGUAAUUUCAGCCCGGGCCGUUUCAUCAAACAAUACCGCCGAAUCAAAGUAAGACGUUUGUGGCAAGCAGUAUGACUAUUAUCGCCCACAACUCUUUGUGUUCUACUCGUGCAUAUCAUCUACGCAUAGACCUGGAUCCGAUGCCACUGUUGGGGAACGUCGCAUGCAGUUUCAAAAAAUUUCCUACGAUCACGCAAGAUCUAUCUAGGAGAUGCAUAGCAAAGAGAGGGGAGAGUGUGUCCACAUACCCUCGUAGACCGAAAGCGGAAGCGUUAGUUAACGCGGUUGAUGUAGUUGAACGUCUUCACAAUCCAACCAAUCCAAGUACCGAACGUAUGACACCUCCGUGUUCAGCACAUGUUCAGCUUGAUGACAUCCCUCGAACUCUUGAUCCAGUAGAGGGUCGAGGGAGAGUUUCAUCAGCACGACGACAUGGUGACGGUGUUGAUGAUGUGAUCCGCGCAGGGCUUCGCCUAACCACUACAACGCUAUGAUCAGAGGAGUAAACUGUGGAGGGGGGCACCGCACACGGCAAAGAGAACAAUUGAUGUGUCUUUGGGGUGCCCCCUGCACCCGUAUAUAAAGGAGGAGGGGAGGAGGCGGCCGGCCAAGGGGCGCGCCAAGUGUGGGGAGUCCUACAAGGACUCCCAGUCCUAGUAGGAUUCCCCCUUCCUUUUCUGGAGUGGGAAAGGGGGAAAGAAGUGGAGAGGGAGAAGGAAAAAGGGGGGCUGCACCCCACCCCUUGUCCAAUUCGGAUUGGGCUUGGGGGGGCGCCACCUCCUGGCCACUGCCUCCUCUCUCCACUAAGGCCCAUGUAGGCCCAUUAACUUUCCCGGGGGGUUCCAGUAACCUCCUGGUACUCCAAAAAUGCCCGAACCUCUCCAAAACUAUUCUGGUGUCCGAACAUAACCUUACAAUAUAUCAAUCUUUACCUCUUGACCAUUUCGAGACUCCUCGCACGUCCGUGAUCUCAUCCGGGACUCCGAACAAACUUCGGUCACCAAAACACAUAACUCAUAAUACAAAUCGUCAUCAAACGUUAAGCGUGCGGACCCUACAGGUUCGAGAACUAUGUAGAUAUGAUCGAGACACAUCUCCGAUCAAUAACCAAUAGCGGAACCUGAUGCUCAUAUUGGAUCCUACAUAUUCUGCGAAGAUCUUUAUCGGUCAAACCGCACAACAACAUGCGUUGUUCCCUUUGUCAUCGAUAUGUUACUUGCCCGAGAUUCGAUCGUCGGUAUCAUCAUACGUAGUUCAAUCUCAUUACCGGCAAGUCUCUUUACUCGUUCCGUAAUGCAUCAUCCCAUAACUAUCUCUUUAGUCACAUUUCUUUCAAGGCUUAUAGUGGUGAGCAUUACCGAUAGGGCCCAAAGAUACAUCUCCGAUACACGAAGUGACAAAUCCUAUUCUUGAUCUAUGCCAACCCAACAAACACCUUCGGAGACACUUGUAGAGCAUCUUUAUAAUCACUCAGUUACGUUGUGAUGUUUGAUAGCACACAAGGUGUUCCUCCAGUAUUCGGGAGUUGCAUAAUCUCAUAGUCAGAGGAACAUGUAUAAGUCAUGAAGAAGCAAUAUCAAUAAAACUUAACGAUCAUGAUGCUAAGCUAACGGAUGGGUCUUGUCCAGCACAUCAUUCACUAGUGAUGUGAUCCCAUUCAUCAAAUGACAACACAUGUCUAUGGUUAGGAAACAUAACCAUCUUUGAUAACGAGAUAGUCAAGUAGAGGCAUACUAGGGACACUUUGUUUGUUGGGGAACGUAGCAGAAAUUCAAAAUUUUCCUACGUGUCACCAAGAUCUAUCUAUGGAGAAACCAACAACGAGGGGAAGGAGAGUGCAUCUACAUACCCUUGUAGAUCGCUAAGCGGAAGCGUUCAAGAGAACGGGGUUGAAGGAGUCAUACUCGUCGUGAUCCAAAUCACCGGAGAUCCUAGUGCCGAACGGACGGCACCUCCGCGUUCAACACACGUACAGCCCGGUGACGUCUCCCAUGCCUUGAUCUAGCAAGGUGAGAGGGAGAGGUUGAGGAAGACUCCAUCCAGCAGCAGCACAACAGCGUGGUGGUGAUGGAGGAGCGUGGUAGUCCAGCAGGGCUUCGCCAAGCACCGCAAGAUAUGAGGAGAAAGAGAGGUAGGGCUGCGCCAACAGGAGAAGAAACUCAUGUAUUGGGCUGCUCCUAUGCCUCCACUAUAUAUAGGGGAGAGGGGGCUGCACCCCCACCUAGGUUUCCACCCCUAGGGGGCGGCGGCCAGCCCUAGAUCCCAUCUAGGAGGGCGGCCAAGGGGUGGAGAGGGGGAAACUUGCCCCCCAAGCAAGGUGGGGCGCCCCCUCCCCAAACCCUAGGCGCCUAGGGCCCUUGUGGGGGGGCGCACCAGCCCACCUGGGGCUGGUCCCCUCCCACACUUGGCCCAUGCAGCCCUCCGGGGCCGGUGGCCCCACUUGGUGGACCCCCAGGACCCUCCCGGUGGUCCCGGUACGUUACCGAUAAAACCCGAAACUUUUCCGGUGACCAAAACAGGACUUCCCAUAUAUAAAUCUUUACCUCCGGACCAUUCCGGAACUCCUCGUGACGUCCGGGAUCUCAUCCGGGACUCCGAACAACAUUCGGUAACCACAUACAAACUUCCUUUAUAACCCUAGCGUCAUCGAACCUUAAGUGUGUAGACCCUACGGGUUCGGGAACCAUGCAGACAUGACUGAGACGUUCUCCGGUCAAUAACGAACAGCGGGAUCUGGCUACCCAUGUUGGCUCCCAAAUAUUCCACAAUGAUCUCAUCGGAUGAACCAUGAUGUCAAGGACUGAAUCGAUCCCGUAUACAAUUCCCUUUGUCUAGCGGUAUUGUACUUGCCCGAGAUUCGAUCGUCGGUAUGCCGAUACCUUGUUCAAUCUCGUUACCGGCAAGUCUCUUUACUCGUUCCGUAACACAUCAUCCCGUGAUCAACCCCUUGGUCACAUUGUGCACAUUAUGAUGAUGUCCUACCGAGUGGGCCCAGAGAUACCUCUCCGUUAACCGGAGUGACAAAUCCCAGUCUCGAUUCGUGCCAACCCAACAGACACUUUCGGAGAUACCUGUAGUGCACCUUUAUAGCCACCCAGUUACGUCGUGACGUUUGGUACACCCAAAGCAUUCUUACAGUAUCCGGGAGUUGCACAAUCUCAUGGUCUAAGGAAAUGAUACUUGACAUUAGAAAAGCUUUAGCAUACGAACUACGAUCUUUGUGCUAGGCUCAGGAUUGGGUCUUGUCCAUCACAUCAUUCUCCUAAUGAUGUGAUCCUGUUAUCAACGACAUCCAAUGUCCAUGGUCAGGAAACCGUAACCAUCUGUUGAUCAACGAGCUAGUCAACUAGAGGCUUACUAGGGACAUGGUGUUGUCUAUGUACCCACACAUGUAUCUGAGUUUCCUAUCAAUACAAUUAUAGCAUGAUAAUAAACGAUUAUCAUGAAUAAGGAAAUAUAAUAAUAAUAACCAAUUUAUUAUUACCUAUAGGGCAUAUUUCCAACAGUCUCCCACUUGCACUAGAGUCAAUAAUCUAGUUCACAUUGCCAUGUGAUUAACACUGAUAGGUCACAUCGCCAUGUGACCAGCAUCCAAAGAGUUUACUAGUGUCUAAACUAGUUCACAUCACCAUGUGAUUAAGUCUCAAUGUGUUCUGGGGUUUGAUCAUGUUUUGCUUGUGAGAGAGGUUUUAGUCAACGAGUCUGUAACAUUCAGAUCCGUAUGUACUUCGCAAUUCUCUAUGUCAUAUUGUAAAUGCUGCUUCCACGCUCCACUUGAAGCUAUUCCAAAUGGUUGCUCCACUAUACGUAUCCGGUUUGCUACUCAGAGUCACUCGGAUAGGUGUUAAAGCUUGCAUCGAUGUAACCCUUUACGCCGAACUCUUUAUCACCUCCAUAAUCGAGAAACAUGUCCUUAUUUACUCCAAGGACAAUUUUGACCGUUGUCCAAUGAUCCCCAUACCUGGAUUAUUCUUGUACCCCUUGACUGACUCAUGGCAAGGCACACUUCCGGUGCGGUACACAGCAUAGCAUACUAUAGAGCCUAUGUCUGAAGCAUAGGGGACGACAUUCGUCAUUUCUCUCUCUUCUGCCGUGGUCGAGCUUUAACUCUUAACUUCAUACCUUACAACUCAGGCAAGAACUCCUUCUUGACUGAUCCAUCUUGAACACCUUCAAGAUCAUGUCAAGGUAUGUGCUCAUUUUGAAAGUACCAUUAAGCGUUUUGACCCAUCUUCAUAGAUCUUGAUGCUCAAUGUUCAAGUAGCUUAAUCCAGGUUUUCCAUUGAAAAACACCUUUCAAAUAACCCUAUAUGCUUUACAGAAAAUUCUACAUCAUUUCUGAUCAUCAAUAUGUCAACAACAUAUACUCAUCAGAAAUUCUAUAGUGCUCCCACUCACUUCUUUGGAAACACAAGUUUCUCACAAACUUUGUAUAAACCCAAAAUCUUUGAUCAUCUUAUCAAAGUGCAUAUUCCAACUCCGAGAUGCUUACUCCAGUCGAUGGAAGGAUCGCUGGAGCUAGCAUACCUUUUAGCAUCCUUAGGAUCGACAAAACCUUUCUGAUUGUAUCACAUACAACCUUUCCUUACGAAAACUGGUGAGGAAACUUGUCUUGACAUCCAUCUGCCAGAUUUCAUAAAUGCAGCUAAUGCUAACAUGAUUCCAACAGACUUAAGCAUCGCUACGGAUGAGAAAAUCUCAUCGUAGUCAACUCCUUGAACUUGUGAAAAACUCUUCGCCACAAGUCGAGCUUCAUAGACGGUGACAUUACCAUCCACGUCUGUCUUCUUCUUAAAGAUCCAUUUAUCUCAAUGGCUUGCCGAUCAUCGGGCAAGUCCACCAAAGUCCAUGCUUUGUUCUGAUACAUGGAUCCUAUCUCGGAUUUCAUGGCUUCUAACCAUUUGUCGGAAUUUGGGCCCACCAUCGCUUCUCCAUAGCUCGUAGGUUCAUUGUUGUCUAGCAACAUGACCUUCAAGACAGGAUUACUGUACCACUCUGAAGUAGUACGCAUCCUUGUCACCCUACGAGGUACAGUAGUGACUUGAUCCAAAACUUCAUGAUCACUAUCAUAAGCUUCUACUUCAGUUGGUGUAGGUGCCACAGGAACAACUUCUUGUGCCCUGCUACACACUAGUUGAAGUGAUGGUUCAAUAACCUCAUCAAGUCUCCACCAUCCUCCCACUCAAUUUUCGAGACAAACUUUUCUCGAGAAAGGACCCGAUUCAAGAAACAAUCCCUAUUGCUUUCGGAUCUGAAUUAGGAGGCAUACCCAACUGUUUUGGGUGUCCUAUGAAGAUGCAUUUUAUCCGCUUUGGGUUCGAGCUUAUCAACCUGAAACCUUUUCACAUAAGCGUCGCAGCCCCAAACUUUUAAGAAACAACAACUUAGGUUUCUCCAAACCAUAGUUCGGUGUCGUCUCAACGGAAUUAUGUGGUACCCUAUUUAAAGUGAGUGCGCUUGUCUCUAAUGCCUAACCCAUGAACGAUAGUGGUAAUUCGAUAAGAGAUAUCAUGGUACGCACCAUAUACAAUAGGGUGCAACUAUGAUGUUCGGACACAGCAUCACACUAUGGUGUUCCAGGUGGUAUUAAUUGUGAAACAAUUUCCACAAUGUCUUAAUUGUGUGCCAAAGCUCGUAACUCAGAUACUCAUCUCUAUGAUCAUAUCAUAGACAUUUUAUCCUCUUGUCACAAUGACCUUCAACUUCACUCUGAAAUUACUUGAACCCUUCAAUAAUUCAGACUUGUGUUUCAUCAAGUAAAUAUAUAGUACCUACUUAAAUCAUCUGUGAAGUAAAACAUAACGAUAUUCACUGCAUGCCUCAGCACUCAUUGGACUGCACACAUCAAAGUGUGUUACUUCCAACAAGUUGCUAUCUUGUUCCAUCUUACUGAAACUGAGGCUUUUCAGUCAUCUUGCCUAUGUGGUAUGAUUUGCAUAUCUCAAGUGAUUCAAAAUCAAGUGAGUCCAAAUGAUCCAUCUGCAUGGAGUUUCUUCAUGCGUAUACACCAAUAGACAUGGUUUAAAUGUCUCAAACUUUUCAAAAACGAGUGAGUCCAAAGAUCCAUCAACAUGGAGCUUCAUCAUGCGUUUUACACCAAUAUGACUUACAUGGCAGUGCCACAAGUAAGAGGUACUAUCAUUACUAUCUUAUAUCCUUUUUGGCAUGAAAAUGUGUAUCACUACGAUUGAGAUUCAAUAAACCAUUCCUCUAGGUGCAAGACCAUUGAAGGUAUUAUUCAAAUAAAUAGAGUAACCAUUAUUCUCCUUAAAUGAAUAGCCGUAUUGCGAUAGACAUAAUCCAGUCAUGUCUAUGCUCAACGCAAACACCAAAUGACAAUUAUUUAGGUUUUUACACCAAUCUCGAUGGUAGAGGGAGUGUGCGAUGCUUGAUCACAUCAACCAUGGAAACACUUCCAACACAUAUCAUCAGCUCACCUUUAGCUAGUCUCCGUUUAUUCCGUAGCUUUUAUUUCGAGUUACUAACACUUAGCAACCGAACCGGUAUCUAAUACCCUGGUGCUACUAGGAGUACUAGUAAAGUACACAUUAACAUAAUGUAUAUCCAAUAUACUUCUAUCGACCUUGCCAGCCUUCUUAUCUACCAAGUAUCUAGGGUAAUCCCGCUCCAGUGGCUGUUCCUCUUGUUACAGAAGCACUUAGUCUCGGGUUUAGGUUCAACCUUGGGUUUCUUCACUGGAGCAGCAGCUGAUUUGCCGUCUCAUGAAGUAUCCCUUAUUACCCUUGCCUUUCUUGAAACUAGUGGUUUAACCAACCAUCAACAAUUGAUGCUCCUUCUUGAUUUCUACUUUCGCGGUGUCAAACAUCGUGAAUACCUCAAGGAUCAUCUAUCCCUGAUAUGUUAUAGUUCAUCACGAAGCACUAGCAGCUUUGUGGCAAUGAUUUUGGAGAAAGAUCACUAUCUCAUCUAGAAGAUCAACUCCCACUUGAUUCAAGUGAUUGUUGCACUCAGACAAUCUGAGCACAAUCUCAACGAUUGAGCUUUUCUCCGUUAGUUUGCAGGCUAAGAAAAUUGUCGGAGGUCUUGUACCUCUUGACGUGGGCACGAGCCUGAAAUCCCAAUUUCAGCCCUCGAAACAUCUUAUAUGUUCCGCGACGUUUCAAAAAAACGUCUUUGGUGCCUCAACUCUAAACCGUUUAACUGAAAUAUCACGUAGUUAUCAAAACGUGUAUGUCUGAUGUUCGCAACAUCCACAGACGACGAUUGGGGUUCAGCACACUAAGCGGUGCAUUAAGGACAUAAGCUUUCUACUGUCCGCAUAAUCGCUACUGUCAACUUUCAACUAUAUUUUCUCUAGGAACAUAUCUAAACAGUGGAACUAAAGAGCGAGCUUACGACAUAAUUUGCAAAGAUCUUUUGACUAUGUUCAGGAUAAUUAAGUUCAUCUCAUGAACUCCCACUCAGAUAGACAUCCCUCUAGUCAUCUAAGUGAUUACAUGAUCCGAGUCAACUAGGCCGUGUCCGAUCAUCACGUGAGACGAACUAGUCAUCAUCGGUGAACAUCUUCAUGUUGAUCGUAUCCACCAUACGACUCAUGCUCGACCUUUCGGUCUCUUGUGUUCCGAGGCCAUGUCUAUACAUGCUAGGCUCGUCAAGUCAACCUAAGUGUUUUGCGUGUGUAAAUCUGGCUUACACCCGUUGUAUGUGAACGUAAGAAUCUAUCACACCCGAUUAUCACGUGGUGCUUCGAAACGACGAACUUUCGCAACGGUGGACAGUUAGGGGGAACACUUUCUUGAAAUUUUAAUGAGGGAUCUUCUUAUUUACUACCGUCGUUCUAAGCAAAUAAGAUGCAUAAACAUGAUAAACAUCACAUGCAAUCAAAUAGUGACAUGAUAUGGCCAAUAUUAUAUUGCUCCUUUUGAUCUCCAUCUUGGGGGCUCCAUGAUCAUCAUCGUCACCGGCAUGACACCAUGAUCUCCAUCAUCGUGUCUUCAUGAAGUUGUCUCGCCAACUAUUACUUCUACUACUAUGGCUACCGGUUAGCAAUAAAGUAAAGUAAUUACAUGGCGUUGUUCAAUGACACGCAAGUCAUACAAUAAAUUAAGACAACUCCUAUGGCUCCUGCCGGUUGUCAUACUCAUCGACAUGCAAGUCGUGAUUCCUAUUACAAGAACAUGAUCAAUCUCAUACAUCACAUAUCAUUCAUCACAUUCUUCUUGGCCAUAUCACAUCACAUAGCAUACCCUGCAAAAACAAGUUAGACGUCCUCUAAUUGUUGUUUGCAUGUUUUACGUGGCUGCUAUGGGUUUCUAGCAAGAACGUUUCUUACCUACGCAAAACCACAACGUGAUAUGCCAAUUGAUAUUUACCCUUCAUAAGGACCCUUUUCAUCGAAUCCGUUCCGACAAAAGUGGGAGAGACUGGCACCCGCUAGCCACCUUAUGCACCAAGUGCAUGUCAGUCGGUGGAACCUGUCUCACGUAAGUGUACGUGUAAGGUCGGUCCGGGCCACUUCAUCCCACAAUACCGUCGAAACAAGAUUGGACUAGUAACGCUAAGCAUAUUGAACAAAAUCAACGCCCACAACUACUUUGUGUUCUAUUCGUGCAAAGAAUCUACGCAAUAGACCUAGCUCAUGAUGCCACUGUUGGGGAACGUAGCAGAAAUUCAAAAUUUUCCUACGUGUCACCAAGAUCUAUCUAUGGAGAAACCAAUAACGAGGGGAAGGAGAGUGCAUCUACAUACCCUUGUAGAUCGCUAAGCGGAAGCGUUCAAGAGAACGGGGUUGAAGGAGUCGUACUCGUCGUGAUCCAAAUCACCGGAGAUCCUAGUGCCGAAUGGACGGCACCUCCGCGUUCAACACACGUACAGCCCGGUGACGUCUCCCAUGCCUUGAUCCAGCAAGGUGAGAGGGAGAGGUUGAGGAAGACUCCAUCCAGCAGUAGCACAACGGCGUGGUGGUGAUGGAGGAGCGUGGUAGUCCAGCAGGGCUUCACCAAGCACCGCAAGAUAUGAGGAGAAAGAGAGGUAGGGCUGCGCCAACAGGAGAAGAAACUCAUGUAUUGGGCUGCUCCUAUGCGUCCACUAUAUAUAGGGGGAGAGGGGGCUGCGCUCCCACCUAGGUUUCCACCCCUAGGGGGCAGCGGCCAGCCCUAGAUCCCAUCUAGGGGGCGGCCAAGGGGUGGAGAGGGGGAAACUUGCCCCCAAGCAAGGUGGGGCGCCCCCUCCCCAAACCCUAGGCGCCUUGGGCCCUUGUGGGCGGGCGCACCAGCCCACCUGGGGCUGGUCCCCUCCCACACUUGGCCCAUGCAGCCCUCCGGGGCCGGUGGCCCCACUUGGUGGACCCCCGGGACCCUCCCGGUGGUCCCGGUACGUUACCGAUAAAACCUGAAACUUUUCCAGUGACCAAAACGGGACUUCCCAUAUAUAAAUCUUUACCUCCGGACCAUUUCGGAACUCCUCGUGACGUCCGGGAUCUCAUCCGGGACUCCGAAAAACAUUCGGUAACCACAUACAAACUUCCUUUAUAACCCUAGCGUCAUCGAACCUUAAGUGUGUAGACCCUACGGGUUCGGGAACCAUGCAGACAUGACCGAGACGUUCUCCGGUCAAUAACCAACAGCGGGAUCUGGAUACCCAUGUUGGCUCCCACAUAUUCCACGAUGAUCUCAUCGGAUGAACCACGAUGUCAAGGACUCAAUCGAUCCCGUAUACAAUUCCCUUUGUCUAGCGGUAUUGUACUUGCCCGAGAUUCGAUCGUCGGUAUGCCGAUACCUUGUUCAAUCUCGUUACCGGCAAGUCUCUUUACUCGUUCCGUAACACAUCAUCCCGUGAUCAACCCCUUGGUCACAUUGUGCACAUUAUGAUGAUGUCCUACCGAGUGGGCCCAGAGAUACCUCUCCGUUAACCGGAGUGACAAAUCCCAGUCUCGAUUUGUCCCAACCCAACAGACACUUUCGGAGAUACCUGUAGUGCACCUUUAUAGCCACCCAGUGACGUUGUGACGUUUAGUACACCCAAAGCAUUCUUACGGUAUCCGGGAGUUGCACAAUCUCAUGGUCUAAGGAAAUGAUACUUGACAUUAGAAAAGCUUUAGCAUACGAACUACGAUCUUUGUGCUAGGCUCAGGAUUGGGUCUUGUCCAUCACAUCAUUCUCCUAAUGAUGUGAUCCUGUUAUCAACGACAUCCAAUGUCCAUGGUCAGGAAACCGUAACCAUCUGUUGAUCAACGAGCUAGUCAACUAGAGGCUUACUAGGGACAUGGUGUUGUCUAUGUACCCACACAUGUAUCUAAGUUUCCUAUCAAUACAAUUAUAGCAUGGAUAAUAAACGAUUAUCAUGAAUAAGGAAAUAUAAUAAUAAUAACCAAUUUAUUAUUGCCUCUAGGGCAUAUUUCCAACAUUGUUUUGUCUAUGUAUUCUCACAUGCACUAAGUUGCCGGUUAAUACAAUUCUAGCGUGAAUAAUAAACAUUUAUCAUGAUAUAACAAAAUAUAAAUAACAACUUUAUUAUUGCCCCUAGGGCAUAUUUCCUUCACGUACCCCCUUGCCAAACUGAUGGCAAGGUACACAAUAGGUCUGAUACACAUCAUACCAUACUUUAUAGAACCUACGACUGAGGCAUAGGAAAUGAGUUUCAUUCUCUUUCUAUUUUCUGCCGUGGUCGGGUUUUGAGUCUUACUCAACUUCACACCUUGCAACACAGACAAGAACCCUUUCUUUGACUGAUCUAUUUUGAACUUCUUCAAAAUUUUGCCAAGGUAUAUAUUUUGUGAAAGUCCUAUUAAGCGUCUUGAUCUAUCCCUAUAGAUCUUGAUGCCCAAUAUAUAAGCAGCUUCACCGAGGUCUUUCAUUGAAAAACUCGUAUUCAAGUAUCCUUUUAUGCUAUCUAGAAAUUCUAUUUUCAAUCAACAAUAUGUCAUUCACAUAUAAUAUUAGAAAUGCUACAGAGCUCCCACUCACUUUUGUGUAAAUGCAGGCUUCUCCAAAAGUCUGUAUAAAACCAUAUGCUUUGAUCACCUCAUCAAACCGUAUAUUCCAACUCCGAGAUGCUUGCACCAGUCCAUAAAUGGAUCGCUGGAGCUACCAGGACCUACCAGGACCACUGGAUGACUCCACCUGUGGCCGUUAGAUCAGAAUCCCACGUCAUCUUUUCCCUUCCCCACUGCUUCGUCUCAGAUCAGAUCGAGAGAGAUGGGCACAUCGUUGACCUUCUGUAGACAAACUGCCCCCUGCAGGCUGCCUCUUCGGCGGCAACACGCCAUCUCGCCAUGGCCGUCGAUGCAUCACCGGCGCCUUCGCGGCCGUCGCCUUCACCAUGCCCACCGUCUCGCAAUCCGUUCGUGAUCUACGCAUCAAACCACGCCGUUGUGGCCCUUGCCACCGCCAGUUGUAACAUACUGUACACUCGCCGUCGCAGCCCUCCUGUCCGUCUCUGGUGCAGCUUCGAUGUCCCAGCAAAAAGAUGAGCAGCCAUCACUGUAGCGACCAGACCUCAAACAGUCUGAUCUCUGUGCAUCAGUGUCAUCCCUGGAUCGGUAAUGCUGACACGCACAGUACUUGAAGGACUUAUAAUAGAGUAGCAAUCACACACUUAUUACAUCGAAUGUCUCAAAAGAGAACUUAUUACAAUGAAUAUGGCUUAAGGCCAUCUAUAAAUGAUAACAACGGAAGGCUUGGAAGAUAAAGUGACUCCAUCAACUCCAACGGCAUCACUGAGUGAAAGAUCACGACCUAAGGCACCUUCCUCACGAAAGAUAUUAAAACGAUGAAGCAUAUGAGACAAGCUUAACUCCAUUUUUUGUAGUUUUUCUUUUAUAAACUAAACUAGUGAUAAAACAAGAAACAAAAAGAUUCGAUUGCAAGAUAUAAAGAUAUACCUUCAAGCACUCACCUCCCCGGCAACGGUGCCAGAAAAGAGCUUAGUUGACGGGGUGUGGGAGCCGCUUACCUAGCCUCCCCAGCAACGGCGCCAGAAAAGAGCUUGAUGUCUACUACGCAACCUUCUUCUUGUAGACGUUGUUGGGCCUGCAAGUGCACAGGUUUGUAGGACAGUAGCAAAUUUCCCUCAAGUGGAUGACCUAAGGUUUAUAAUUCCGUGGGAGGCAUAGGAUGAAGAUGGUCUCUCUCAAACAACCCUACAACCAAAUAACAAAGAGUCUCUUGUGUCCCCAACACACCCAAUACAAUGGUAAAGUGUAUAGGUGCACUAGUUCGACGAAGAGAUGGUGAUACAAGUGCAAUAUGGAUGGUAGAUAUAGGUAUUUGUAAUCUGAAAAUGUAAAAACAGCAAGGUAACUAAUGAUAAAAGUGAUCGUAAACGGUAUUGCAAUGAUAGAAAACAAGGCCUAGGGUUUAUACUUUCACUAGUGCAAGUUCUCUCAACAAUAAUAACAUAGUUAGAUCAUAUAACAAUCCCUCAACAUGAAACAAAGAGUCACUCCAAAGCCACUAAUAGCGGAGAACAAACAAAGAGAUUAUGGUAGGGUACGAAACCACCUCAAAGUUAUUCUUUCGGAUCAAUCUAUUCAAGAGUUCAUACUAGAAUAACACCUUAAGACACAAAUCAACCAAAACCCUAAUGUCACCUAGAUACUCCAUUGUCACCUCAAGUAUCCGUGGGCAUGAUUAUACGAUAUGCAUCACACAAUCUCAGAUUCAUCCAACCAACACAAAGUACUUCAAAGAGUGCCCGAAAGUUUCUACCGGAGAGUCAAGAAAACGUGUGCCAACCCCUAUGCAUAGGUUCAUGGGCGGAACCCGCAAGUUGGUCACCAAAACAUACAUCAAGUGGCACGUGAUAUCCCAUUGUCACCACAGAUAAACACGGCAAGACAUACAUCAAGUGUUCUCAAAUAAAGACUCAAUCCAAUAAGAUAACUUUCAAGAGGGAAACUCAAUUCAUCACAAGAGAGUAGAGGGGGAGAAACAUCAUCAGAUCCAACUACAAUAGCAAAGCUCGCGAUACAUAAAGAUCAUGCCAUAGAGAGAACACGAGAUAGAGAGAGAGCAAACACAUAGCUACUGGUACAUACCCUCGGCCCCGAGGGUGAACUACUCCCUCCUCGUCAUGGAUAGCGCCGGGAUGACGAACAUGGCCACCGGUGAUGGGUUCCCCCUCCGGCAGGAUGCCAGAACAGGCUCCCGAGAGGUUUUUGGUGGCUACAGAGGCUUGCGGCGGCAGAACUCCCGAUCUAUCUUCUCCAUCAAUGUUUUUAGGGUACGUAGGCUUAUAUAGGCAAAAGAAGUCGGUCGGGUGAGUCUCGAGGGGCCCACGAGAGGGUAGGGCACGCCCAGGGGGUGGUCGCGCCCCCUGUCUCGUGGCCUCCUUGAUGAUCCCCUGGCUUGCACUCCAAGUCUCCUGGGUCACGUUCGUUUCAAAAAAAAGUUUCCCGAAGGUUUCAUUCCGUUUGGACUCCGUUUGAUAUUCCUUUUCUUCGAAAUACUGAAAUAGGCAAUAAAACAGCAAUAUGGGCUGGGCCUCCGGUUAAUAGGUUAGUCCCAAAAGUAAUAUAAAACUGUGUAAUAAAGCCCGUAAUCAUUCAAAACAGAUAGGAUAAUAGCAUGAAUGCUUCAUAAAUUAUAGAUACAUUGGAGACAUAUCAGCAUCCCCAAGCUUAAUUCCUACUCGUCCUCGAGUAGGUAAAUGAUAAAAUAAAGAAUUUAUGAAGUGUGAAUGCUAGCAGGUGCACAAGUUUGAUCAAUGAUAAUUUCAAUCACCUUUUAUAGCAUGAUUAUAUGUCAUAACAGUAAUUCAUCUCAUGAAACUUCUCAUGAACAAGUAACAAACAAUUCACAUGUUAAAGCAUAGACCAUAAACUUGCUUGAAAACUAGCAAACUUCAUUCUUAGUCAUCAAACAAUUGCAAUUCAUCUUAUUUUCAGGAAGGGUCUACGUCAGAGCUUUAAUUUAGCAAACUCCACAUACUCAACUAUCAUAUAGUCUUCUACAAUUGCUAACACUCACGCAAUACUAGUUGUUAUGGAGUUUUAAUCGGACACUGAGAAAGAUAGGGGCUUAUAGUGUUGCCUCCCAACGUAUUCACCUUUGGGUGAUGUCAACAAUAAUAGUUCAUGCUAACUUACAUCCAAUUGGAUAUAUAUAUCAGGAUCUUCCCAACACGAGGUGCUUGCCAAAGGAUAAAAUGAACAAGGGAAAGGUGAAGAUCACCUUGACUCUUGCAUAAAGUAAAAGACAUAAAGUAAAAUAUAGGCCCUUCGCAGAGGGAAGCAGAGGUUGUCAUGCGCUUUUAGGGUUGGAUGCACAAAAUCUUAAUGCGAGUGAACGUCACUUUAUAUUGCCACUUGUAUAUGGACCUUUAUUAUACAGUCCAUCACUUUUAUUGCUUCCAUAACAAGAUCGUAUAAAGAUAUUUUCUUCACACCAAAAGAUCAUACAUAUUUAGAGAGCAAUUUUUAUUGCUUGCACCGAUGACAACUUACUUGAAGGAUCUUACUCAAUCCAUAGGUAGGUAUAGUGGACUCUCAUGGAAAAACUGGGUUUAAGGAUAUUUGAAAGCACAAGUAGUAUCUCUACUUGGUGCAAGGAAUUUUGGCUAGCAUGAGGGGGAAAGGCAAGCUCAACAUGUUUGAAUGAUCCAUGACAAUAUACUUUAACUGAGAUGUCGGAAAACAUAACCCAUUACAUUGUCUUCCUUGUCCAACAUCAACUCUUUAGCAUGUCAUACUUAAUGAGUGCUCCCAAUUAUAAAAGAUGUCUAGGGUAGUAUAUUUACAUGUGGAAUCUCUCUUCCUUCGAUAUUCUUUCAUGAAUUGUUCAAAUGACCAAUACAAUGCUUGCUAACCUUCAAUAAAUUUACAACCUCUACUUCUUAGAUGUGAAGUCAUUACUCCACAUGGGAUAAGCAAAUGAAACAUAUAUAAUUUCAGAUUUAUGACAAUCAACUCAUUCAACAAUUUACUCAUAAGAUAUAAGUGAAGCACACGAGUAAAUGACAAACUACCCCAAAAAGAUAUAAGUGAAGAUCAAUGAGUAGCUAAAUAAUUAUGUAACUAUGCGAAGACUCUCUCUCAUUUAAGAAUUUCAGAUCUUGGUAUUGUAUUCAAACAGCAAUCAAAACAAAAUAAAAUGACAUUGCAAGGAUAGCACAACUCACGUGAAGAAGCAAAAACUUAGGCUCAACCGAUACUAACCAAUAAUUGUUGAAGAAAGGUGGGAUGCCUACCGGGGCAUCCCCAAGCUUAGAUGCUUGAGACUUCUUGAAAUGUUAUCUUGGGGUGCCUUGGGCAUCUCCAAGCUUGAACUUUUGUGUCUCCUUAAUUCCUCUCAUAUCAUGGUUUCUCUAUUUCUCAAAAGCUUCAUCCACACCAAACUCAACAAGAACUCGUGAGAUAGGUUAGUAUAAACCAAUGCAAAACUUUAUCAUUUUCUACUGUAACAAAUCACUAAAAUUAUUAUUCAACAUUGCAUACUAAAUGUCUCUGCAUAUUUAACACUGCUAUCCUCAAAUAGAAUCAUUAAACAAGCAAACAUAUGCAAACAAUGCAACCAUGACAGCAAUCUGUCAAAAUAGUACAGUCUGUAAAGAAUACAAGAGUAUCAAUACUUCCCUAACUCCAAAAAUUAUGAAAGAAAAUUCCCACUGUAGUAAAUUUAUCAGAGCUUAUUAUGCAAAAGGUUUCAACAUUAUAACAUUCUCUGACUUUUCUAGGGAACUUUUGCAACAGCGGUAAACUUUCUGUUUUCAAACAGCAACAUGUAUACUAGCAAAAUAAGCAUGGUAAAGGCCAUCCUUGACAUUUUUAUUGAAACUAAAGAUGCAAAACAUUAUUAUAAAUAACAUAAAGCAAAUACUAACAAAAUAAAAUGACGCUCCAAGAAAAACACAUAUCAUGUGGUGAAUAAAAAUAUAGCUCCAAGUAAAGUUACCGAUGAAUGAAGACGAAAGAGGGGAUGCCAUCCGGGGCAUCCCCUAGCUUAGGCUCUUGGUUGUCCUUGAAUAUUACCUUGUGGUGCCUUGGGAAUCCCCAAGCUUAGGCCCUUGCCAUUCCUUAUUCCAUAGUCCAUCGAAUCUUUACCCAAAACUUGAAAACUUCACAACACAAAACUCAACAGAUAACUCGUAAGCUCUGUUAGUAUAAGAACAUAAAGCCACCACUUAGAUACUGUAAUGAACUCAUUCUAAAUUCAUAUUGGUGUAAUAUCUACUUUAUUCCAACUUAUAUAUGGUUCAUACCACUUAAUCUAGCCAUAUAUUCAUCAAAAUGAGCAAACAACAGAUAGAAAACAGAAUCUGUCAAAAACAGAUCACUCUGUAGUAAUCUGUAUCAAAUGUGUACUUCAGGAACUCCAAAAAUCCUACCAAAUUAGGAAGUCCUAAUAAAUUCGUGUACCAAUCCAGAGCAAAAAGAAUCAGAUCAAGAUCAUGUUUCUGUGAAUUAACAAAACUAAUUUACUGGGUGCAAAAGUUUCUGAUUUUCAGCAAGAUCAACACAACUAUCACCGUAAGCUAUCCUAAAUGUCUUACUUGGCACUUUAUUGAAACAAAAGCUAUAAAACAUUAUUACUAAAGUAGCAUAAUCAUGUUUACAUACAAAAACAGUAAGGAUAAAUAUUGGGUUGUCUCCCAACAAGCGCUUUUCUUUAAUGCCUUUCUAGCUAGGCAUGAUGAUGACAAUGAUCUCACCUAAAAGAUAAGAAUGGAAACAUAAUGGGAGCAUCAUGAAGCAUAUGACUAGCACAUUUAAGCCUAACACACUUCCUAUGCAUAGGGGUUUUGUGAGCAAACAACUUAUGGGAACAAUAAUCAACUAGCAUAGGAAGGCAAAACAAGCAUAGCUUCAAGAUUUUUAACACAUAGUGAGGAAACUUGAUAUUAUUGCAAUUCCUACAAGCAUAUGUUCCUCCCCCAUAAUGAUUUUCAGUAGCAUCAUGAAUGAAUUCAACAAUAUAACCAGCACCUAAAGCAUUAUUUUCAUGAUCUACAAGCAUAGAAAAUUUACUACUCUCCACAUAAGCAAAAUUCUUCUCAUGAAUAGUAGUGGGAGCAAACUCAACAAAAUAAUUGUCAUGUGAGGCAUAAUCCAAUUGAAAACUAAAAUCAUGAUGACAAGUUUCAUGGUUAUCAUUAUUCCUAAUAGCAUACAAGUCAUCACAAUAAUCAUCAUAGAUAGCAACUUUGUUCUCAUAAUCAAUUGGAACCUCUUCCGAAAUAGUGGAAUCAUCAGUAAAUAAAGUUGACACUCUUCCAAAUCCACUUUCAUAUUCAUCACAAUAAGAUUCAACAUCCUCCAAAAUAGUGGGAUCACUACUUCCUAAAGUUGACACUCUUCCAAACCCACUUUCUUAAAUAUAAUCAUCAUAAAUAGGAGCAUGCUUUCAUCAUAACAACUUUGCAUAUCAAAACUUGGGAUGCUAAGAAUAUCAUCUUCAUCAAACAUAGCUUCCCCAAGCUCGGGCCCUUUCAUAUCAUAAGCAUAAUCACUCUCAUCAUUAAAAAUAUGGAUAGCACCAAUAGUAUAGCAAUUAUCAUCAUCACAAUGAGUAGUAGGAGCAACUUCAUUUGGGAGGCAUACCUUUUUACCUUUGUUACUCCUUUUCUUUUUCUUCUUCAUAUUAUGUGUGGGUUCAACCUUCCUCUUUGAGCUCCUUACUUGACGAGAUUGGUUGAAUAGAAAGCUCCUCCUCGUUACCUGAUUCAUAAGAAAUAAUAGGAGGAUAUUGGGAAGUCUCUUCCCUUUCAUUAGUAUUCUCAUCAUCUUCUAUUUGCUUUCUUUUCUUUAGGUAAUUGGCAAUAUAAGGAUUUUCAAUGCAAUUCACCGCACAAUACAAAUAAAUCUUCUCUAGAUCAAUAUCAAGGAAUUUCUUAUGGGCAAAUUCUGGACGGUCCUUAAUUAAACGUUUCAAUUCUUCAUAACCCAAAAGCAAACUAAGUUCAUUGUAAUGAGCAAGGGAGACCAAAUCAUCACAAUUUUUGGACACGAUUCGAUCAUGAAACAAUUUGCAUAGGAGAUGUAAAUGACCAUGUUCAUUGCAAAGUUCACAAGUACGGCAAAGGAAAUUUAAAUUUUCAGCACUCACAUUUAGCCUUUCUUGCAACCAUUUAGUUUCUAAAUGCUUAUGCCUCUUGCAAUAUCUAUCUUCCCUAUUUGGUGUGUACUUGCAAACCCAAUCUACUCCACAAAAAUCAACAUGCUUAUAAGAGACAUUUUCAUCAUAACUAUUGCAAUCAUCAUUAGUACUAUGGAUAUUCGAAGAGUUUAUACUAACAACAUUGCAAUCAUGCUCAUCAUUCACAGAUUUAGUACCAAGAAUAUUAAUGCAUUCUUCUUCUAGCACUUGAGCACAAUUUUCCUUUCCAUCAUACUCAUGAAAGAUAUUAAAAAGAUGAAGCGUAUGACACAAGCUUAAUCCCUUUUUUUUAGUAGUUUUACUUUUAUAAACUAAAGUAGUGAUAAAACAAGAAACAAAAAGAUUCGAUUGCAAGAUCUAAAGAUAUACCUUCAAGCACUCACCUCCCCGGCAACGGCGCCAGAAAAGAGCUUAGUUGACGGGGCGUGGGUGCCGCUUACCUAGCCUCCCCGGCAACGGCGCCAGAAAAUAGCUUGAUGUCUACUACGCAACCUUCUUCUUGUAGACAUUGUUGGGCCUGCCGGUGCACAGGUUUGUAGGACAGUAGCAAAUUUCCCUCAAGUGGAUGACCUAAGGUUUAUCAAUCCGUGGGAGGCAUAGGAUGAAGAUGGUCUCUCUCAAACAACCCUGCAACCAAAUAACAAAGAGUCUCUUGUGUCCCCAAGGUGCACUAGUUCGGUGAAGAGAUGGUGAUACAAGUGCAAUAUGGAUGGUAGAUAUAGGUAUUUGUAAUCUGAAAAUAUAAAAACAGCAAGGUAACUAAUGAUAAAAGUGAGCGUAAACGGUAUUGCAAUGAUAGAAAACAAGGCCUAGGGUUCAUACUUUCACUAGUGCAAGUUCUCUCAACAAUAAUAACAUAGAUAGAUCAUAUAACAAUCCCUCAAAAAGCAACAAAGAGUCACUCCAAAGCCACUAAUAGCGGAGAACAAACGAAGAGAUUAUGGUAGGGUAUGAAACCACCUCAAAGUUAUUCUUUCGGAUCAAUCUAUUCAAGAGUUCGUACUAGAAUAACACCUUAAGACACAAAUCAACCAAAACCCUAAUGUCACCUAGAUACUCCAUUGUCACCUCAAGUAUCCGUGGGCGUGAUUAUACGAUAUGCAUCACACAAUUUCAGAUUCAUCUAACCAACACAAAGUACUUCAAAGAGUGACCCAAAGUUUCUACCGGAGAGUCAAGAAAACGUGGGCCAACCCCUAUGCAUAGGUUCAUGGGCAGAACCCGCAAGUUGGUCACCAAAACAUACAUCAAGUGGCACGUGAUAUCCCAUUGUCACCACAGAUAAACACGGCAAGACAUACAUCAAGUGUUCUCAAAUAAAGACUCAAUCCAAUAAGAUAACUUUCAAGAGGGAAACUCAAUUCAUCACAAGAGAGUAGAGGGGGAGAAACAUUAUAAGAUCCAACUAUAAUAGCAAAGCUCGCGAUACAUAAAGAUCGUGCCAUAGAGAGAACACGAGAGAGAGAGAGAGAUCAAACACAUAGCUACUGGUACAUACCCUCGGCCCCGAGGGUGAACUACUCCCUCCUCGUCAUGGAUAGCGUCGGGAUGAUGAAGAUGGCCACCGGUGAUGGGUUCCCCCUCCGGUAGGGUGCCGGACAGGCUCCCGAGAGGUUUUUGGUGGCUACAGAGGCUUGCGGCGGCGAAACUCCCGAUCUAUCUUCUCCGUCGAUGUUUUUAGGGUACGUAGGCUUAUAUAGCCGAAAGAAGUCGGUCGGGGGAGCCUCGAGGGGCCCAUGAGAGGGUAGGGCGCGCCCAGGUGGUGGACGCGCCCUUCUGUCUUGUGGCCUCCUCGAUGAUCCCCUAGCUUGCACCUCCAAGUCUCCUGGGUCACGUUCGUUCCAAAAAUAAGUUUCCCGAAGGUUUCAUUCUGUUUGGACUACGUUUGAUAUUCCUUUUCUUCGAAAUACUGAAACAGGCAAUAAAACAGCAAUAUGGGCUGGGCUCCGGUUAAUAGGUUAGUCCCAAAAGUAAUAUAAAAGUGUAUAAUAAAGCCCGUAAUCAUUCAAAACAGAUAGGAUAAUAGCAUGAAUGCUUCAUAAAUUAUAGAUACGUUGGAGACGUAUCACGGUACUAAAAAAAUACAUCCGUGCCUACCACUUCUGGACUUAUGAUGAGUUUUUGGUCCGGAGCAAAAGUAGCCAUGGAAGUAGCCGCGGUAGUACCGCUCCAAGUGGUAGUAUCGCUCCCAAGAGCGGUAGUAAAAAAUUACAUCCCCUCCAAGCGGUAGUACCGCUCCCAUGAGCGGUAGUACCGCUGCAACCUUUUUAAGGACACCAAAACUGACUCAACUUCUGCAAACGGACUCCGAAUUCAACGAAACCAUGUUUGUUGGAAAGCUAGCAACAAGGGAUAACACAAUCUUGAUUGAAAUAACAAUAAGAAGGAAAUUAGAAAAGGCACAUAAGAAAAUGGUGAGAACCCUUCCACGAAUAAGACCGGUAAAACCUCCAACACCGAAAACGCAAUAGAGGAAGCAUGUGAACUCUGUUUUCGAUGAACUCGAGCUUGUCAAGAAGAUGACCAUAAGCUCCAAAUCUCACAAGGAUAAAACCAACCAACAACCAAGAAAUAUGAUGCAAUCAUGCAAUGGUUUGAGCUCUCUACGAACGAUACGAUCAAGCUACUCACUUGAGAGCCCUCCUUGAUAGUACGGCAAUCGAUCCUAUAACCCGGUAUCCAAACUACCACCAUGAGACCGGUAAAAUAGAGAACCUAUCAAGGCUAAACCUUUUCCUUGCACAAAGUCCACUUGAGCUAGAUGUAGACGGUCUUGACUUCCUCAAGUUGGACCACCUUUCUUGAUUGCGUUUUUCGGUGAAGACUAGUAGAUUCUUCCCCCAUACUCCACCAUGCGUGAGCCACUCUUCGGCACAUGUUCACAAGUCCAUUGUCACCACAAUGGACGGUAAUCUUCAAGCACUUGAUCUCUUCGUGAUGUAUCACUUGAACAUGUACACUGCAACCUAACCCCACAAAGAACUCUCACGAAGACCAUGCGUUAGUACACAAAGCAUAAUUGACAAUGCUUACCAUAUCAUGGCAUCACUUGAUCCCUCUCAGUAAAUUUUCUAUGCUUUGUGUGUUGAUCAACUUGAUUCACUCUUUGACUUAGUCUUGAUCAGCCUCUCACAUGACCAAUAUUUAGAUAAUACUUGAAUAACACCUUGGUCAUCACAAACUCUCCUUGAAACCAACAAAUGCACUCCAAGAAAAACCUAUGGACAAAUCCUUCAAAUAUAACUCAAGGCAACCAUUAGUCCAUAGAGAUUGUCAUUAAUUACCAAAACCAAACAUGGGGGCACCGAAUGUUCUUUCAGUAGUGAUUGAAGAACUCUAUCAAUGAAACUAUCAACAGGAAGAUUAACUCCCAACAGAGUCAAGUGGUUAUGGUACCCAGACAUUCUGAGUAUGUGUUCACUGACAGAACUAUUCUCCUCCAUCUUGCAGCUAUAGGAACUUAUUGGAGACUUCAUAUCUCUCAACUCGGGCAUUUGCUUGAAAUAUUAACUUCAAUUCUUGGAAUAUCUCAUAUGCUCCAUGUUGUUCAAAAUGUCUUUGAAGUCCCGAUUCUAAGCUGUAAAGCAUGGCACACUGAACUAUUGAGUAGUCAUCAACACACGACUACCAGCCAUUCACAAUGUCUGUAGUUGCUGGGGCAGGUGGUACACCUAGCGGUGCUUCAAGGACAUAAUUCUUGUGUGCAGCAAUGAUGAUAAUCCUCAAAUUACGGACCCAGUCCGUGUAGUUGCUACCAUCAUCUUUCAACUUAGCUUUCUCUAGGAAUGCAUUAAAAUGCAAAAACUAUCAGGACUAAGUUCAUGAUAAAUUAAAGUUCAAUUAAUCAUAUUACUAAAGAACUCCCACUUAGAUAGACAUCCCUCUAGUCAUCUAAAUGAUCACGUGAUCCAUAUCAGCUAAACCAUGUCCGACCAUCACGUGAGAUGGAGUAGUUUUCAAUGGUGAACAUCUCUAUGUUGAUCAUAUCUACUAUAUGAUUCAAGUUUGACCUUUCGGUCUUAGUGUUCUGAGACCAUAUCUAGAUAUGCUAGGCUCGUCAAGUUUAACCCAAGUAUUCUGCACGUGGAAAACUGGCUUGCACCCAUUGUAUGUGAAUGUAGAGCUUAUCACACUCGAUCAUCACGUGGUGUCUCGGCACGUUGAACUGUAGCAAUGGUGCAUACUCAGGGAGAACACUUAUAUCUUGAAAUUUAGUGAGGGAUCAUCUUAUAAUGUUACCGCCGUGCUAAGCAAAAUAAGAUGCAUAAAAGAUAAACAUCACAUGCAAUCAAAAUAUGUGAUAUGGCCAUCAUCAUCAUCUUGUGCCUUUGAUCUCCAUCUCCAAAGCAGCUUCAUGAUCUCCAUUGUCUCCGCUUGACACCUUGAUCUCCAUCGUAGCAUUGUUGUCGUCUCGCCAACUAUUGCCUCUACGACUAUCGCUACCGCUUAGUGAUAAAGUAAAGCAAUUACAUGGCGGAUGUAUUUCAUACAAUAAAGCAACAACCAUAUGGCUCCUGCCAAUUGCCGAUAACUUUGUUACAAAACAUGAUAAUCUCAUAUAACAAUUUAUAUCACAUCAUGUCUUGACCAUAUCACAUCACAACAAGCCCUGCAAAAACAAGUUAGAUGUCCUCUACUUUCUUGUUGCAUGUUUUACAUGGCUGCUACGGGCUUCUAGCAAGAACCAUUCUUACCUACGCAUCAAAACACAAAGAUUUUUUGUCAAGUGUGCUGUUUUAACCUUCAACAAGGAUCGGCCAUAGUCAAACUCGAUUCAACUAAAGUUGGAGAAACAGACACCCGCCAUCCACCUGUGUGCAAAGCACGUCGGUAGAACCAGUCUCAUGAACGUGGUCAUGUAAUGUCGGCCCAGGCCGCUUCAUCAAACAAUACCGCCGAAUCAAAGUAAGACGUUGGUGGCAAGCAGUAUGACUAUUAUCGCCCACAACUCUUUGUGUUCUACUCGUGCAUAUCAUCUACGCAUAGACCUGGCUCGGAUGCCACUGUUGGGGAACGUCACAUGCAGUUUCAAAAAAUUUCCUACGAUCACGCAAGAUCUAUCUAGGAGAUGCAUAGCAAAGAGAGGGGGAGAGUGUGUCCACGUACCCUCGUAGACCAAAAGCGGAAGCGUUAGUUAACGCGGUUGAUGUAGUUGAACGUCUUCACAAUCCAACCAAUCCAAGUACCAAACGUAUGACACCUCCAUGUUCAGCACAUGUUCAGCUCGAUGACAUCCCUCGAACUCUUGAUCCAGUAGAGGGUCAAGGGAGAGUUUCAUCAGCACGACGGCAUGGUGACGGUGUUGAUGAUGUGAUCCACGCAGGGCUUCACCUAAGCACUACAACGCUAUGAUCAGAGGAGUAAACUGUGGAGGGGGGCACUGCACACGGCAAAGAGAACAAUUGAUGUGUCUUUCGGGUGCCCCCUGCACCCAUAUAUAAAGGAGGAGGGGAGGAGGCGGCCGGCCAAGGGGCGCGCCAAGUGUGGGGAGUCCUACAAGGACUCCCAGUCCUAGUAGGAUUCCCCCUUCCAUUUCUGGAGUGAGAAAGGGGGAAAGAAGUGGAGAGGGAGAAGGAAAAAGGGGGGUUGCACCCCACCCCUUGUCCAAUUCGGAUUGGGCUUGGGGGGGGGCGCCACUUCCUGGCCGCUGCCUCCUCUCUCCACUAAGGCCCAUGUAGGCCCAUUAACUUUCCUGGAGGGUUGCGGUAACCUCUCGGUACUCCAAAAAUGUCAGAACCUCUCCAAAACUAUUCUGGUGUCCGAACAUAACCUUCCAAUAUAUCAAUCUUUACCUCUUGACCAUUUCGAGACUCCUCGCACGUCCGUUAUCUCAUCCGGGACUCCGAACAAACUUCGGUCACCAAAACACAUAACUCAUAAUACAAAUCGUCAUUGAACGUUAAGCGUGUGGACCCUAUAGGUUCGAGAACUAUGUAGAUAUGAUCGACACACAUCUCCGAUCAAUAACCAAUAGCGGAACCUGAUGCUCAUAUUGGAUCCUACAUAUUCUAUGAAGAUCUUUAUCGUCAAACUGCACAACAACAUACGUUGUUCCCUUUGUCAUCGGUAUGUUACUUGCCCGAGAUUCGAUCAUCGGUAUCAUCGUACCUAGUUCAAUGUCGUUACUGGCAAGUCUCUUUACUCGUUCCGUAAUGCAUCAUCCCAUAACUAUCUCUUUAGUCACAUUGCUUUCAAGGCUUAUAGUGGUGAGCAUUACCGAUAGGGCCCAGAGAUACAUCUCCGAUACACGAAGUGAGAAAUCCUAUUCUUGAUCUAUGCCAACCCAACAAACACCUUCGGAGACACCUGUAGAGCAUCUUUAUAAUCACUCAGUUACGUUGUGACAUUUGACAGCACACAAGGUGUUCCUCCGGUAUUCGGGAGUUGCAUAAUCUCAUAGUCAGAGGAACAUGUAUAAGUCAUGAAGAAGGAAUAUCAAUAAAACUUAACGAUCAUGAUGCUAAGCUAACGGAUGGGUCUUGUCCAUCACAUCAUUCACUAGUGAUGUGAUCCCAUUCAUCAAAUGACAACACAUGUCUAUGGUUAGGAAACAUAACCAUCUUUGAUUAAUGAGAUAGUCAAGUAGAGGCAUACUAGGGACACUUUGUUUUGUCUAUGUAUUCACACAUGUACUAAGUCGCCGGUUAAUACAAUUCUAGCAUGAAUAAUAAACAUUUAUCAUGAUAUAAGGAAAUAUAAAUAACAACUUUAUUAUUGCCUCUAGGGCAUAUUUCCUUCACGUACCCCGUUGCCAAACUCAUGGCAAGGUACACAAUAGGUCUGAUACACAUCAUACCAUACUUUAUAGAACCUACGACUGAGGCAUAGGAAAUGACUUUCAUUCUCUUUCUAUUUUCUGCCGUGAUUGGGUUUUGAGUCUUACUCAACUUCACACCUUGCAACACAGACAAGAACCCUUUCUUUGGCUGAUCUAUUUUGAACUUCUUCAAAAUUUUGCCAAGUUAUAUAUUUUGUGAAAGUCCUAUUAAGCGUCUCGAUCUAUCCCUAUAGAUCUUGAUGCCCAAUAUAUAAGCAGCUUCACCGAGGUCUUUCAUUGAAAAACUCUUAUUCGAGUAUCCUUUUAUGCUAUCUAGAAAUUCUAUUUUCAAUCAACAAUAUGUCAUUCACAUAUAAUAUUAGAAAUGCUACAGAGCUCCCACUCACUUCCGUGUAAAUGCAGGCUUCUCCAAAAGUCUGUAUAAAACCAUAUGCUUUGAUCACCUCAUCAAACCGUAUAUUCCAACUCCGAGAUGCUUGCACCAGUCCAUAAAUGGAUCGCUGGAGCUACCAGGACCUACCAGGACCACUGGAUGACUCCACCUGUGGUCGUUAGAUCAGAAUCCCACGUCAUCUUUUCCCUUCCCCACUGCUUCGUCUCAGAUCAAAUCGGGAGAGAUGGGAACAUCGCUGACCUUCUUUAGACAAACUUCCCCCUAUAGGCUGCCUCUUCGGCGGCAACACGCCAUCUCGCCAUGGUCGUCGACGCAUCACCGGCGCCUUCGCGGCUGUCGCCUUCACCAUGCCCACCGUCUUGCAAUCCGUUCGUGAUCUACGCAUCAAACCACGCCGUUGUGGCCCUUGCCACCGCCAGUCGCAACAUACUGUACACUCGCCGUGGCAGCCCUCCUGUCCAUCUCUGGUGCAGCUUCGAUGUCCCAGCAAAAAGAUGAGCAACCAUCACUGCAGCGACCAGACCUCCAACAGUCUGAUCUCUGUGCAUCAGUGUCAUCCCUGGAUCGUUAAUGCUGACAGGCACAGUACUUGAAGGAUUUAUAAUAGAGUAGCAAUCACACACUUAUUACAUUGAAUGUCUCAAAAGAGAACUUAUUACAAUGAAUAUGGCUUAAGGCCAUCUAUAAACGAUAACAGCGGAAGGCUUGGAAGAUAAAGUGAGUCCAUCAACUCCAACGACAUCACUGAGUGAAAGAUCACGACCUAAGGCACCUUACUCGUCGUCUGAAAAUUCUGCAACAUGAAUGUUGCAGUCCGGAAACGGGUCAGCACAUGGAAUAUGCUGGCAAUGUAACACAUAGAAAGUAAUGAACAAAAAGAUGCUAUCACUACAUGCAAAUUUGGCUGGUUGAAAGCUCUAUGGUUACAGUUUUGCAUAAAGCCUAUUUUCCCCUACAACAAAGGAAUAAAUUUUAUUUAACUAUCAUGGUGGUUAUUAAACAUUGAGAAGGUUCCUCCAACUCAAACCCAAUUAAGCAUCAUCAUUAAACCCAAUCAAAAUUAAAUUAAGUAACAUGACGAGAUCCACAUGAUAAUCCAGGAACUAGAUACUCAAAACGUCCAUAACCGGGGACACGGCUAACCAUGAUUAGUUUGUACACUCUGCAGGGGUUUGCGCACUUUUCCCCACAAGACUCGAAUACAUCCAUGGUCGGAGAAAUGAGACACAGUCUUUCUGAAACAAUAACUCUUUACUCUGGGUGGACAGUUACACCUACUUUCCCCUACAUCUGCUAGCCCACCACUCAAAGAGGUCUUGCAACAUACUCAACUAUGCUAGAGCCCAUAAUAGCUUGUGGCUGCACACGGAAGUUUCUAGCAUGAAUAAUCUUAUGACCCCUUUGAGCCUGGGUGGCGGUCCAUAGGAGAAUCACACGGUACCCCGGGAUUUCCAAAGAUACACGCAACACUGGGUUCCCCAGGUGCCUCAAUCCACCCAGAUGUGAAUUAAAGUAGCCACCUUAAGUUAACCAUUAAUUAACAGCACUCACAUCUGUUAUGGAUACACUCACCCAAUCCACGUCUACAAGCAUAGCAUAGCAAUAUAAGCAACGUAGAAGUAACUCCCAAAGGUUUGAUAACUAAAUAGGACAAUAGGUACUACCUCAUCUACUUCCCAAAACCCACAUAUUAAUCAAAUCCUAACCAUGCAAUUGUUUGAGGAUUGAUCUAAUGCAAUAAAACUGGGUAGUAAAGAGGUAUGAUCAAAGUGUUACUUGCCUUGCUGAUGAUCCGUGAAACCUAGAGACUCAUAGUAGCAUGCUUCGCACUCCGGGUACUCCAUCGCAAACAAACAAGCAUAAAAUAAGCACUCAACUAGAAGCACGGGUAAAACUCAAAUAAGAGAUCUUAACCAGAAAGUUCAACUUAGGAACUCCGGUUUGCAAAAAGAAUCAAACCGAACGAAACAACGAAACUCAAAUUGCGGAAAAAACAAGCUUCGUUUACUAAUCUAGACUUAAGUCAAAUUUUACAGAAGCAAAAUCAUGUUUAAAUUGAUUAAACAGAAAGAGGGUUUUGAGACGAAACUCUAGGCAUUUGAAUCGCCUUAUUCCGAUAAACGAGCGAAGAGAAAAACUAAAACGAAAAUCAGGGCAUAAAUCGCGAUCGAAAAUAUUCGCGGAAAACCCUGGAAAAAGAAAAACUGACGAACAGGCUAACGAACAGACGUUCGCUGUCUGCGGCUAAAUGGUGAACCUUGCUCGUUAAAACGAAUGAACGAGUGGGCGCUCGCUCAGUAAAUAAACCAGAAAAAAUAAACCGAUCUAAAAAUAAAACCUAGGGUUUUCUAAAAAAACGAAUCAGUUUUCUCUAGAAAACUGGCGGCGGCGGGCGGCUACCUCGUCGGGGCUCCUGCGAGAUCUGGCGGCUCAGGCUGGGUCUGGUGGGGCGGCGUGGCUCCCUGGCGACGGCGGGGCGGCAGAGGCAGGCGGCGGCGACGGCAGCGCUAGGCAGCGGCAUCGGCAAAUGGUGGCGCUAGGCGGGGGGGUGGUUCGGGUGGUGGUGGGGGUCGGUAGCGGUGGUAUUUUAGAGGGAGGCGCUGGCUUGGAGGAGAGGGCGCCGGGUCGGGGUCGGCCUCGGGAGGCGUGCCUCGGCCGGACUCGACAUCGGCGGCGGGGUGGCCUCCCUUCCGCGGGGGAAGGCGGUGGCAGCGCGGGCUUGGCCCAGCUUGGUUGGGCCUUCGGCCCAGUCGGGCGCGUGGAGAUUUUUUUUAAAAUGUUCCGCCGUAAAUAAAUCCUAGAAAAAUAAAUAAAAAUAUAAAAAUGCCAAAAUAAAUUUUCAUCGUCUAAAUAAAAUAUUUAGAACAAGAUGAAGAUUUUUUGGCCCUAAAAUGCAAUUUUGAAAUACGUGCAAUUUUUCUAAUUCGAAUAAAAUUUCAAUAAAACCAAAUAAAAUAAAUAAAUUGAUUUUAACAUUUUUCCUCUAAUAUUUCAUUUAUUUUGGAGAAGUCAUUUUAUCCCCUCUCAUAUAUUUUUAUUUUAGAAAUAUUAGGAAGAAAAAUAAUCAAAACCAAUUGAUCCCCUUUUCAAAAUUUAAGAAAACUGAAAUAUGAAAAUAACAAAAUCCCUAACUCUCUCCGUAGGUCCUUGAGUUGCGUAGAAUUUCUAGGAUCAAGCCAAAAUGCAAUAAAAUAUGAUAUGCAAUGAUGAUCUAAUGUAUAACAUUCCAAAUUGAAAUUUUGGGAUGUUACAAACCUACCCCCCCCCUUAAGAUGAAUCUCGCCCUCGAGAUUCGGGUUGGCUAGAAAAUAGGUGAGGGUGGUCCUUCUGUAGGUCUUCCUCUCAUUCCCAAGUGGCUUCAUCUUCAGUAUGGUGGCUCCACUGAACUUUGCAGAACUUGAUAACCUUGUUGCGUGUGACUCGGCUGGCAAACUCGAGAAUCUUCACUGGUUUCUCUUCAUAGGUCAAGUUGCUAUCCAACUGAAUCGCUUCCAGUGGCACUGUAUCUCUCAGAGGAAUAUCGGCCAUCUGUGUGUGGCACUUCUUCAGCUGGGAAACGUGGAACACAUCAUGAACUCCUAACAGUCCUUCAGGCAAUUCCAACUUGUAAGCAACUUCUCCCAUACGUUCCAAAACUUUGUAUGGUCCCACAAAACGUGGUGCUAACUUUCCCUUAACUCCAAAACGCUUAACUCCUCUAAGUGGGGACACACAAAGAUAAACUCUGUCUCUGACUUCGUAAACUGUCUCCUUGCAUUUAGAAUCCGCAUAGCUCUUCUGCCUGAACUGGGCUACCUUGAGUCUAUCGCGAAUCAGCUUAACCUUCUCUUCAGACUCUCUGAUCCAAUCUGGUCCAAACAACUGACGGUCUCCAACUUCGUCCCACAACAAUGGGGUCCUGCACCUCCUUCCAUACAAAGCUUCGAAAGGGGCCAUCUUCAAACUGGAUUAAUAACUAUUGUUGUAAGAGAACUCUGCAUAAGGCAAAUUAUCAUCCCAACUAGAUCCAUAAUCUAGCGCACAAGCUCUCAGCAUGUCCUCCAGAAUUUGAUUGACUCUCUUGGUCUAUCCAUCUGUCUGUGGAUGAAAGGCUGUACUGAACUCUAGCCUGGUACCCAAAGUUUUGUCCAACUGAUUCCAGAACUUUGAGGUAAAUUGGGUUUCUCUAUCUGAUACAAUGGUCCUCGGAACUCCAUGCAGACAUACGAUCCUGGUCAUGUAUAUCUUUGCAAACUUAGCACUGGUGUAAGUGGUCUUCACUGGGAUGAAAUGAGCUACCUUCGUUAAACGAUCGACUACAACCCAUAUCGAGUCAUAGCCUAAACGAGUCCUGGGCAAUCCUGUGAUAAAAUCCAUGCCUAGCUUAUCCCACUUCCAUUUGGGUAUCUGCAAUGGCUGUAGCAAUCCAGCUGGCUUCUGAUGCUCUGCCUUCACUCUCUGACAUACAUCACAAACUGCCACAUACUCCGCAAUAUCCUUCUUCAUUCUGGUUCACCAGAAACUGCCCUUCAAAUCCAGAUACAUCUUGGUAUUACUUGGGUGGAUCGAAUACAGCGAAUCAUGGGCCUCUUGCAGAAUCAACUUCCUGAUCUCCGGGUCAUUAGGCACAUAUACGCGGUCCUCAAACCAUAAAGUAGCAUGCUCAUCCUCACGAAAUUCCUUAGCUUUUCCUUUGCUCAUGCUUUCCUUUAUCUCGGCAAUCUCCUUGUCUGCCUUUUGAGCUUCUCUGAUCUUAUCCAUCAAGGUAGACUGAAUCUCCAAUGCUGCUACAUAGCCUCUCGGAACUAUCUCCAAACAUAGCUCGUGAAGAUCCUCUGCUAACUCCUUGGGUAACUCUCCGGUCAUGAGUGUGUUGACAUGGCUUUUGCGGCUCAACGCAUCGGCUACUAUGUUAGCCUUCCCAGGAUGAUAGUGCAACCGCAUGUCAUAAUCCUUGAUGAGUUCCAACCAUCUCCUUUGCCUAAGAUUCAGCUCCUUCUGCGUGAAGAUAUACUUCAAACUCUUGUGAUCCGUGUAUACCUCACAAUGGUUUUUGAUGAGAAAAUGUCUCCAUGUCUUCAACGCAUGCACUACGGCUGCUAACUCCAAAUCAUGUGUAGCAUAAUUCAACUCAUGGGGCUUAAGCUGUCGUGAGGCAUAAGAAACAACUCUUCCCUCCUACAUAAGCACUGCUCCAAGUCCUCGACGGGAAGCAUCGCAAUAUAUUUCAUAAUCCUUGCGCUGAUUUGGCAGGAUCAACACUGGUGAUGUAACCAAGCGUUUCUUCAACUCCUGAAAGCUGGCCUCACAUUCCUCAGUCCAUUUGAAUUUGGUGUCCUUCUUCAACAACUCCGUCAUGGGCUUUGCAAUCUUCGAGAAAUUCUCAAUGAACCUCCGGUAGUAUCCUGCGAGUCCAAGAAAACUCCAGAUCUCUCCAACUGACGUGGGUGCUUCCCAAUUUGUCACAGUGACAACUUUGGAGGGGUCUACUGCUAUUUCUUCUCUGGAUAUAACAUGUCUGAGGAAUCCAACUUCCUUCAACCAAAACUCGCACUUGCUAAACUUGGCAUAUAACUGAUGUUCUCUAAGCUUUCCAAGUACCAAACGCAAAUGCUCUUAUCCUGCUCUUCAUUCUUCGAGUAGACCAAAAUGUCAUCAAUGAACACUACAACAAACUUAUCCAAAAACUCCAUAAACACAUUUUUCAUCAUGUUCAUCAAAUAGGCAGGUGCGUUAGUCAGUCCAAAUGACAUAAUGGUAUACUCAUAUAGCCCGUACCUUGUGGUAAAAGCUGUCUUAAGUAUAUCCUGCUCUCGAAUCUUCAACUGGUGGUAUCCUGAUCGCAGAUCGAUCUUGGAAAAUACUUUAGCUCCUUGCAACUAGUCAAACAAAUACUCCGCUCUUGAUAUGUAUGAAUGCGAUGCACCAGUAUUCUAAGAAUAUUCUUGACUUGACACAUACUCCGCUCUUGGGGAGCUUACUAACAUAGGUAUUCUAAGAACUUUGGUGGGCGGUUUAUACUUAUCCACAAAUCCCCUGGAUAUGUAUGAAUGCGAUGCACCAGUAUCGAAAAGAACGAUUGCAGUAAAUGACUUAACUAAAAACUUACCUAUUGCUGCAUCUGGCUGGGCUUCUACCUCCUCCACGUUAACGUGGUUCACCUGUCCCCUAUUGAAAGGGUUGGGCUUCUUCCCAGAGCUUCCAUUGCCAUUUCCAUUCGUUGCUUCAGGACACUCAGUGGCAUAAUGUCCAGUCUUCUGGCACUUGAAAUAGGUAAUGUGGCUUAGAUCCCUCUUGGCUGGUGUUGAUGGGUUGGUACAGUUUUGACUGUUGCUUCCUCCAUUCCCAUUCCCAUUCUUGGGGCCACUAUGGUUGUGCGAACUCCCUCCAUUGUGAUUGUGACCUCCAUGGUUAUGUUGGAGGUCUCCUCCCGAGUUUGGGGUAAAGUGAGGCCUCUGCCGAGCUCCAGAAUUGUAUUUCCCUUGUCGAUUCUUCCUCUCGUGGUUGUCAAUCUGCUGCUGCUUCCCGUCAAUCAUGAGAGCUCUAUCUACCAACUCCUGGUAGUUGUUGAAGGUUGCCACCAUCAAUCGCAUGCUCAGCUUGUUGGAGAACGUUGCAGAAAAUAAAAAAAUUCUACGCUUCACCAAGAUCAAUCUAUGGAGUCAUCUAGCAACGAGAGAGAGGAGUGCAUCUAGAUACCCUUGUAGAUCGUGCAUGGAAGCGUUCAGGAGAACGGGGUUGAGGGAGUCGUACUCGUCGUGAUCCAAAUCACCAGAGAUCCUAGCGCCGAACAGACGGCACCUCCGUGUUCAACACACGUAUGGUUGGGAAGACGUCUCCUCCUUCUUGAUCCAGCAAGGGGGAAGGAGAGGUUGAUGGAGAUCCAGCAGCACGACGGCGUGGUGGUGGAUGCAGCAGUGAUCUUGGCAGGGCUUCGCUAAGCACUACGAGAGGGAGAGGUGUCAUGGGAGGGAGAGGGAGGCGCCAGGGGCUAGGGUCCGGCUGCCCUCCCUUCCCCCCUCUUUAUAUAGGGCCCCUAGGGGGGCCUAGGAGAUCCAAUCUCCAAGGGGGGCGCGGCCAAGGGGGCGGCUUGCCCCCCAAGGCAAGUGAGGCGCCCCCUACCACUAGGGUUUCCAACCCUAGGCGCAGGGGAGCCCAAGGGGGGCGCACCAGCCCACCAGGGGCUGGUUCCCCUACCACUUCAGCCCACGGGGCCCUCCGGGAUAGGUGGCCCCACCCGGUGGACCCCCGGGACCCUUCCGAUGGUCCCAGUACAAUACCGGUGACCACCGAAACUUUCCCGAUGGCCGAAACUGAACUUCCUAUAUAUAAAUCUUCACCUCCGGACCAUUCAGGAACUCCUCAUGACGUCCGGGAUCUCAUCCGGGACUCCAAAUAACUUUUGAGUUACUGCAUACUAAUAUCUCAACAACCCUAGUGUCACCGAACCUUAAGUGUGUAGACCCUACGGGUUCAGGAGACAUGCAGACAUGACCGAGACGCCUCUACGGUCAAUAACCAAUAGCAGGAUCUGGAUACCCAUGUUGGCUCCCACAUGCUCCUCGAUGAUCUCAUCGGAUGAACCACGAUGUCGAGGAUUCAAUCAAUCCCGUAUACAAUUACCUUUGUCAAUCGGUACGUUACUUGCCCGAGAUUCGAUCGUCGGUAUCCCAAUACCUCAUUUAAUCUCGUUACCGGCAAGUCACUUUACUCGUACCGUAAUGCAUGAUCCCGUGACCAGACACUUGAUCACAUUGAGCUCAUUAUGAUGAUGCAUUACCGAGUGGGCCCAGAGAUACCUCUCCGUCAUACGGAGUGACAAAUCCCAGUCUCGAUUCGUGCCAACCCAACAGACACUUUCGGAGAUACCCGUAGUGCACCUUUAUAGUCACCCAGUUAUGUUGUGACGUUUGGCACACCCAAAGCACUCGUAUGGUAUUCGGGAGUUGCACAAUCUCAUGGUCUAAGGAAAUGAUACUUGACAUUUGGAAAAGCUCUAGCGAAACGAACUACACGAUCUUUGUGCUAAGCUUAGGAUUGGGUCUUGUCCAUCACAUCAUUCUCCUAAUGAUGUGAUCCCGUUAUCAAUGACAUCCAAUGUCCAUAGUCCGGAAACCAUGACUAUCUGUUGAUCAACGAGCUAGUCAACUAGAGGCUCACUAGGGACGUGUUGUGGUCUAUAUAUUCACACAUGUAUUACGAUUUCCGGAUAACACAAUUAUAGCAUGAAUAAUAGACAAUUAUCAUGAACAAAGAAAUAUAAUAAUAACCAUUUUAUUAUUGCAUGUAGGGCAUAUUUCCAACAGUCUCCCACUUGCACUAGAGUCAAUAAUCUAGUUACAUUGUGAUGAAUCAAACACCCAUAGCGUUCUGGUGUUGAUCAUGUUUUGCUCUAGGGAGAGGUUUAGUCAAUGGAUCUGCUAUAUUCAGGUCCGUAUGUACUUUACAAAUAUCUAUGUCUCCAUCUUGAACAUUUUCACGAAUGGAGAUGAGGCGACGCUUGAUGUGCCUGGUCUUCUUGUGAAACCUGGGCUCCUUGGCAAGUGCAAUAGCUCCAGUGUUGUCACAGAAGAGUGUGAUCAGCCCUGACGCAUUGGGUAUGACUCCUAGGUCGGUGAUGAACUCCUUCACCCAGAUAGCUUCAUGCGCUACCUCCGAGGCUGCCAUGUACUCCGCUUCACAUGUAGAUCCAGCCACGACGCUUUGCUUGCAACUGCACCAGCUUACUGCCCCACCAUUCAAAAUAUACACGUAUCCGGUUUGCGACUUAGAGUCAUCCAGAUCUGUGUCAAAGCUAGCGUCGACAUAACCCUUUACGACGAGCUCUUCGUCACCUCCAUAUACGAGAAACAUAUCCUUAGUCCUUUUCAGGUACUUUAGGAUGUUCUUGACCGCUGUCCAGUGUUCCAUGUCGGGAUUACUUUGGUACCUUCCUACCAAACUUACGGCAAGGUUUAUAUCAGGUCUGGUACAGGUCAUGGCAUACAUGAUAGACCCUAUGGCUGAGGCAUAGGGGACGACACUCAUCUUUUCUCUAUCUUCUGCCGUGGUUGGACAUUGAGCCAAGCUCAAUUUCACACCUUGCAACACAGGCAAGAACCCCUUCUUGGACUGAUCCAUAUUGAAAUUCUUCAAUGUCUUAUCAAGGUAUGUGCUUUGUGAAAGACCUAUGAGGUGUCUCGAUCUAUCUCUAUAGAUCUUGAUGCCUAAUAUGUAAGCAGCUUCUCCAAGGUCCUUCAUUGAAAAACACUUAUUCAAGUAGGCUUUAAUACUGUCCAAAAGUUCUAUAUCAUUUCCCAUCAAAAGUAUGUCAUCCACAUAUAAUAUGAGAAAUGCUACAGAGCUCCCACUCACUUUCUUGUAAACGCAGGCUUCUCCAUAAGUCUGCAUAAACCCAAACGCUUUGAUCAUUUCAUUAAAGCGAAUGUUCCAACUCCGAGAUGCUUGCACUAGCCCAUAGAUGGAGCGCUGCAGCUUGCAUACCUUGUUAGCAUUCUUAGGAUCGACAAAACCUUCUGGCUGCAUCAUAUACAGUUCUUCCUUAAGAUGGCCGUUAAGGAAUGCCGUUUUGACGUCCAUUUGCCAUAUCUCAUAAUCAUAGUAUGCGGCAAUUGCUAACAUGAUUCGGACGGACUUCAGCUUCGCUACGGGAGAGAAAGUCUCAUCGCAGUCAACCCCUUGAACUUGUCGAUAACCCUUAGCGACAAGUUGAGCUUUAUAGAUGGUAACAUUACCAUCCGCGUCCAUCUUCUUCUUAAAGAUCCAUUUGUUUUCUAUUGCUCGCCGAUCACCGGGCAAGUCUGUCAAAGUCCAUACUUUGUUUUCAUACAUGGAUCCUAUCUCGGAUUGCAUGGCUUCAAGCCAUUUGUUGGAAUCUGGGCCCGCCAUUGCUUCUUCAUAGUUCGAAGGUUCACCGUUGUCUAAUAACAUGAUUUCCAGGAUAGGGUUGCCAUACCACUCUGGUGUGGAACGUGUCCUCAUGGACCUACGAAGCUCAGUAGUGACUUGAUCCGAAGUACCUUGAUCAUCAUCAUUAAUUUCCUCUCUAGUUGGUGCAGGCACCACAGGAACAUCUUCCUAAGCUGCGCUACUUACUGGUUCAAGAGGUAGUACUUCAUCAAGUUCCACUUUCCUCCCACUUACUUCUCUCGAGAGAAACUCUUUCUCCAGAAAGGACCCAUUCUUGGCAACAAAGAUCUUUCCCUUGGAUCUUAAGUAGAAGGUAUACCCAAUGGUUUCCUUAGGGUAUCCUAUGAAGACGCAUUUUUCCGACUUGGGUUCGAGCUUUUCAGGUUGAAGCUUCUUGACAUAAGCAUUGCAUCCCCAAACUUUUAGAAAUGACAUCUUAGGUUUCUUCCCAAACAGUAAUUCAUACGGUGUUGUCUCAACGGAUUUAGACGGUGCCCUAUUUAAAGUGAAUGUAGCUGUCUCUAGAGCGUAUCCCCAAAAUGAUAGCGGUAAAUCGGUAAGUGACAUCAUAGAUCGCACCAUAUCCAAUAGAGUGCAAUUACGACGUUCGGACACACCGUUACGCUGAGGUGUUCCAGGCGGCGUGAGUUGUGAAACGAUUCCACAUUUCCUUAAGUGCGUACCAAAUUCGUGACUUAAAUAUUCUCCCCCACGAUCUGACCGUAAGAACUUUAUCUUUCGGUCACGUUGAUUCUCUACCUCAUUCUGAAAUUCCUUGAACUUUUCAAAGGUCUCAGACUUGUGUUUCAUCAAGUAGACAUACCCAUAUAUACUCAAGUCAUCAGUGAUAGUGAGAACAUAAUGAUAGCCUCUGCGAGCCUCAAUGCUCAUUGGACUGCACACAUCAGUAUGUAUGAUUUCCAAUAAGUUGGUUGCUCACUCCAUUGUUCCGGAGAAUGGAGUCUUGGUCAUUUUGCCCAUGAGGCAUGGUUCGCAUUGUCAAACGAUUCAUAAUCUAGAGACUCUAAAAGUCCAUCAGCAUGGAGCUUCUUCAUGCGCUUGACACCAAUGUGACCAAGGCGGCAGUGCCACAAGUAUGUGGGACUAUCGUUAUCAACCUUACAUCUUUUGGUAUUCACACUAUGAAUAUGCGUAACAUCAUGUUCGAGAUUCAUUAAGAAUAAACCAUUGACCAGCGGGGCAUGACCAUAAAACAUAUCUCUCAUAUAAAUAGAACAACCAUUAUUCUCGGAUUUAAAUGAGUAGCCAUCUCGCACUAAACGAGAUCCAGAUACAAUGUUCAUGCUCAAAGCUGGCACUAAAUAACAAUUAUUGAGGUUUAAAACUAAUCCCGUAGGUAAAUGUAGAGGUAGCGUGCCGACGGCCAUCACAUCGACCUUGGAACCAUUCCCGACGCGCAUCGUCACCUCGUCCUUCGCCAGUCUCCGCUUAUUCCGCAGCUCCUACUUUGAGUUACAAAUAUGAGCAACCGCACCGAUAUCAAAUACCCAGGAGCUACUACGAGUACUGAUAAGGUACACGUCAAUUACAUGUAUAUCACAUAUACCUUUAGUGUUGCCGGCCUUCUUGUCCGCUAAGUACUUGGGGCAGUUCCGCUUCCAGUGACCACUUCCCUUGCAAUAAAAGCACUCAGUCUAGGGCUUGGGUCCAUUCUUUGACUUCUUCCCGGUAACUGGCUUACCAGGCGCGGCAACUCCUUUGUCGUUCUUCUUGAAGUUCUUCUUACCCUUGCCUUUCUUGAACUUAGUGGUUUUAUUCACCAUCAACACUUGAUGUUCCUUUUUGAUCUCUACCUCGGCUGAUUUCAGCAUUGAAUAUACCUCAGGAAUGGUCUUUUCCAUCCCCUGCAUAUUGAAGUUCAUCACAAAGCUCUUGUAGCUUGGUGGAAGCGACUGAAGGAUUCUGUCAAUAACCGCGUCAUCCGGGAGAUUAACUCCCAGCUGAGUCAAGCGGUGGUGCAACCCAGACAUUUUGAGUAUGUGCUCACUGACAGAACUAUUUCCCUCCAUCUUACAGCUGAAGAACUUGUCGGAGACUUCAUAUCUCUCGACUCGGGCAUGAGCUUGGAAAACCAUCUUCAGCUCUUCGAACAUCUCAUAUGCUCCGUGCUGCUCAAAACGCUUUUGGAGCCCCGGUUCUAAGCUGUAAAGCAUGCCGCACUGAACGAGGGAGUAAUCAUCAGCACGAGACUGCCAAGCGUUCAUAACGUCUUGGUUCUCUAGGAUGGGUGCUUCACCUAGCGGUGCUUCUAGGACAUAAUCUUUCUUUGCAGCUAUGAGGAUGAUCCUCAGGUUCUGGACCCAGUCCGUAUAGUUGCUGCCAUCAUCUUUCAGCUUGGUUUUCUCUAGGAACGCGUUGAAGUUGAGGGCAACAUUAGCAUGGGCCAUUUGAUCUACAAGACAUAUUGUAAAGAUUUUAGACAAAGUUCAUGAUAAUUAAGUCCAUCUAAUCAAAUUAUUCAAUGAACUGCCACUCAGACAGACAUCCCUCUAGUCAUCUAAGUGAAACAUGAUCCGAGUCAACUAGGCCGUGUCCGAUCAUCACGUGAGAUGGACUAGUCAUCAUCGGUGAACAUCUUCAUGUUGAUCGUAUCUUCUAUACGACCCAUGCUCGACCUUUCGGUCUUCCGUGUUCCGAGGCCAUGUCUGUACAUGCUAGGCUCAUCAAGUCAACCUAAGUGUAUUGCGUGUGUAAAUCUGGCUUACACCCAUUGUAUUCGAACGUUAGGAUCUAUCACACCCAAUCAUCACGUGGUGCUUCGAAACAAUGAACCUUCGCAACGGUGCACAGUUAGGGGAAACACUUUCUUGAAAUUACUGCGAGGGAUCAUCUUAUUUAAGCUACCGUCGUUCUAAGAAAAUAAGAUGUAAAACAUGAUAAACAUCACAUGCAAUCAAAGAGUGACAUGAUAUGGCCAAUAUCAUAUUGCUCCUUUGAUGUCCAUCUUCGGGGUGCCAUGAUCAUCUUCGUCACCGGCAUGACACCAUGAUCUCCAUCAUCGUGUCUUCAUGAAGUUGUCACGUCAACGAUUACUUCUACUUCUAUGGCUAACGCGUUUAGCAAUAAAGUAAAGUAAUUUACAUGGCGUUAUUCAAUGAUGCUCGGGUCAUAUAAAAAAUAAAGACAACUCCUAUGGCUCCUGCCAGUUGUCAUACUCAUCGACAUGCAAGUCGUGAUUCCUAUUACAAGAACAUGAUCAAUCUCAUACAUCACAUAUAUCAUUCAUUACAUCCUUUUGGCCAUAUCACAUCACAAGGCAUAUGCUGCAAAAACAAGUUAGACGUCCUCUAAUUGUUGUUGCAAGUUUUUACGUGGAUUCUAUAGGUUUCUAGCAAGAACGUUUCUUACCUACGUAAAACCACAAUGUGAUAAGCCAAUUUCUAUUUACCCUUCAUAAGGACCCUUUUCAUCGAAUCUGCUCCAACUAAAGUGGGAGAGACAGACACCCGCUAGCCAACUUAUGCAACUAGUGCAUGUCAGUCGGUGGAACCUGUCUCACGUAAGCGUACGUGUAAGGUCGGUCCGGGCCGCUUCAUCCCACGAUGCCGCCGAAGCAAGAUAAGACUAGUAGUGGUAAGAAAAUUGACAACAUCUACGCCCAUAACAAGUUUGUGUUCUACUCGUGCAUAGUAACUACGCAUAGACCUAGCUCAUGAUGCCACUGUUGGUGAACUUUGCAGAAAAUAAGAAAUUUCUACGCUUCACCAAGAUCAAUCUAUCGAGUCAUCUAGCAACAAGAGAGAGGAGUGCAUCUAAAUACCCUUGUAGAUUGCGCGUGGAAGCGUUCAAGAGAACGGGGUUGAGGGAGUCGUACUCGUCGUGAUCCAAAUCACUGAAGAUCCUAGCGCCGAACGGACGGCACCUCCGCGUUCAACACACGUACGGUUGGGAAGACGUCUCCUCCUUCUUGAUCCAGCAAGGGGGAAGGAGAGGUUGAUGGAGAUCCAGCAGCACGACGGCAUGGUGGUGGAUGCAGCAGUGAUCUCGGCAGGGCUUCGCUAAGCACUACGAGAGGGAGAGGUGUCACGGGAGGGAGAGGGAGGCGCCAGGGGCUAGGGUCCAGCUGCCCUCCCUCCCCCCUCUUUAUAUAGGGCCCCUAGGGAGGGCGCCGGCCCUAGGAGAUCCAAUCUCCAAGGGGGGCGGCGGCCAAGGGGGUGGCAUGCCCUACCACUAGGGUUUCCAACCCUAGGCACAGGGGAGCCCAAGGGGGGCGCACCAGCCCACCAGGGGCUGGUUCCCCUCCCACUUCAGCCCACGGGGCCCUCCGGGAUAGGUGGCCCCACCCGGUGGACCCCCGGGACCCUUCCGGUGGUCCCGGUACAAUACCGGUGACCCCCAAAACUUUCCCAAUGGCCGAAACUGAACUUCCUAUAUAUAAAUAUUCACCUUCGGACCAUUCCGGAACUCCUCGUGAUGUCCGGGAUCUCAUCCGGGACUCUGAACAACUUUCAGGUUACUGCAUACUAAUAUCUCAACAACCCUAGUGUCACCAAACCUUAAGUGUAUAGACCCUACGGGUUCGGGAGACAUGCAGACAUGACCGAGACGCCUCUCCGGUCAAUAACCAACAACAGGAUCUGGAUACCCAUGUUGGCUCCCACAUGCUCCUCGAUGAUCUCAUCGGAUGAACCAUGAUGUCGAGGAUUCAAUCAAUCCUGUAUACAAUUCCCUUUGUCAAUCGGUACGUUACUUGCCCGAGAUUCGAUCGUCGGUAUCCCAAUACCUCAUUUAAUCUCGUUACCGGCAGUCACUUUACUUGUACCGUAAUGCAUGAUCCCGUGACCAGACACUUGAUCACAUUGAGCUCAUUAUGAUGAUGCAUUACCGAGUGGGCCCAAAGAUACCUCUCCAUCAUACGGAGUGACUAAUCCCAGUCUCGAUUUGUGCCAACCCAACUAACACUUUCGGAGAUACCCGUAGUGCACCUUUAUAGUCACGCAGUUACGUUCUGACAUUUGGCACACCCAAAGCACUCCUACGGUAUCCGGGAGUUGCACAAUCUCAUGGUCUAAGGAAAUGAUACUUGACAUUUGGAAAAGCUCUAGCGAAACGAACUACAUGAUCUUUGUGAUAUGCUUAGGAUUGGGUCUUGUCCAUCACAUCAUUCUCCUAAUGAUGUGAUCACGUUAUCAAUUACAUCCAAUGUCCAUAGUCAGGAAACCAUGACUAUCUGUUGAUCAACGAGCUAGUCAACUAGAGGCUCACUAGGGACGUAUUGUGGUCUAUAUAUUCACACAUGUAUUACGAUUUCCGGAUAACACAAUUAUAGCAUGAAUAAUAGACAAUUAUCAUGAACAAAGAAAUAUAAUAAUAACCAUUUUAUUAUUGCCUCUAGGGCAUAUUUCCAACACAGCUCAUCAUUCAGUCCUUCCAGAAACUUCUCCUGCUUAGCUGCAUCCGUAGCAACGUCAUCUCGGGCAUAAUGUGCUAACUUACUAAAAUCAUCCACAUACUGGCCAACUGUACGUCCUCCUUGGCGCAAGUUGUGGAACUCAGCUUCUUCAUGGCCAUAGCUCCUGCUGAAACAUGGGCAGUACGGAAAGCCUGCUGAAACUGGUCCCAUGUGACAGUGUCGAUGGGGUACGUGGCUAUGAAAUUCUCCCACCAUGAUGCUGCGGGUCCAUCAAGCUGAUGUGCGGCAAAACGCACCCUCUCCACAUCUGUGCAUCCUGCAGUGGUCAACUCCCUUCCAAUCUUGCGGAGCCAAUCAUCUGCAACUAUCAUCUUGGUGCUACUGGAGAACACCGGCGGAUUUAGCCUUAAGAAACGGGCUAAGUGGUCAACUGGUGGUGGUGGUGGUGGGUUGUUGUUGUUGUUGUUCCCCUGAUUCUGGUUCUGGACUAGUAUCUACAUCAAUGCAUUCUGCCGCUGGAUCAACUGAGUGAGCUCCGGUGGGAACGCAAAUCCAUUGUCGCGUCUCGGAGGCAUCUGAGGGUUGAGAAAAGAUGAGAGUAUAGAAUAGAAGGAGGUCUAGAGGGAAAAACACUACCCAUAUGCAUAUGAGACAAACACAAUCAUAUCACUUCAAUCAAUUCACACAAGGGCAUACAUCAGUCUAACUAUCGUUACAAAACUGCUCGGACUAUGCUAUAUACAUGGGGAAAUACUACUACUGAUAUGGUGGUCGACUAGAAAAUUUGAUCGGUCGAAGACUCCAUGAUAUCUGCUCUAGCUUCAUCAACAUAGUCAUCAUCACUAUCGUCAGGGUCUGAGUCAGUGUCGUCGAUGAUGAUGUAGUUCUCCGGACAGGUAGAAUCUUCGUCUUCACCUCCAGGCGCAGGGUCUCCCAUGAAUCCUCUUUUCUUUUUAAUCAGGUCGUCAUUCUUCUCCAGUAAUGUUGCAAUUUCCUCCUCAUAUCCAUCACGGGUGGACUUGAGUUCUUCUUCCAUCUCCGUGAUCCUGGUCAUUGCCUACUUCAGAUCUAUCAUGCCUGCACACAUCUGGUUCUCCUGGCGACGAAUGUGCUGGUUUAACUCCUGGAUGAAAGCUGCAAUAGAUCUAUCCUUCCGGGUGCUGAUCAUCUCCCAUUGCUCGUCUCGGCGCCCACAAAUCUGGUAGAUAGUAUCCUUGAGAUCCUUAUGGUACACUUCUCCAAUGUGUCCCAUGGUGAUGUGGGCUGCCAUGCUCUUUCCUAGACUCCAGGUUGGUGCAUCAAAGGAAAACUCUAUGGGCUCGGUGACUGGCAUGAACGUCCUUCCUGGAACUUGAACUCAAAUCAUCCAACGCUCCUCUUCUGGUAAAGUGGCGAUGUAAGUCCCGGUGAAGCUUGGUAUUCUGAUGUUUAGGUAUCUAGUAACUUCCUUCAAGUGGCAUCCAAAAGGCGUAUGUUCAUCCGGUUGCGUGAACUUGUUCCUUGCAUCCACCAUCCUAAAAGAGUAGAAAAAGGAGAGGAGUCAGAAAUGAGAAGAGAGUAGUGAUCUAUGGCUUUAGCUUGGUGGUCGUGUCCUACAGUUAGCGUGUGCUCUUAUACCAUCUUGUAGCGACCAGACCUCAAACAAUCUGAUCUCUGUCCAUCAGUGUCAUCCCUGGAUCGGUAAUGCUGACAUGCACAGUACUUGAAGGAUUUAUAACAGAGUAGCAAUCACACACUUAUUACAUCGAAUGUCUCAAAAGAGAACUUAUUACAAUGAAUAUGGCUUAAGGCCAUCUAUAAACGAUAACAGCGGAAGGCUUGGAAGAUAAAGCGAGUCCAUCAACUCCAAUGGCAUCACUGAGUGAAAGAUCACGACCUAAGGCACCUUACUCGCCGUCUGAAAAGUCUGCAACAUGAAUGUUGCAGUCCAGAAAUAGGUCAGCACAUGGAAUAUGCUGGCAAUGUAACACAUAGAAAGUAAUGAACAGAAAGAUGCUAUCACUACAUGCAAAUUUGGCUGGUGGAAAGCUCUAUGGUUACAGUUUUGCAUAAAGCCAAUUUUUCCUUACACAAAGGAAUAAAUUUUAUUUAACUAUCAUGGUGGUUGUUAAACAUUGAGAAGGUUCCUCCAACUCAAACCCAAUUAAGCAUCAUCAUUAAACCCAAUCAAAAUUAAAUUAAGUAACAUGAUAAUCCAGGAACUAGAUACUCAAAACGUCCAUAACCGGGGACAUGGCUAACCAUGAUUAGUUUGUACACUCUGCAGAGGUUUGUGCACUUUUCCCCACAAGACUCGAAUACAUCCAUGGUCGGAGAAACGAGACACAGUCUUUCUGAAACAAUAACUCUUUACUCUGGGUGGACAGUUACACCUACUUUCCCCUACAUCUGCUAGCCCAUCACUCAAAGAGGUCUUGCAACGUACUCAACUAUGCUAGAGCCCAUAAUAGCUUGUGGCUGCACUCGGAAGUUUCUAGCAUGAAUAAUCUUAUGAUCCCUUUGAGCCUGGGUGGCGGUCCAUAGGAGAAUCACACGGUACCCCGGGAUUUCCAAAAAUACAAGCAACACUGGGUUCCCCAGGUGCCUCAAUCCACCCAGAUGUGAAUUAAAGUAGACACCUUAAGUUAACCAUUAAUUAACAACACUCACAUCUGUUAUGGAUACACUCACCCAAUCCACAUCUACAAGCAUAGCAUAGCAAUAUAAGCAACGUAGAAGUAACUCCCAAAGGUUUGAUAACUAAACAGGACAAUAGGUACUACCUCAUCUACUUCCCAAAACCCACAUAUUAAUCAGAUCCUAACCAUGCAAUUGUUUGAGGAUUGAUCUAAUGCAAUAAAACUGCGUAGUAAAGAGGUAUGAUCAAAGUGUUACUUGCCUUGCUGAUGAUCCGUGAAACCUAGAGACUCAUAGUAGCACGCUUCGCACUCCGGAUACUCUAUUGCAAACAAACAAGCUGUAACAUCCCAAAAUUCUAAAUUUUGGAAUGUUAUAAUAAAUAGAUAGAUUUGAUUUAUUGUUUGAUUGAUUGAGUGAAAUUCGAAACUUUUUUAAAGUUAAAUGAGAGGGAAUAAAAGGACUUUCCCAAACUUUCAUUUUCUUUUCUGAUCUUCAUGAAUUCAAAUUCUUUUCAAAUACAAAACCCUUGAGCGAAGAUGAUAUGACUUCUUCCAUUUAAUUAAAUGAAAGGGUAUUUGAAAAUAUUUGAAUUUCAUUUGGAAAUAUUUAGAUUCUUAAACUUCAUGCAACUCAAUGAUUUUCAUGAGAGAAGAUAAAAUGACUUCUUCAAAUUAUAUGAAAUAUGAGUUGGGAGUUUUAAAAGAAUUAAAUACAAAGUUCUUUUGAAUUUAUUUUCAAUUUGGAGUUAUUUGAGUUUUAUUCAAAUUCUUUUUCUCCAAAAAUAAAAUAUAUGGAAAAUAGGGUAACAUGAUUCCCUACAUCAGAAAAUUGGAGAGAAAUAAAUUUGAAUUUAUUUUGGUAUUUUUAAAAUGAUUUUUACUGGAUUUUACUAGAGCAGAAGCACUCUUUGUCUUUUUUGAAUUUGUUUGUAUUUUAUUUGACUUUGAAAAAAUGUUCAUUUCGUAGAAAAUCUUUUUCUGAAAAUUUUGAUAUAUAAUAUGCCUAUAUUAUAUUUCUGUUUUUAUCUAUUUUGUUUAUUUCUUUGACUGUCUGUUUAAAAAAACAAAAAGAAAAAAAACUCCCCUCCGCCGAACUGGGCCGGCCCAGCUCCUCAGCCAGGCCCAGCCCAGGUCGCCAACCGCCUCCGUCUUCGAGCUCGGGACGAAGUCCCGAGCGUGGCCGACUCCGCCGCCGCCGCUGAGUCCUGGCCGGGCACGCCUCCCCUUGCCCCUCCUCCACGCCUCCCGCCUUUAUAAGCGCGCCCCGGACUCCCCGGCCCCCCUUUUCUCUCUCCUCGCCACUGCCGCAGAUCGCCGCGCCGCCGCUGUCGCAGAUCGAUGCCGCCGCCGCUGCUGCAUCUCACCGCCGCCGCCUGCAUCCCGCCCCGCGCGGCACGCCACCGCCGCCCUCCCCCGCGUUGCCGCCGCCUCGUUCACGCCACUGCCACGCCACCGCCGCCCGUCGCCGGAGUAGCUGAGCCGCCGCCGCCGGAGUUUUCCCUCGAACCGGUAUAAACCGAUUUAACCCGCCCCGGUUUUUGUGGUUUUUGGUUUUAUUCUUUAGAGCGGUUUAUUAUGUAGGUUUUAUUAUUUAGAGAGCGUUCGUUAGUUUAGGCUCUGGAGCGAAUGAGUUUCGUUGGUUAGCGUUCGGUAACGAACGUUCACUUUUUAAUUUUUCCUUUUUCUGUUAUUUUCGGCCAGGGACUCAUCUGUGAGUAAUUUUAUUUACAGUUUAGUCCCUGAUCUUCUUUUUAGCACAACUUCUUGCUCGUUUAUCCAAAUCCAACGAAACCAACGCCCGCUUCUUUGUUAUGAUCCCCUCUAUCCAGUAAUCCAACUCAAACAUGUUUUUGAAAGUUUAAAAUUUGAAUUAGAUCAGAUUUGAAUUUGAACUUCGUUUGAUCAUAACUUGAGUUUCGUAACUCCAAUUUAGUUGAUUCUUUUUGCAAAUCAAAGCUCUUGACCUAAACUUUCUGAUAAGGCCAAAUUCACAUGAUUUUGGUACUGUUAGAAAUUGUUUUAUGUUGCAAGAGUUAUUUGCUUGGUUUUGAUGUUUUCCGAAUUGUACCCUUCGUUCUUUCCGAUCUUUUGAGUGAUUGCUUAUGUGUGGUUACAAUUGCUUGCUCAUGAUAGAUUGACCGGAGUGUGACGCGUAGAAUUAUCAAGAGUUUUGAGUGUGAAUCAUCUUCAUCAGCAGUACAGGCAAGUUCACACUUUGAUCAUAUCCCUUUCAUACCCAGUUUUCAUUGCAUUAGUUCGAUCCUCAAACAUUGCAUGAUUAGGAUGUCUUCAAUAUGUGGGUUGGGAAGUAGUUGCUGAGGUAGAACCUAUUGCCCUGUUUCAUAUCAAACCCUUGGGAGUUACUUCUACGCGUUGCUUAUAUUGCCAUGCUAUGCUCGUAGACGUGGAUUGGGUUUGAGUGUUUCCAUGACAGAUGUGAGAUUUUAAUUAAUGGUUUACUUAAGGUGGCAACUUAAAUACACAUCUGGGUGGAUUGAGGCACCUGGGGUAUCCAGUGAUUGCCUGUUUUUUUGGAAAUCCCGGGGUUACCGUGUGAUUUUCCUAUGGACCGCCACCCAGGCUCAAAGGGAACUGAGAUUAUUCAUGCUAGAAACUUCCGUGUGCAGUCACAAGCUAUUAUGGGCUCUAGCAUAGUUGAGUAAGUUACGUGAAGCUCUUGAAGAGGUAGAUCAGCAGGUAGUGGGUUUUGUAGGUUUGGUAUGGUCUACCCGGAGUAGAGAGUUAAUGUUUCUGAAAAAUUGUGUCUCGGUCAUCCGUUUCUCAAACACCAUGUAGUGCGAGAAAUCCAACGGAGGCGAUCGAGUCUUGUGGGGAAAAGUGUGCAAACCUCUGCAGAGUGUAUAAUCUAAUCAUGGUUAGCCGUGUCCCCGGUUAUGGACAAUCUUGAGUAUCUAGUACUUGGAGUAUCUUAAGUAUCUCAUCAUAUUACUUAAAUUAAUUUGCUGGGUUAAUGAUUACUUUUAAUUGGUAUUGAGAGGGGGUUUACCUUCUCAAUGUUUUCAACAAACUUUGUAGUUAAAUAAAAUAUAUUCCUUUGUAGUAGGGAAAAAUUGGCUUUUCACAAAAACAUUAUAAACUUAGAGCUUUCCACCAGCCAAAUAUGCAUGUAGUGAUAACUAUUGUUCAUCAUUAUCCUAUGGUGUGAAUUUGCCAGUACAUUCAAUGUACUGACCCUCUGUGGCUGCAACGUCUCAUGUUGCAGGAAUCUUACGACGAGUAAGUGAUACGUUAGGGUUACGAUUUCUACACUCAACUUUGCCGUUGGUGUUGAUGGGAAUCCACAACCUUGUUACUUACGCUAUUUUGGAUUGAGGUAAUAGUAUUUACGUUACUUUAUACAUGUGAUUUACCUCUGUUAUAAAUCCUCGAGUGCUGUGUGUGUCAGCAUACUGAUCCAGGGAUGACACUUAAGCACAGAGACUUGAUCCAUUCGGGUCGGGUCGCUACACAAGCAUACAAUAAGCACUCAACUAGAAGCACGGGUAAAACUAAAAUAAGAGAUCUUAACCAGAAAGUACAACUUAAGAACUCCGGUUUGCAAAAAGAAUCAAACCGAACGAAACAACGAAACUCAAAUUGCGGAAGAAACAAGCUUCGUUUACUAAUCUGGACUUAAGUCAAAUUUUACAGUAGCAAAACCAUGUUUAAAUUGGUUAAACAAAAAUAGGGUUUCGAGACGAAACUCUAGGCAUUUGAAUCGCCUGAUUCCGAUAAACGAGCAAAGAAAAAACUAAAAUGAAAAUCAGGGCAGAAAUCACGAUCGGAAAUAAUCGCGGAAACCUUGGAAAAAGAAAAACUAACGAACAGGCUAACGAACGGACGCUCGCUGUCUGCGGCUAAACGGUGAAACUCGUGCGUUAAAACGAACGAACGAGUGGGCGCUCACUAAGUAAAUAAACCAGAAAAAAAUAAACCAGUCUAAAAAUAAAACCUAGGGCUUCCUAAAAAACCCGAAUGGGUUUUCUCUAGAAAAUCGGCGGCGGCGGGUGGCUACCUCGGCGGGGCUCCGGCGGGGUCCGAUGGGGCGGUGGGGCUCCUGGGCGACGGUGGGGUGGCAGCGGCAGGCGGCGGCGGCGGCGAACGGUGACGCUGGGCGGUGGGGUGGUUCGGGUGGUGGUGGGGGUCGGCGGCGGCGGUAUUUAAGAGGGGGGCGAUGGCUUGGAGGAGGGGGUGCCGGGUCGGGGUCGGCCUCGAGAGGCGUGCCCCUGCCGGACUUGGCGUCGGCGGCGGGGUGGACUCCCUCCUGCGGGGGAAGGCGGCGGCGGCGCGGGCUUGGACCGGCUCGGCUGGGCCUUCGGCCAAGUCGGGCGCGCGGAGAUUUUUUUAAACGUUCCGCCGUAAAUAAAUUCUAGAAAAAUAAAAAAAAUCUAAAAAUGCCAAAACAAAUUUUCAUCGUCUAAAUAAAAUAUUUAGAACAAGAUGAACAUUUUCUUGGCCCUAAAAUGCAAUUUUGAAAUACGUGCAAUUUUUCUAAUUUGAAUAAAAUUGCAAUAAAACCAAAUAAAAUAAAUAAAUUUAUUUUAACAUUUUUCCUCUAAUAUUUCAUUUAUUUUGGAGAAGUCGUUUUAUCCCUCUCAUAUAUUUUUAUUAUAGAAAUAUUAGGAGGAAAAAUAAUCAAAACCAAUCAAUCCCCUUUUUAAAAUUUGAGAAAACUCAAAGAUGAAAAUAACAAAAUCCCCAACUCUCUCCGUAGGUCCUUGACUUGCGUAGAAUUUCUAGGAUCAAGCCAAAAUGCAAUAAAAUAUGAUAUGCAAUGAUGAUCUAAUGUAUAACAUUCCAAAUUAAAAAUUUAGGAUGUUACAAUCACCGUCCCAGCAAGAAACUCGGCCGGUCCCAACAAAAAAUCACCGCCGGUCCCAUCAAAAAACAAACUCGCCAGUCAUGGCUUUUCUCCGCUGUCGGUGGUGCGUAGUAGAAAAUGGCAAUGCUGAUUGUAGAAAAAAAACUAACGCGGUUGCAAAAAAACGAUGCCCGUGGUGCGUGGUAGCAAAACAAAUUGUGGGUUGAACCAAAAAGCGAGCGUGGUUGUGGCAAAAAAUCGACGCCGGCAAUGCGUUGUAGCAAUAAUCUGGUGUGGUUGUAGCAAAACGAGAUGCAGAUUGUAGCAUCACGUACAGUGCUUGUAGUAGGGAAGUGCUGGUCGGAGCAGCGUUGCCGUCCUUGAACCGCCGACGCCGGUGGUGCGUAGUAGCAAAACGAAGUGCCGAUUGUAGCAAAAGCUAGCAUGGUUGUAGCAAAAAAACGACGCCGGCUAUGCCUUGUAUCAGAAUGAGAUGCCGGUUGUAGCAAAUUGCUACGCCAGUUGUAGCGUCUAUGCAUGGGCUUGUAGCAGGGCAGUCCUGGUCGGAGCAAAAAGCUGCCAUCCUCGGCGCUCAAAGCAGGCCGCGUCCACACGUAUUCAUCUACUGACCAGCCCUCCCCUCCCUCCUUGCAGUAUCAAGUUGAUGGGAAGAGAUUCGUCGGGGGGAGGGAAGGGGUAAAGGUGGAUGGGCAUGGGAAAUGGUGGGCUGAGAAGUCAUCCAUGGCUGCAUCGCGCGAGGUAGAAGACAAUGUGUGCGGGGAAAGGAACGAGUGGGCAGGCCCAGAGGGGAAGGGAUAAGGCAAAGGGCACUGAUCUGCGCUGGUGCACCGGCCGAACAAUUCUGUCGGUCGUACAGUGGACGUACGAUACGUUCCAUAAUAGCCGCACGAUUGCUUCUUCCCCCAAUUGCUUCGCUGGUAAAAAAAGAAGAAGUCAUGCCGUCUGUUCAUCCUCACUGCCCUGUGAUCUCCCAUACGCCAGCAAGCUCGCUGGCCGUCCUCGUCCACGACAUUGUCGUCCUCAUCGCAGCCGUCCGCCGCCGUCCCGCCGGCCACCGUCCUUGUCGCAGCCGUCCGCCCUCGUCCUCAUCGACCAUCGUCCUAGUCACCAGCCCCAACCACCACCGGCCGUCCUUGUUGCUUUGCCCCGUGUAACAGCCGCACCCUGCGGUUGAAGCUCUUGUUGAGACUAUUGUAGCACCGGUUGCGAUGACUGAAUCUCGCCGUCAUGCUCUGUCGGAUUUCGGGUUCCGACAGACCCUCAAGGUUCGAACUCUGGGGUGCACGCUGAGAUCACACCUCCCGUCUACCCACGUCUCAUCGCCUCGCAAGGAUCUAACUACACGAAGAACAACACAAGGGACACGGGGUUUAUACUAGUUUGGGCCACCAUUGUGGUGUAAUACCCUACUCCAGUGUGUAGUAUGGUGGAUUGCCUCAGGGGCUGAUGAUGAAUAGUAGAAGGAAGAACAACCUCGCGAGGGUCUGCUCUUGAGUUGGUGCGAUGAAAUGCUAGGGUGAGUUCAGUCACUUCUCUCUCUCUCUCUUUGGUUGAUCUCCCCCUUGCCCAAGAUCUCUCUGUGUCUGGUUCCUCCUCACCUUGGGAGUGUCUAGUCCUAUUUAUAGGCGGAGGCCCUGGGCCUCUUCCCAAAUAUUGAGCGGGAAGGGUGCCAACAAUUGGCCAUUUUGAAGGGGAACAUCUAGUACACUUAUCCUGACUAAAGUCGGUCCUCGCCUGUCAAAGACCCUGACGGUGACGUCGACUUGGGCUCCACGAUGACCUUCAUCCUGCCGUCCUGCUGGUCUUGGUCUUGUUGCACCGAAGUGGUUGCCUUUGCUUGAUACUCUUGCCUGCGCUUGCCCCCUUUGCACCAAAGAGGAAACAAGGACUCUGCGCAGGCCGGCGCCCGCCUGGCCUUGGUCGUCAUGGCUUGCGUCAUUGGCACCUCGUGAGGUACCCCGCCUUGAUCUCUCCACCUCCUCGCGAGCCAGCCUGACGAGGCUGUGCCCGAGGAAGCCUCCUGUCGUCCGCCCCGCGAGGCUUGGCCCCUCGCGAGGGUCUUGAGUAUGUGUUGAUGAAGAUGGGCCGUACUGGGCCACUCCCUGAGCCAUGCUGCAGGCCACAGGCAGGCAAGUCUGGGUACCCCCGUUCCUAGAACGCCGACAGUAGCCCCCGGGCCCAAGGCACGCCCGGACUUGGCUUAGCAGAGAAGCGAAGGGGCAAGUGCGAAGCGCCGUGGGCCCCAUCAGCCUGCGGCCUUGGGCGCCGCGUGGCGGUUGAUUGGACGUGGGCGUCCUGGCUCCCCCAUGACGCCUCGGCAACUGCACGAAUUGACAAGUCCCUGCAUGCAAAACGGGUCAUGAUUACCUGUGAUCGUGGAUGCCGGCGGUUGGCCUCCCCGGGCUAUAUGUAUGGAACGGCGCGGGCCUUUCCAGUCCAUCACUUCCUGCUACUCUCUGUCUUCUUCUUUGUCCUCGCUCCACCCUACGCCAAUGGCACCGAUCCGUCGGUUUUCUGCCGAAGAGAAGGGGAAGGCCCCCCGAGAGGGUCCUGUCCCGCUUCCUCCGAAGAAACGGCUCGUCUCUUACCGCGGAGAAGGGGGUGCUUGGUAGGAGGUGUCAAGGCCAUGGUUUGAGCGGCCGUCGCCUGGAUUCCCAUUGCCCUUGUACGCCCGGAUCGAGGGUCCUGAAGGCGCAGGCGCCGAGCGGCACCGCCAGAGGCACCGUCGCCGCCGGCAGAUCACGGCGGUGCGCGUCGUUCCUCCUGGAGUUCACGCUGAGGGCUCCUCUCGCGAGCUCGUGCUUCACGCCGCCAUGCCUCCUCGGUCUUGGAUUCGCCUCCCUCCUUCCUUCGCCUUCGAGAUCCCGCCGAGGGGGCCUAUCGAGCUUUGGCUGCAGCAUGCUGACUGCAUUACCCCUACGACCGGAGCGGAGGUCGAGGUCAUCGCUCCAGGCAAGGUCUACAUGACCCAUGGCUGGGGCGAGAUCGCCCGGGUCUGCAGGACGGGUGGGCACCCUCGUAAUCCACCUCGAGUACGACGGCGCCUCCUUGAUGUUCUUCAAAGUCUUCGACGCGGAGGGACGCCGGCUGGAGUGCUGCCCUGAGAAAGGCGGCCGGGGCCCUGCCGUGGCGAGGACUAGGCUCGCCAAUCGCUCCCCCAACAGCUCCUCAGGCAGCGGAGGUGUCGGAGGAUCCAGCGACUCCGCCGAGCUCUUCGCGACUCCAAAGACGAGCGAUGACAGCUACGAGCCCCCGAGCUUGCAUCGCUCUCGGAGUAGGGCGGGCUCGUCAGGCCGCCGUCGCCACUGAUCUGUAUGGGGUUGGCGCCAGUGCCUGACGACCCACUGUUGAUGAUGGCGUCUCUUGCGGAGGCACGUGUAGUUAGCGCUCUUUAGGAUUUGCUCCUUUUGUUCCCUGCGAGGAAUCGAAGAACACACCCCGUGGGGGUUUGUAAGGUGCCUGCAGUUCCAUUUGUUAAUAUGAUCCUUAUCAUGAAGCGGUGCGAGAUGCUCGUCCUGCCUUAGCUUAGUUCCUCCUUUCGAACCUCGCGAGGACAUGACGCUCUGCGCCGACAGGUCCCGGUCCCAAGGCAGGCUUCAGCCGUCACUGGUAUGCCAGGUCGCGAUGCCGUGGUCAAGGCCAGGUCGCGAUGCUCAGGAGGUCCCCUUUAGCGCUCAAGCAGCCAUUGUUCAGUGAGAAAGGAGCGCGACGUUGCCAAAACGGGAUUGCAUUAGGUGCGAGGUUGAUGCUGCAAUAGCUAGUAUUUUCGGAGGAUGACUUAUCUCGGGGGUCAGAAGCCACUCCUUGGCGCGGCGCUAGGCCCGCGCAUUGACAACUGAGGAGUUGCCUAGCGAGGUCCCCACGUGCGUCUUCCUCUCGCCUUUGCUCCCCUUCGUGCUCUACGUUCUUAGGUCCCAGCCCUCGAGCGAGAUCAGGCGUCGCUGGUAUGCCAGGUCGCAUGCCGUGGACAAGGCCAGGAGGUGAGGGCUUGAGAGCUAGUAAGAGUCCAUGAGUCGCGAUGCUCAGGUACCCCCCCUUUAACAUGCAAGCGGUUCGCGCAGACGAGAGCGAAGGAGACGCUGCGAAGGCCUCGCCCGACGCUGCUCCUUAAAGUGAUCCUGCGAGUUCAUCACAAGAAAAGCGAGAGUUUGCCGUUAAAAUUGCCGGCCAGCUGCUAGUUGCUCUGGAAGGGUGACGAGGCACUGAAGGCUUGGUGAGGCGGCGCCCUGCGGGGUUGUCGUGGCCAGAGCUCAGCCAUUCAGGUUUGUCGACAUUGCAGGGGCGGACCCAUGCGCAAGCAUCGUGCCAUUAAGGAGCAGCUCCAUCAGUUGGUGUCAAUCGAGCGGGCGAUUAAGUCAAGCACAUUAAUCAUGAAGGAGCAAAUCCAUUUAGAUAGGUGCAGAAAAAGGCGAACACCGCUGGGUCGGGCCCGAGCGGCUUUGGGGAUGAUGCAGCCCGAGGGGCGCCCCCGAUAAAGUAAACUAAAAAUAUGAACCGAAGGGAUACAUGCCGCAGGGACGGACCCGUGCGGCCAGGGAAUGAUGCAGCCCUGGGAGGCGCUCCCAGCUGAAAAUGAAACUCGAAGGAUGUCACCUGAUGAUUUUGAAGAUGAAGGGAUGCUGAAGUAGCGAACGGCGUGCGCUGCGGAAGCCGAUCUUCACGAGCCCCCAGGCCCAGGAGCCUCAAGAGGCUCCGGAGGCGCUGGCGGCUCCUCGCGGACCAUCUCCAUCUCCGCCAGGACUGUGGAAUGCCUAGCCGCUUGAGCCUCCAAGAUGCUCCUCGCGAGGUGCUGACGCACAGCAGCCGCGUUUGGCAGGCCAUAAGGCAUGCGAACAUAGUUGUGGGGUGGACCUUCGUAGCGUCCCACGCGUGAGGGCCAGAGGCGCUCCUGAGAGGCGGCUCGGUUGAGUCCUGGUAUGUCGAUGCAGACGCGCAGCCCACCAUCCUCGCCUGGAUGGGGAGCUACGGCGGGUAAGCGGCGGCUGCCACUCAUGACUCUUGACUCCUGCAGCUCCUGAAUGAUCUCGUUGACGAACUCCUGAGGUUUUUGCCCUCCUUGUCUUGCUCCUUCCUGAAGGAAACGUGCUUUGAAGCACGCCUCCAAGUGGUGCCCGAGCGCCUCCCUCAUGAUCCUAGCAAAGUCGACGGCCCUCCAGGAGAGAGCCCCCAAGCCUUGCUCGAGGAGGGCGUCAGGCGCGCCUUCCUAUGUGACAGAUGGAGGCACCCCCUGAACAGGCGCGGACCCUGAGGGGCCUGCCUCCCGAGGGGUCGGACCAGCCGAUGUCUUCUUCUUCUUAGGGGCAGCCUCGGGAAGCCUUCCGCUCCUGUGAUCUGGGUCUUCAAUUGACGCGGCUUGGAAAGCACGUUCCAGAGAACACACAUCGUCUCUCUCUUCACAAGGCACCGUGAUGACUCCACCGCUUCCUGGCAUCUUGAGGACAUUGUAGCCGUGAUGAGUCACGGCCAUGAACUUGGCCAGGGCUAGGUACCCGAGGAUGGCACUGUACGGCAGGCGAAUGUGAGCGACGUCGAAGUCAAUGAGCUCGAUGUGGUAGUUGUCGCGCUUCCUGAAGGUAACAGGCAGGCGGACCUGCCCUAUCGGAACCGUGGAACCAUCAGUGACUCCUGAGAAAGGUUUGGUUGGCUGCAGCUGAUUGUAUGGCACUUGGAGAUUGUUGAACGUCUCGACGGAUAGGACAUUGAGCCCUGCUCCGCCAUCGAUGAGGGUCCUGGUGACUUGCACAUUGCUGAUGAUUGGGGAACAAAGCAUCGGGAGGACUCCGGCUGUGGUCGCGCACUUGAGUUGAUCCGCUGAGCUGAACGUGAUGGUGCAUGCUGACCACCUGAGAGGGCGUGUGGCCUCAAGCUUGGGGAGGACUGCAUUCACUUCGCGAGCAAACUGCUUGAAGAUGUGCUGAGUGGUCGGGGCUUGAGCGCCGCCCAAGAUGCAAGCGAUUGCGCGCGGCUCCUGGAAGCCUCCGGCCCCCUCAUCCUGAUGAUGGUCUUCAUUCCUCCUCGGCUGUGGUGGCAGAGGAGGAAGGCCCGUGUUGCCUUGUGGGCGAUCCUCGCGAGGCUGAUCCCUCCAGCCUCCCUCGCGAGGCGGGUCCCUCCAACCUCCCUCACGAGGCUGGUCCUGCCAGCGGUCCUCGCGAGGUCGGUCACGCCACCCUUGGCGAGGGCCACGGUCUUCCCAUCGUCCUCCACCUCUUUCUCCUCCUCGGCCAUAGCCCCGGUCGCUGCGCUCAGGGCGUCGCCGGCACGCACGUCCCGCACGGCCCUGAGCUCUUGGCAUUCGUUGGUGUUGUGGGUGUGGAGGUCGUGGUACACGCAGUACCGGCUGCCCUUGGAUGACUCAGGCUGAUUCCUGCCUCGCUUGGUGUCCGGCUCUGCUGCAAGCACGGCAGCCCCCUUGCGCUUCACGUCCUUGACCUUGGGAUUCUUCUCUUCUGGGUCGACAGCUGGCAGCUCAAGGAGGGAAAGGCGCCCUUCCUCAGCCCUAGCGCACUUGGUCGCCAAAUUGAACAGCUCCAGGGAGGUGCACAGGUCCUCAUGGAUCGCAAGCUCCUCCUUCAUCUUGACGUCACGCACGCCGUCGGAGAAGGCUGAGAUGAUGGCCUCCUCAGACACCUUGGGGAUCUUAAGGCGAGCGUUGUUGAAACGCUAGAUGAACUUGUGCAGGGUCUCUCCUGGCUGCUGCUUGAUGCGGCACAAGUCACUCAUAGUCGGGGGCCGGUCGCGGGUAACUUGGAAGUUGGCGAUGAAUCGGGUGCGCAUCUCUUUCCAGGAGGAGAUCGUGCGAGGAGCCAGGUUCAGGAGCCAGGUGCAGGCACCGUCCUUGAGCGCCAUGGGAACCAGUUCGCCAUGACCUUCUCAUCCCCGUUGGCGACUUCGAUGCCCAACUCAUAGAGCUGGAGGAACUCCGUAGGGUCAACCAUGCCAUCGUAGCGCGGGGGCAGAUCUGGCUUGAACUUGCCCGGCCAGGCCACGCUGCGCAGCUCGGCGGUGAAGGCACGGCAGCCUGCAAUGGCCGUGGGAGGCCUUUAGUGAUGGAGAGCUUGAUCUUGGAAGUCUCUAUGCGCUGCCGCCAGGAGCAGUGCGGGGUCUUGGCGCGCUGGAGCAGGAGCGCGUUCGUGCCGGGCCGGUGCGGGGAGCACACGAGCAGCUUCUUGGGGACGAGGGAUCUCUUGGCAACUCUUCUCUUGUUGUGCUGGCGCCGGACGGAGUGGGUUCCGCCCAGGGGCCACGCGUCUUGGGGCCAAGGUGCCUUCUUGAGGGGGAGGCGGUUGAGGCGCCCCCGGAGCUUCGUCGCCCGCGCAGGGCGGGGUGCGAUGCAGCGAGAGGGAUGGCGCAGGGGAGCCCCCAGCGACGCUGACGAGCUCGGUGAUGCAGGCGAGCCACUCGUCGUAGAGGUCGUCGACAGGACGGUAGUGCAAGAGCUCCCGCGCCAGGAGCAGCACGGCGUGCGCAUCCGCAGGAGCGCGGCGGGCGUGGGACGAGGAAACGGCUGGAGUCAGCGACGGGGUGGCGGUGCGGCCUUCUCGCCUCACCGAAGGGUGCAAGGACGACGCCUGCUGCUCAUUCCCCGCCGGGCCGGUGGCGGCGUUGACGGCAGGCGACGGGGAACGGCGGGGGCGCCCACCGACAGGGGCCGUCUGGGCGACGCGAGUGGCGAGAGCGGCCCGGCGCUCGGCGCGGGCUCGACGAGCGUCUGACAUGGAUGCGACGGGCGGCGAAACACGAGGCGACGGAAGGCGGAUUCCGGCGCACUCCUACCUGGCGCGCCAAAUGUCGGAUUUCGGGUUCCGGCAGACCCUCAAGGUUCGAACUCUGGGGUGCACGCGGAGAUCACACCUCCCGCCUACCCACGUCUCGUCGCCUCGCAAGGAUCUAACUACACGAAGAACAACACAAGGGACACGAGGUUUAUACUGGUUCGGGCUACCAUUGUGGUGUAAUACCCUACUCCAGUGUGUGGUAUGGUGGAUUGCCUCAGGGGCUGAUGAUGAAUAGUAGAAGGAAGAACAGCCUCGCGAGGGUCUGCUCUUGAGCUGGUGCGAUGAACUGCUAGGGUGAGUUCAGUCGCAUCUCUCUCUCUCUCUCUGGUUGAUCUCUCCCUUACCCAAGAUCUCUCUGUGUCUGGUUCCUCCUCACCUUGGGGGUGGCUAGUCCUAUUUAUAGGCGGAGGCCCUGGGCCUCUUCCCAAAUAUUGAGCGGGAAGGGUGCCAACAAUUGGCCAUUUUAAAGGAGAACAUCUAGUACACUUAUCCUGACUAAAGUCGGUCCUCGCCUGUCAAAGACCCUGACGGUGACGUCGACUUGGGCUCCACGAUGACCUUCAUCCUGCCGUCUUGCUGGUCUUGGUCUUGUUGCACCGAAAUGGUUGCUUUUGCUUGAUACUCUUGCCUGCGCUUGCCCCCUUUGCACCAAAGAGGAAACAAGGACUCUGCGCAGGCCGGCGCCCGCCUGGCCUCGGUCAUCAUGACUUGCGUCAUGGGCACCUCGUGAGGUACCCCGCCUUGAUCUCUCCGCCUCCUUGCGAGCCAGCCUGACGAGGCUGUGCCCGAGGAAGCCUCCUGUCGUCCGCCCCGCGAGGCUUGGCCCCUCGCGAGAGUCUUGAGUAUGUGUUGAUGAAGAUGGGCCGUACUGGGCCACUCCCUGAGCCACGCCGCAGGCCGCAGGCAGGUAAGUCUGGGUACCCCGUUCCCAGAACACCGACAUGCUCGCCGCCGCUCAUCCCCGGUGUGCAGCUUGCAACAAGAAAUUGAGCACGGGGGAAGAUGCCCAGUGCUACAACCAACUACCAAAAAAGCUACAACUAGCGAUAGGAAAAGCUUCAACCGGCUAUGAAAAAAGCUUCAACCAGUAUACGACUGGAGCUAUGGAUGACCAAGAAAAGUUACAACCGGUGACAGAAAAAGCUUCAUCUAGCGAUGAAAAAAGCUUCAUCCAACUAUAAAAUAAGUUUCAACCGUGAAAACGAAGCCAUGGACGAAAAACAAAAAGUUGCAACCCAGUUAUAAAAGUUACAACCACGUUGAAAAAAGCUUCAAACUUCUUAUCUCAGCUGCGACCCCCUGCGAUGACGAUAACGCCGUUUUGUUGCAACCGUAGUAGAUUUUUGCUACCACCGGCGAUUGAAUUUGCUACAACCGUCUCCAGCAAAAAUUCGCCGCGGGGGUGUAGUCUGCCAUGGCUGGUUGCGGCUCCGGCGUGGCCGGGUCCGGCGAGGUAGGCAGAGCUCCGAUGCAUGCGGAUCCGCAGGGAUCUAGUCGAGGGCGGCCAUAUCGGCUGAUUACCAUGAUGGCGGCGCCCCUAGGAGGCCUCCGGCGCGGGCGACGGGUUGACCAUGGCAACGGGGAGAGAGAAGAGAGAGAUGACCGAGAGGAAGAAGAGAAAAGGCAGGAGGGAGAAGACGCACGUGGGCAGCCCCUAUCCUACGUGUCGCUAGGCGAGUCACUAGGCGCGUUUGCGUGUGGACGCGACCGGCUGAAACUUCAGCCGGUGUGCCGUUGCCAAACUUUUCCGACGGAUGCUUCAGAUCCAACGCCUCGCAUGUGACCGGCGCUGGGUUCGGCCGGCGCGCCGAACCCAAACGUUUCCCUUAAAAAAAGCCAUUCACCCCACCACCAGCACGACCGGUCCAUCCCUGGGCGCUCCGCUCCCACCGUGAUCCACCAACGGUCGUUGCCGAUGCACCACUCCCGGCUCCUCUCUCAUCUCUUCUUCCCCACGCCCCAUUCUCUUGCUCGAGCUCCUCGCCGAUUUUACCGAUCAUUGUCCUCUGAUCUAGGGUUCGCUGCUGCCGGUCGCCAUUCACCUGUGCCUCCGGAGGAAACGGCUCCCUGGACCUUAUCCUUCUUCAAAUUCUACCUCUACCGAUGAGGAACGCCUCGAUGGCUGUCUCUUCCGUUUCUCCUUUCUCUCCCUCCUUGCAAUACACCGGCCAUGAUUCAAGGAAGGAGAAGGGACGGGGCUAGAGCCACCAUAUCAAGAGGUACCUGCCGGCGGGCUGGACCAUGUUUUGCUUCCUGUUGUCUUCUCUCUUUUGGGAUUUCUCAUCUUUGUUUCUUUUUUUGUUACAGGUAGAGUGAAGGAGCCACGCUUGACAACUUGGCGUGAGCUACUUUGGUCCAGCGGCUACCAAUGUUCCUUUUUUACUUCAGAAUUAUAAAAUCAUGUUGCCUUUCUAGAAUAAGAUGGAGAAAGGUCCAAACAAUCUUUCAAGGUAUAUUUACUCUUGUCGUUUCUCUCUGUAGCUGGAAAUUGCUCUUUUGGGAUCUGUUCUAUGGCUACCUAUUAUCAAGCCAGUAGAAUGGGGUGGGUUAGAUGUGAUUAUUUUCAGGGGAUUGAAAUUGAAGGAGAGACAUCUGUUCCACAUCAGUUGGACAAUAAAUAUGCAUCACUUGAUAUCAUUGUGAUUUUGCACCUCACCAUCUUUUUGAAAUAAAGUUUAAUUUAAUCAAGUUCAACUCUAUCAUCCACAACUAACACAUGUUCCAUAUUUAGUUGUCUGCUUAAAUCCGAUUCCUUUUUCUGGUAGGUGCAAAAAUAGUAUGAUAUCCCUACUGAUAUGUAUGAAUAUACAGAUGAAACACGUAUUUACAUGUUUAGUUUUUCCAGAUUUUUCACACUCGAUGGAAACUGGAAGCAUCACUCUCCUUGGCUGAAAUCACAGUGGUCAGAUUAUAGAUCACAAGCUGUAGACGAAUUGUUUCUUCUGAUUUCCCAAUCUUCAGGUUAUGGGUCAUUUCCCCUUUGCAAGAAUUAAUUUGUGUGGCUCCAUUUUUGUUAUACUAAAAAAAGAUAAAUGGAGUGAUAUUCUUAUACUAUAGAACUUCUAGAGUGAACAAAGAUAAAAGGAGUGAUAUUCUUAUACUACAAAACCUCUUAUAUACUCCAUUUUGGUUAUGCUGGCCUCACUUAAUUGCUUUGCAGAUUGAACUGACCAAUCCGUGUGAUUGAGGAAUCCUUGUGGAGAAAAAGAAUUCAAGGAACUCCGCAGCUCCGAAUACAGAGGUGAGAAAUCGAAUCAAUCGAGCAGCGCUCUGGUGAUCUAUUCAUCUACAUGUUCUGAUCUGCAUGUAUUCCCUGUUUUUCCUCUGCUGGUUCAGCUUUGUUAAACUUAUAGCAGAUAUAAAAUACCUGUAUAUAUAUGCUUAGAACAAGCAAAAUUAGAACUCUCUAUCUUGAGUUGUCAGUUUGAUUUACAUACACAUGUCACUAGAGACUAGACUAUGCAUAAUCAAGCAGAAUGUUUAUGUGUGUUGCCAGUAACAAAUUGUAUCAAAUCUUGUGUUAAAACAAUGCUAUCAAAUUAACUUUCCAACCAGGAUUUCAAGAAAAAAAAUUGUGUGCUGGAUCAAGAAAGGGAACAUGGUAAGGAGUGGGCCUACAAGAGUUUCUCUGUUCUUAUUGGUUGCCAUAUGCAGCUUGCGGGUCUCAACUUAAUAAAUACAUCAACCGUGUACAGAAGGAAAAACUCAUUACAUGAAUUCUAAGUAGGUAUUUUCAGUCUUUCGCAAUGUAAUUUAUUUAUUUUUCUCUCAUAAUAUGUUAGGUUCGACAUUGGAAAAUAUUUGGCUUGAAUGGAAUUGAUUUAAAUCUUGAAAGACUUCGAUUGAGACCCAUGUUUAUGUGUGUUGCCAGCCAACUGUGGAAACUGAAAGUAGAGACAUAAUUCACAUAAUAAGUAACAACUUCCGAUCCAAGUUUAACAACCGCAGCUCCAUUCUAGAUUGAUGUUAAGUUCUGAAGUGUCGCUCUCCAGAUUUCUGUCUGUUUCCCUUUUAUUUACCGCAAUCUGCACUGUAAUGGCUAUAUAUAGAAUCACUAGAUUCAAGCCGAGUGAGGCAUCUACUUUGUUGUAAUUGGGCUUCCCUAGCAUCCAAUAUCAUGGUCCUGGCAACACUUUUCUCUGGGAGCAAUACAAACCCUGGGAGGCUCAUCUGAACCUUGAGUCGUUUCUCUGAAAUUUAUGAACUUUGCUUGCUGAAACCUCUGAACAUUUCUGGAGUCUGUCACCUGAUUGAUUCUUCACUUGGCAAAGCAGCAAGAGGGACAUUGGCUGAUGCUAGAAUGAAAAGAAUUUGUACUUGUAAUAAGACGACAUUUCUGUUUAUGUAAAAUGGAGUUGCUUCCCAGUACCUUUGCAGAUAGGUAGAGGUGUCCUGAAUUUAGGCUCUGCAUAUUCCUUCUUAUCUUCUACUCCCUCCAUUCCAAAAUUCUUGUCUUAGAUUUGUCUAGAUACGGAUGUAUCAAGUCACGUUUUAGUAUUAGAUACAUCCGUAUCUAGACAAAUCUAAGACAAGAAUUUUGGGACGGAGAGUAUCUGUUUUGUUAUUCCUAGUACUGGUUCAUUCAUCUUUUUGUCCCACUGCUUAUAUUUAUCCUCUGGGCAAUUUAUUUUUCUAAACUUAUAUAUUUCGUUCAACACUUUUAGUGUUAUACCAUACUUGGAGGUUUAUUAAUGGUCGCCUUUUAAUCCUUCUAGGUUCCGUCCCAAGGAUCUGUUUGUUCUAACAUUGCAUUUCAUCUAUCAUUAUUUUCAAACAGAUGCACCAAGAGGCAAAAAUUUAAAUAUCAUUAUGUAAAAUAUGUACUGUAGCUCCAUUUCAUCAUAUAUUUUAAAUCGUUAACCAAAGUCAUCAUCUAAUUCCCAGCCCAUCAUUUUUAGUAUGUAUGUCAACUCAUGUAUAAAAUAUAAAAGCCCGCAAAAUUGCUACAGUGGGUAAAUUUUGAGUUUAAGUGUGGCCAUAUAUGUUAGAAAUCUGAGACUAAUUCCAUUUAGUUAAGGUCAUUCAAAUGUUCUUCAUGCAUACAAACUGUGAUCUUUAAUACUCAAUAGGAUGAAAUUUUGAACUGUAGAUGUACCUGGUGCACCAAAGAUCGUGGUGGUUUCAAAGUGGUAUUGAUUUGGCUCCUUCCUAUCUCAUUCAAAAGGAUGGUGUCAAGCUUUCUAUCUGAGCCCUCUUUGAGGUAUGCGACAUCACACCAAAUUGUCUUAUGCGAGCAGGAGCUAGAAUCAUACUGCCAUUUUUAAAAAUUCUUUUGAGAAUCAGUUGACUGAAUAAUUGUUACACCUGCACCAUGAUGUGCUGAUAAAAUUUGGAUAGUCAAUCAAAUUUCCAGUGAUGAUGCCCUAGCUGAUCAUGCUUCUUUACCACAAUUAUUUUCCUGGCAGUAGUUGUGCAUGCAGUACAUGUUUUCAGUUGAGCGGGCCCUCUUUUAGUUAGAGAUCAAAAUUCAAGCCUGACAUGGCAUAUGAAUGCUCCUAGUUUAGCAAAAGCCAUGAUCUUUCCAACUUUGAGAGUUGAAGGAAAUCUCCCGAUAAAAAAUUGAAGAAUUCAUAUAGCACAGUACAGGGUGAGCGUCCACAUGACAGUACUAAAGUUGUUUUUAUCAUAUGGAAGUUCAUAAGUUGUGAUUAAGAAUAAAAAUGCAAAGUUUCAAAAACUUAUGUUUCCAGCAUGAUGGCUCCCCUGUUUUAUGGUAAUCUUUUUCAAAUAUUCUGAUCAUGGUCCUCUAAGCAUUCCUGGUUUGUCACUUGAGCCUGAGCCGUGGGUCGCAGAUCCAACCAACAUUGAUGAAAUCCAUAAAAGAAAAGCUUAGCUAACUCUUCAUAACAAAUGGACUGAGUUAGUGUGCGCACUCACCGGCCGGUGCUUCUCAUAGUUUUUUUAACAUGCUAUAGCAGCUAUACAAUAUCAGAUUUAUGGAAACAUAUUUCAAAAUUGGUAAUUAGUGUGUUCUAUUUUCCUUUCCUUGGAUAUUUCUUAUUAUGUUUUAGAAUUAUUAUUUUUCGUCUGCACUUUCAAGUAUUUAUGCCUGGGGUCUUUACCGGAGAAGGCUUUCGCCUCGCUUUAUAUAUAAAGCAAACCGCCCAAGGCACACAUCCAACAAGGUUCAACACAAACACACACACACACACUCACACACAGAGGUCUCACGAACACACAGAGUAGUCAUAAGGGUCAAUGCUGAGGGCACAACACAACAAGCCUUGAGAACAAAACACACACUCAACACAGCAACCCGAGCAACAUCUAGUCGGGCUCCGGUGGAGGGGGCGGAAGCGGGGGCGCCACGCGGAAGGCCAUCGAUCAAAGGUCGGCGAGGAGGUUGUUGAUGGCGUCCCGGUCCUGGGGGCGGCUAAGCGGCCGCCAAAGCUGCAAGUAGCCACACAUUUUAAAGAUUGCAUCAGUCGCACGUCGAAGAGGCACUUUCUGAAUAACAAGCUUGUUGCGGAUGGUCCAAAGCAUCCAGGCGAGGACCCCAACGCACAACCAUCUAAUAUGGUGGAAGCGAGGGGAGGAGGCGUGGAUCUCCGCAAGUAAGUCGGGGAAGUUGGUGUUGCCCCACUGUCCACCAACUGUCUCGCGGAAGCAGGACCACAGGAACUGGACAGUGGAGCAAGAGAAAAAGAUGUGGUUAGCAUCCUCCACCGUGCCGCACAGGGGGCACAUCCCAUCUCCUGGCCCAUUACGAGGACCUCAACCCCAGAAGGGAGACGUCCACGGAUCCACUGCCACAGGAAGAUCCUGAUCUUCAGAGGUAAGUGAAUGUCCCAGAUCAGGCUAAAGAGCUCAGGGGCUGACGAGGGGGCGAUGGCAGCGUAUAAGGACUUAGUGGAGAAGCGGCCAGAGGGCUCCAGACGCCAAGAGAAGGAGUCAGGGGUACCCUCGACAUCCAUCGGAAGAAGGGCGAUGUCCUGGAGGAGGGAGUCCCAAGCGGCUACCUCAGGGGGGCCGAAGGGGCGCCGGAAAGCGAGCCGCCCUAAGUCAAUAAGGGCCGUCUCGACAGAGACCCGAAGGUCAACCGCAAUGGCGAAAAGUUCCGGGAAUCGAGCAGCCAGGGGGGAAUCCCCUAACCAACGAUCGAACCAGAACAGGUUGAGGACCCGGAGCCAACCGAGAUGGACGUCCCGAUAGGGAGAACGGGAAGGAGCUGAAUAACAGCCCUAUCAGAACUGGGAGCCACCAGAGCGCUGACAGAAGGCUAGAGGUUGGCCCCUGAGGUACUUAUUUUGGAUGAUGGUAAGCCAGAGUCCUCCCUCCCCAUUGGCGAUACGCCAAAGCCACCGGGUCAGGAGGGCAAUGUUCAUGCGCCAAGAAGACAAGAUCCCAAGACCACCUUGGUCCUUGGGAUUGCAAAUGUCUAGCCAGCUCACCAUAUGGUACUUCUGCUUGUCACCCUCGCCCGCCCAGAAAAACCUAGACUGGUAUUUGGUGAUCUCCUGAUGGAGAGUCUCAUGGAGGCUGUAGAAGCUCAUGAGAAACCAGAGUAGGCUGGCCAGCGAGGAGUUGAUGAGGAUUACCCGGUCCGCUUUCGAGAGCCACCUCCCCCUCCAGGGCUCAACCCAGUGCUGCAUCCGGGUCACAGACGAGCGGAGGUCAGUCACUAAUGGGUAUCCCCAAGUAAGUCGUGGGGAAGGUACCCAGGCGGCAGUUCAGCCGGUCAACAAUGGACUGUGCCUCCUCCGGAGGAUAGCCAAGGAUCAUCACUUCGCUCUUAUCGAAGUUGAUAGUGAGCCCAGACAUCUGCUGGAAGCAAAGGAGGAGGAACUUCAGGUUCGCUAUGUCGGACGCGGAGCCCUCCACCAUUAUUAUGGUAUCGUCUGCAUAUUGUAGGAGGGAAACCCCUCCCCCUCCUACCAGAUGAGGGACUAAGCCGUGGAUAAGGCCAAAGUUUUGGCCUUAUGUUUUGGCCUUAUCCAGGAUGACAGCAAGGGCAUCGACCACCAUGUUGAACAGAAACGGGGAGAACGGGUCACCCUGGCGAACCCCACAGAGAGUGGGGAAGUAUGACCCGAUCUCACCGUUAAUGUUAACCGCGGUCCGACCGCAGGAGACGAGCUGCAUAACUCUGGUCACCCACCGGUCAUCGAAACCCUUACGGAGCAAUACUUCUCGAAGGAAGGGCCAGUGAACCGUAUCAUAGGCUUUAUGGAAGUCAAGCUUCAGGAAGACCGCACGAUGGUGCUUGGACCGGACUUCAUGAAGAACUUCGUGGAAGACCAAAACCCCAUCCAAAAUAUAUCGGCCUUGGAUGAAGGCGGAUUGGCUGGGGUGGGUGAUGGAGUCAGCAAGAAGGGUCACCCUAUUGGCGUACCCUUUACCCAGAAUCCGGAAUAUCACAUUGAUCACAGUGAUAGGGCGGAACUGGCGGAUGUCAGAGGCGCCCGAAACUUUGGGGAUGAGCGUGAUGACCCCAUAGUUUAGGCGCCCAAGGUCCAUGGUCCCCGAGAAGAAUUCGUCGAAGAGGGCCAUGACCUCCGGUUUGAUGGUUUGCCAGAACGUUUUGAAAAACGUUACUAGUAAUCCAUCCGGACCCGGGGCCGAGGAGGGGUUCAUACCCUUGAUCGCCGCGAGGACCUCGUCCUCCGAGAACGGUGCCACCAAGGCAGCGUUAGUCUCGUCGGACACUAACUGGCCCACCGACCAAGUAUCGAGGGCCAGUGCAGCCCCACCCCGAGCAGGGCCGGUCCUGCGAUUUUGGGGGCCCGGGGCGAAGCAGAAAAUCAGGGGCCCCUAAUAUAAAGGUCACACAAUAAUAAGGCAUUUUUUAAUUGUUACAAAUAAACACUUUAAUGGACCCAAUUUUGAUAUUUGCAUCUAAUUUUUUUAGAUGUUAUCUUAAAGGUUUAUUCUAACAUCCCGCUGAGCAUUGGGGACCUUAAGUUCAUGAUUCGCAUGACACAUGAUCACUCAUUCUUCUACUGAGGACAUACAUGUGCACAGACGAAAACUACAAAUGUUAGACAUUUGCCGAUCCUAGAAAACAUCCAAAAACCCGACUACAGAAUUACCAAACAAAGGCAAAAGAACUAUACAUAGAUACAUAAGUUUGAGUCUCUUAAAAUAAUUCUCGAUGCAAAUUCAUUUAUGAUCGGGUCGACGUCAAUUUUGUCCAACAGUUUCUUAUAGAUGCAUAGUAUUACCAAACCAUUAUCUGUGCAAGAUAUGCAUCAUAUAUGUAUGUGAAGGCAAAUUACUUAAUUAGCAACAUACAUAAGGAUUGGGGAAUAGGUAAUAGUACGAUGAUAUACCUCAUAUCAAUCGCAUCGGCUUCCCUGAUUAGAUGGUCAGCAAUGAGGCACUCAACGAUGUACGUGUCGCGUUUGCAGUCCACAUCUUACGCCCAGCGCUUGGAAACUGGAUACCGGCCGGAGGCGCUCGGCGCUGUCAAUUCCCGUGGCCUGGCGACGUGCUUGAGUGCUCGCUGUAGCCAGCUACUGGAGAAUUGUAUCUGCCGGCGGCCUGCGACUUGUGAUCGAGAGUUCGUGACGGGGGAAUAGAGAAUAGGGCAGUGAAUUAGGGAUGCGAUCUCACGUGUCACGAGACAGGAUCGUACUGAUUGGACGAUGUGAUUGGGUGCGUAUGGUGUACUUUCCUAUAUUACUACGUCUUUCCUUGGGUUAAUAUCUGGGAGGGGGCCCCUGGGUUUGGGGGGCCCGGGGCGGCCGCCCCCCCUGCCCCCCCUCGGGGCCGGGCCCCCGAGGGGUGGGGGAGAAUAGGGCUUUAUAGAAGCCAUCUAUGUGGACUCGGAUGUCCGAGGGGCGAACGAGCUGGGCAUCUCCAUCCCACAGAGAAUGGAUGGAGUUCCGUCAUCGCCGCCCAUUGGCGAUCGCCUGGAAGUAAGCCGUAUUAGCGUCUCCACGGAGCACCUACCGUUGGGUGCCGCGGAGCCUCCAGUAAGCUUCUUCGUCCAUGUAGAUGGUCGAGAGCUGAUCCUCGAGAUCAUAUCUCAGCAUCCACUCAUCCGGGAAAAUCACGGAAGUGUCAGCGCGGGUGUCCAGGGCUUGGAUGGCAGCCAGGAAGGCUUUCUUGCGUUCGCGGAGGUUUCAUUCUACAGCUGAACAAUUAUAUCUCAAAAUAGCUUGCGCCCCCUAUAUUUGAUCCUUCUGCCCUCUGUUAAAUUCAACCUCUGAUUGACAUUUUCUUUCACUGUUGUUGUAUACACGAGUGUGUACCAAAUUAUACAAAAUGAAAUAUUGUAGAACAGGCAUAUUCAAAACUGUUUUUUGAAGUUAAAUAUCUCAUGUGAGAAGCCUAGAUAUAAGAAAUAUAGGUGCAAGGCGAUUGUUUUGAGGUGUCAAUGCAACUUACAGUACAUGGAUCUGGUUAAAACUUUGAUACUUCAUGCUUUGAUAUGCUGCUACGGUAGCUCAAUACUGAUGAAACAGAAGGAUUAAACAAUACGGUCCAUGUCAUCCUCGAUCUGUGUUGGUAUGCAUCCUCUCCCUUUCCUUUCCUCUCUACUAAGUUGUCUCUCCUUUUCCUUUAAUUAUUCAUGUGAUCUUUCUUGCUCUGAGAAGCUCUUCAUGAUGCACAGAAGGAUUCAGUUUCUGAAUUCUAAUCAACAUGUUUCAGUUGUCUAUUGCAAAAAUGUUCUAUGUAUAUUAUGCGAGGUAAAGGGUCAACCAAAUGAUCAUAUAUGUAUUUAUAUAGAAUCAUAUCUAUCUGUUGGCAGCCAUGUCUGAUGCAUACGUCUUUGCUGAUUAAAAAAAUAUGCACAAAGACCUACGUGAAAUCGCUCGAUAAACAAAAAAUACUGCUCGACCGAUUUCUUCCUCUUAUUCACUGAUCCAUUUUAUAACACAAAGCGCUCACAUGGGCUCUCUUGGGCGCGGCGUGUUGCCGCGCCUCUGCCUGCUAGUCAGGAUUAAUUGUUGCUAUCUAGAGUAUUUAGUGAAAGAUGUGUGAUCAGAGAAAAUUAGAUCUAAUCCUAGAGUAAUUAUGGGGAGCACAGUUGAAAGCAUCGAUGGUAAAGGAUGUUUAGUUUGAAAACCCCAAGAGAUGGGUGGUAAUUUGAGGAAGUAAAUCUGACGGUCCACGAUCACUUGAUCCAAGGGCCAUGGCACCGGUGUCAUUCCUAGCGGUCUCCUAUAAAAGGGGUACGGCAUCCGGAUUCGUGGUUUGAAACUGACCCAAAUUCACUCCCCCCCCCCUCCCCCCAAAUCAUCUCGGGCCGGCCCUAUGUCGUCCCAAAGCAGCCCGGCCGGAGCGCUGCCCGGUUUCCCUAAACCUAUGUGCUACCUUGCCGCCGCCGAUCUACCCCGUGCCCUCGAACGCUGCCGCAUGCUGCUGGACAAGCUGCUGCAACAUGAGGACGGGUGGGUGUUCGCCAAGCCGGUGGAUACAUACGAACUCGGACUCCGCGACUACCACUCUAUCAUCGCCGAACCCAUGGAUCUCGGCACUGUCAGCCGCCGCCUUGAAUUGCGUCGCUACCCGAACCUGCUCUGCUUUGCCAAGGAUGUCCGGCGUACCUUCAGCAACGC
rnacentral:lncRNA from 1 species